rnacentral:lncRNA from 1 species
CGAUGAAGGCUCUUGGCCGUGGUGGCAUCGAGGACAUCAAGUACGUCGGCAGGGCCCCUUCGGCUGCUACCGCGACGGGCUUCUACUCUGUGCACGUGCAGGAGCAGACGGAGCUGGUGAAGAAGGCGCUGCAGCGCGACCCCAUCAACUACCCGUUCUGAAAGAAACGAGACCCCCUGUAGAUUCUAAUCGGGGACCUUUUGAUUUUGAUAUACCUCUAUAGAGAGAGCAGGCCUUAAGUUAUACAGUACCUGUGCAGCCAUUUGGUGAAAUAAUCAUUUCGGACUCUACAGUGCCGCAUUUGAAAGGAACGGUUGUAAGUUUGGAAAAACUCCAUCUCGCAGCGUCAUUUUUGUGUUCGUGUAUGCUGAAAAGCUUGCAUGGCUGAAAGCCUGAAACACCGACUGCCGGAAUUUUCUUGUGAUGAAUUGCAAAGUGUAUAAAGGCAAUGAACAGGUAUGCCAUUCAUCUUGCUUUUGAAUGUCGUAACUAUUUGGCUGGCUGAAAAAAGGCUGCUGCUAAUGCUGAUUUGUUACAAGAGAAAAACAUUGUUUCAUGGCUGUUGUUGAUUCAGUCUCUUAAAUAGUAUUCCCCCUGUUGUUUAGUCUGCGCAGUUAUAUGCUACUGGUGCACAGCGAACAUGGACCUUAAGCAUGCACGUAUGUAAUGCUCAGCUCUAUUUACUUUACCUUUGUUUUUUGUGUUUGUCUCCUACAUGUACGAGUAUUUACACCGAUCUAAGGGGAUGUUUUGUUGGGGGUGUUAAAGUUUAAUAGGUACCGUAGCAUCUUCGUCUUAUUUGACAAUUAGUGUCUAAUUAUAGAUUAAUUAGAACUAAAAGAUUCGUCUCGCAAAUUACUCUCUAACUAUGUUUUUAGUUUCGUAAAUAGUCUAUAUUUAGUACUUCAUGUAUGUGUUUAAAUAUUUAAUAUGAUAUAAGUUAAACUUUACCAACUCAACAAACAGGGCCUAAGAUUACACCCACCAUCGCGCACGGGAAACAUCCGGGGAGGUAACAGAACAGAGACGUCGGGGCUGGGGUGACGUAGGAAACGGAGACGUGGAGGGUGGGGUUCGGCCCAAUUUUUUACAAUUUGACUCUUUUUUUUUAAGAAAGUUCACAAUUGGACCUCUGGAAAACUUAAAUGCAGAAAUGGACCUAGGGGGUCGACGCCAUGAAUCAUGGCGUCGAGGUAUCACGUCUCGACGCUAUGGAUCAUGGCGUCGAGGUCCCUGGCUGUGCACAGUAAGGCUUCUGACGUGGCAGGGAGCUCGGCGCCACAGAUCAUGGCGCCGAGCUCGGUGCCACAGAUCACGGCGCCGAGCUCCCUACUACAUACCGACCGACGCCCUUCGCUACCGUGGACGCAGUUCAUAUUUUUAUCUCCCCUCUCGGCUCUUUCUCUCCAAAAACCGAGCACGAAUUUGGAUUCAAUAUUUCGACCAUCAAAAGUUUGAUUUAUUCCAUAGAUCUUGAAGAGCCAGGUAUACUCUUUCACAUAUUAGUUUUUGACACAUUGAUUUGACCUAUAUUACACGUAUGUUGUAGACUUAGAUAAACCAUUUCUAGUUUUUUGAAUGGAUGAUUAAUAUUUAUGUUAUGCAAUCGUAGAAUGCCACGUCGUGAAUAAAGUAGCAAACCAAGGUAACCUUUCGACAUGUUUCGAUAAAUUUCAUUCGUUAUUAUUUAUCAUUUGGUAAAUUGUAGUUUUCGGUUAAAUCGUUAUUUGCUAUGAUUUCUUAGAAUUGAAUUCUUUGAACUGUAGCUAUGGCCGGACGACCGGGAGUCCGUACAUCCACAAGCCGCUUCCUAGCGGUGUUCCAGUAUCUAUGUGCUUUUGUGGUGAUCCUUGCAAGGUAGAAAUUUCGGAAGACGAGGAAACCUAUCGGUAGAGGUAUUGGAUGUGUUCCAAUUUUGCCUGGGAGCCUACGCCAAAACAACGCCGCAGUAACUUUAUUGUAAGUUAUUUUUUCUAUUGUGCACUUAGUAUUUUGUGUCCUAUGAAGCAUGAUUUAAUUUUUUGAACAAAUAUAUUUGUUGCAGACCCCUCCACCAUUGUGUGAUUUUGAGCAGUGGAUCGACACUGAGAUUAAGGAGUCCGACAAGCGGCUUCUACAAGGCCUAAAGGAGUGGGAUGCAAAGCGCGCAGAAAUAUUAGAGAAGAGACGUAGAGAGGAGGCUCAAAAGAGGGAGCACAAGGAAGAGGAGGAAAGAAGACGUGUUGCUGCGGCUCGGGAGGAGAGGGAAAAGAAGCUUGAGCGUGUGCGCCGAGCGAAGGCAGCGAUGGAUGAGAAUCCAGAUGCCCAGAGGAAGGGAAAGUGGCCUCGUUGCACUUAGUAGUUACAUUACCUUCUUGUUCUUUGUUUGGUUCAUGGACAAUAUUGUUUUGUGUUGGACUUUUCAAUUUGUUGUUAUGUAAUGCACUUUAGCAAUUUUAAUUUAGUUUCAUUAUUAGUAGACAAUAUUUUUAUUUGAGUAUUGCAUAGGCAAUGAAAUGAGGAUAAUUAGUUGAAAUGGAAGUUAACGAACUAGUAUAUUGCAUAACUAGUAGCACACAUCACAUUGAAUGGCAUGUCAAAACAUGCACCAAACAAGGGUGCAGAGGUCCGAGACUAAACCUAACAUGCCUUAGGUAAUUCAAGCAAUUAACAAGCACAAGGAAUGACAUGUGAGAACAUAUACCACACAAAGGUACAUAGUUCUUUCGACUAACCCUAACAUGCCUUAGGUGAUUAAACCAAACAACAAACAUAUGGAUGUGGCCUGUGAAUUAGUUCAGUUCUACCUAGUAGUGUGGCCACAUAGCAAACUGUAUUGCCCCUUCUCCAUAGUAUCCUCCCGUUGUUGGUGGUGGUGGUGGUGGGGGUGGUGGUGAAGGAGGGCCCUUGUUCUUGUGAUUAGGGCAUGUGCAGUAUGGAUCAUUGCAUAUUGUGUUUUGGGAGCCAGUAGCAUUGCUGUUGUCGUCCUCUUCGUCGUCCUUGUAACCACUGCUAACUUCCGUUUCUAAAUCAAAGAUACGGUCCUGCAGGUAGUAGAUGUACUCUGCAUGGGGAUGAAUAGGUCUAGGAUCGACCCAUCUGGUGAAGCCACAAUUCUCUUUUGACAAGGAUGACUGCAAUAAGUAUGUAGCUUUAGCACAAGAGAGUAUCUUAUUGAAGGUUGAAUUAGUAAUAUGACUUACCCAUGCUCGUGGACAUUUGAAGAAACGACGCCCUCCAUCUAUCCCCUCUGUGUACAUCUGCACCAAACAAUCCUCACCAUGCAUACAUUUUGGCCACUCUUCUUUUCGGUCAUCCUAUGCCCUCAGUGGUGCCUCUUUAGUAAAAUCAUGUUUGCUCUCAAGGGGGAACCUAUCAUAAAUUGCUUCCUCAAAGUCUUUAGGACCAAGAGGACCCUCCCAAAGAAAGGGAUUACCCUUCAUCGCCGCCUUUCCCUUUCCCUUCCCUCUAGACGACCCUCCAGACAUUUUUACUUGAACUGAACAAUCUCAAGUGAGUAGCAACGCUCUGACCACUGCGUAUAUAUAUAGGAACCCAAUAGUUGGUAGCCGUUGUAGUAUAUAAUAAAUGCACCUGAAAAGCCUAGAUUUGAUUACUGAAAAGCCUAGUUGAAAACUGAAAAGUCUAUUUGGAUUGUCAUCUGAAAAGCCUAGAUUCGAUUACUGAAAAGCCUAGUUGAAAACUGAAAAGUCUAUUUGGAUUGUCAUCUGAAAAGGCUAGAUUCGUUCACUGUUUCGGAUGUGAUGAUUCAAUGAAAAGCCAGGAAUGGACCACAGAAAAUGUGCACUACAUUGAAUAAUUCAUGGAAAAAAUUUGCCAGAGUUUCCCCUGUUUUAGGUACAUCCACAGUUAUAAAUAGACAUCACAGUACAAUAGAAACAUUAAUUCAUCCAAAUAUCACAACACAAUCACAUACGCCAUCAGAAAUGAUAGUUCAAAUAGUCCACAAAGACCAUACAGUCUCAUAUAGUACAAAUAGUCCACAAAGUUCACAGUGUCGAUACAUGCAAAUUAACAAAAGUUAAGCCAUCAAUUCUAAGCUGCUACCAUGGUGUUAGCACAGAAGUCCUCAUCACUGCCUCCUAGUCUUACCCUUACCCUUGUGGCCAAGAGCAUCGGUGCCUGGAGUGUACCUAGAAGGCGAACGACGUCGCCUUCUUGCAACCUGCGUAGGCUGAGUAGAAGAAGGAGCAUCAGGAAGCUGAGAUAACCCAAGCUCGUCAUAGUCACGCUCCUCGGCCACCCCCUCUUCGUCGUCAUCAUCAUCGCUUUGAAAAGUGUCCAUGGUUGGCCGAGACGAGCUCUGUCCUCCAGAUCCUAUCAACAUUGUUCAAAUGAUGUGUGCACAUAAUUCAUUAUAUCAUACCAUGAAAAUUGCUCAGUUCAAAUAAACAACAAAUUUAAUGAAAUUAUACCUUCCAAAGAAGAUGUACCAUGCACAACAGGUGUGUUGCAUUGUCGUUCCUGUGGCACAUACACAUUCAUCGCAGCACUAGUACCGCAACCGCACCGAGCCGCAGCACGCCUAAGCCUACGUGCUAGUCUCUAUUAUUCAAAGAUUAAAAUUCAUAUUGUUAGAUAUAUGAUAAAUGAGGGUCGUAAUACUUGUUCUUAGAUAAAUUCGAUGUCAAGUACUUACUCCAAGAAAGUUGUUUAGUGUGUGCUCGUCCACACCUGUUCUUGGAAACCGUUCGAUGUCAAGUACAGAUUGCUUGAUUGCGUUGCCCUAUAAGAUAAGACUUGUAUUAGUUUAUAUAGGUGCAAUUUAUAAAGUGGAAAGGACAACAACCGUACAAUUGUAAAGUGGAAAGGACAUGUACCACUCGGUCCAAGACAGGUGCUGCCUCGAUAAGUGUCCCUUGUCGUGCUGCUAGGUCAUAGGAAGUGUCCUCAUCCUCAGAUGACUCAAGGUACGCAUAAUCUGCUUGGGUCCACUGAAUUUUCAACCUUGUUCGUGUAACACCUAGGUACCAAGUAAGGUAUGCACGAAAAUUGUAGUUGGUAUGUGGUUGCUCAUUUUCGUAGAGGUUGUCAUGAAACUGGUCCCACACCUCUAUGUACUGACGAUGCAACGUUUGAAACUCAACUGUCUUCUUCUGCUUCUGAUGAUCAAUCCUAAAAUUAAAUAUUAAAGAUGAAAAUAAUAACACAGAUUGAACAACAUUGAUUCUAAAACUCAGUACGGGGUUAAAAAUAUUGAACUAGCAACAUGGAUAUAGAACCAACUAUGAAAUAAAUUUCAACAAGCAUGUAAAUUUCAGCAAGUAGGUUGGAAUUGAAUGCAUCAAAUACUUCCUUCAUGACUAAAGAUAUAAAUUUCAGCAAGCAUGGAUAGGCACUUGCACAUUUGUGGUAUUGAACUUAGAAUAAAUAUGUAUCUUUGAAUAAAUUUCAGCAAACAUUGAAUGAAAAAGUAGCAAAUAAAUUUCAGCAAGCAUGUAAAUUUCAGCAAGCAUGUAAUUUUCAGCAAGCAUGUAAAUUUCAGCAACAUUUAUGGUAUUGAACAUUGAAUAAAUAUUGAACUUUGAGCAAGCAUGGAAAAUUACCAAAAUGACUUAAUUGUGCAGCUCCACGGAAGUAUCAAAUGGAGGAACAGGCCAUUGCUGGCACAAGCCAAAUUGGCGGGCUACUCGAUUUGGAAGGUGCCACUCAACAGCAUAGAAGCAAAUCAGAGGGCACAUCAUCAAGUACAAGUCUUCAUCCUCGCUACACAUGCUGCUUACUCCAAGAUGCAGCGCAUCAUUCGCCGUGUACGGCUCCCAAUUCACCUGCAAACAUAAGACAUGUAUAUGGCAAGUUAGAGAAACUAUCGAGCAUACAUUAAAUAAGAACUACUGCAUUUUACUCACCAUGGAUGGCCUAAGCGUGUCGAGCUCAUUGGCAUACUGUACGUACGCACGUGAAGUCCUGCUGAAGGGGACUUUCGCCUGGUCCCAAAGAUGGGCAAACGUCGGACGGUGACGAGGGUUGCCCACUGCAAACCAUUCCCGAGGAGCGUCAACUAUGGGCCGUCCAACUGGAAGACGAGCCCACAUCCAAAGCUGCAAUAGGUAAACACAACCACCAACGGAAGAACUACUUGCGGUCCGACGACACGCCUCACAAAGGCUACGGUAUAGGAAAGCCAGCACUCCCGAAGCCCAGCUGUAAGUACCUGUAACCGUUGUAAUCAAUUUAAUCAAUGCAUAAGUAAACAUAAGUAAGCAAAUUAAUAAUAACUGUGUAAGGGAAAAGUACCUGUGGUGUCCCAGUGAGGCACGGGAGGUACAUCCACGAUGCAGUGUCCCCUGUCGCGUCAGGGAAAAGAACACACCCAAAUAGGUGCAAGAUCCAAGCUCUACAGUAGUAGGCAACUGUCUCCUGGUCCGCAUGUGCUGGACAAUUACCAAAGCUCUGCCUAAGCCAAGCAAUUGGUACCCCAGUGGUGCGCUGCGUCGGUGCCUCCGGAGGAAGUGGUCUUCCAAGGAAGGCCUCAACUCUGACCCUCCAACCAUCGGGCCUGCAGUGUCCGAUAACUGGACGACCUCUAACACUCAAACCCAGGAUCUUCUGAGUGUCCUGGAGUGUAACAGUCAUCUCUCCACAAGGUAGGUGGAAACUAUGAGUUUCUGGCCUCCACCUACAAUUUAAAGAACAUUGUUGUUAGGGUUUUCAGAAAGAUAGAUAAAGUUUGUUCAAAAAAACAUACGAUUACUAUGGAUAAAUGGUGCACCUGUCAACCAAAGCUGUGAUCACCGCGGGUUAAUUGGAGGCAACCCACGACGAACCUGAUACGAUAUGACAUCCAGGCCAGCCCUCUGCAGCAGAGGUGUGUACCUGUCGUCAUACCGCAUCUCCUCGAACUUGUCAUGCGUUCGAGGUCGAAGCGGGGGUAGUUCCUGCAACCAUACAAUCAAGUUAUUUAAUGCAUAAGUACACAAAUUAAUAAUAACUGAAAAGCAAAGAUCAAAGUAAGUACCGCCCCCUCGGCAGUGAGUCGUCCUCGGUGCUUCUGCUCGUAGUAUGGAUCCAGGAGGUGGAACUGCUCCAUCCUAUAAACAAAUUUGAUCCAUUAGUUAGUAAUUAAGCAGAAAAAAUAAUACAUUACAAUGUCAUUAUAUUAAACAAAGGAGCACUAGAACAUGUAUGUCUGCCAAAAAGUAAGUUGCAUAUGAAAGUAUUUAACAACUAAAGUACAUAGAAUAUUAAGUGCACCUGACUUAGCGGCCAAUGGCAAGUACGCGAGUUGUGUCCAAGUCUACCACAUUUGCCACAUUGAUUUUGCUCGGGGUCAGUAACAAACGGGGUUGCUCUCCCUCGCCUCGUUCUACCUGAAAUCUGGUCCAUGACCAUCUUAUGCCUCGUACGCUUUCUGGUUCCAUGUUUGUUCCAGCGAGCACCUGGAUCUGCAAUGUACCUUGGGCCAAUGUAUUCUAGCCACUGCCCCUCAUCUAGGAAAGGCUCAAAACGGGGCGACCAAGUUAGCACAAGGCUAUCAACACUCAACUCCCAUGGUAUCUUGGUCUCGUAGUCAAAGUUGCGAUGCCUAGCUGCUGCAAUAUAGUGAGAACAAGGAGAGUGGUACUGUCUUGGUCUCCCACAUCCACAUGAAAAAUCAGUAAGGACAACAAUAUAACUCCUUGAUGGUCGGAUCUCACCAUCUGACGUUGUACCACCCCUUUCAGUGACCUGGUACUUGCCAGUGGCAUGGUCAAAACACUCUAUGUCAUGUGUCCUAGCCCUUUCCUUUGCCUUGUCAAGGUGCUUCUUAGGUCUAGGUGCCCAUUUCAUAUUAUUACUCUGUAAUUGCAAUGCUUGAGCAUGUCUAUCGUUGAACCAGGCCACUAGCCUAUAAAAGGUAAAAGAUACAAUGGCAUUGACUGGCAUGGCACGUAUACCCUUGAGCACACUAUUAAAUGACUCUGCCAUGUUGCUAGUCUGAAACUCGUACCUCCAUCCACCAUUAUCAUGGGCUCUUGUCCAUUUCUCAGGUUCCCUCAUCAAACCUAGCAGCCACUGCCUACCUUCUGCAUUUGUUGCGGUUUUUAACUGCUCCAACUUCUCCUCAAAAAACGGCACCUCAAGCAUUCGAGCAACCUCCUCGAAUAGAGGAAAGUUGUCCUUCGUACCAUCUUUCCGAAGUAAAUUCUCUGCAAGGUGUCUAGUACACCAACGAUGGUGCAAAGGUGCAUAACCAGGAAUCUACUCCUGUACGGCACUGAGUAUGCCCUGGUGCCUAUCAGAUAUGACACCAACCUCCCUAUGUAGGCCAAUGACAUGUAUCCGAACAAGGCGCAUGAACCAACCCCAGCUGUCUUUGUUCUCUCUCUCUCCACCAAAGCAAAAGCCAAAGGAACCAAUGCGUUGUCAGCGUCACAGGAAAUGGCUACCAAAAGAGUGCCCAUGUACUUGCCAAGCAGAAAAGUACCAUCAAUUGAUAACACUGGACGGCAGUGCCUAAAGGCCUGGACACACUGUGGAAAACACCAGAAUGCACGAAAGAAUAUCUGCCUCCUAUUCCUCCAUUCAUUAGGCUUCGGAAUGUACUCGUAAUGCAUGCCUGGAUUAGCUGCUUUCAUUGCAUUGAACAUUGCUGGCAGCUGCUCGCACCCCUCCUCCCAGUCCCCAUAUAUCAUCUUCCAGGCCCUUUGCUUUGCCCUCCAUGCUUUGCCAUACUUUAUGUCAUAUUUAAAUAUCUUCUGAGCCAUGUCCAUAAUUGUUCUGACCUUCAAGUUGGGCUAACCCUUUAAAGUUGUGCAUAACGUACUAGCAAUAAGUGUAGAGGUCAACUGUCGAUACUUCUGUUGAAGGUCAGUCUGGGCACAAGUGUGUGGACCUACAAUUUUUGUGAUCUUAAACUUCCCGGUAGCCUUCUGUUUACGAGCACAGACCCUCCAGUUGCAAUCUGACAUCUCACACACAACCGUGUAGCGGCGCUCAACAUGGGAGUGCAUCACCUUGAAGGGUCUUUUACGUAUUACAGAAUAUUGUUGUAACCACCUUCUUAAGCUGGGCAAGUCAUUAAAGAUCAUGCCCUUCUGAAUUUGCACACUGUCACUAGGCUCAGGAGCCUCCAGCAGCUCAUCAUCUCUUCCCUCUGCAUAAGCAUUUUGAGAAUGACUGAGGUCACUAAACUCGUGAACUAGUGGAUCACGAUCAGGACAAAAACGUCUGAUAAGCUCCAUUUCUUGUUCACUUAAAGGUGCAACUGGGCGGUCAUCAUCGGAAUCAACAGCUCUAGCUGUGCCAUAGGGCUCCUCAUCAUCCUCAAUAUGGACAUCCAAACUAUUAGAUGCUAUAAAAGCUGCGUCAACAUUAAAUGAUGGAGGCACAGGAUGACAAGAAUCAUUACUUGGAUUGUCACCUACAACAAAACCACAAAUAUGGAUACAAUUGAGACAACUAAAUCGAACGAAGAAAGGCUAACAAAAUGAAUAAUGCAACUACGCCACUUACAUUGAAUAGUCUGGGUCAUAGGGGUCUCUCGGCAGCCAACACCAACACCACCGACAAAUCUUCCAGCCUCAUUGGGACCGGAUUGAGCAUCAGGAACAAUAACCACAUCUUCCACACCCACGUCCUGAAUGGGUAUCAGAGAAGCUGAGGGUGCCGGAUUGUCCGGUUCCGGCGAGAACCCACCAAUGGGUGGUUGCCAAUUAAGAGGAGAAUCCACUAGAGGGCCUGGCUCCUUGGACAAGUUGCGCACAACCAAAUCCAAACAUUUAAACUCACUCUUCAUGACAGUUUUGACAUAUUUGUCCCAUUGAACCUCGGAUACAAUUGGGACCAACCGCCUAAAAAUUGUCCCUGACCCGCCAUGGUGAAUGACCCCCUCAACUAAGAUUUCUUCUUCAUUCGAAUUACAUUUAAGCUCAUCACGAGCACUACCCAUCAAUUCAGAAAACAAGGACCGCUCAUCAAACAUCAAAGGGACCGUUUGCAUUCCAACAAAAUCAACAUUGCCAAACUGAUCUUUGUCCACACUUCCUCCAUGAUAUAAGGUUACUAAAUUGUCCAUCUAAUUGAUAUACAAAACAACCAUGUUACUAGGCAUAUAACUAAUACAAAUAAAACACCUAAAUAUCAAUACGUAUGUAACUAACUAUAUAACUAUAACUACAUUAUCUAAACAAUUAUACAACUAGAAAAAAAAAAUUUUACCUGACCAAAGCAGCGCCGGGGCCGGGGCAGUCGCGGAGCCGUCCGGUGACAGCCGCGGGGCCGGCCGGGCCAGCCGCGGGGCCAGCCGGGGGCAGCCGCGGGGCGCGGCCUGGGCACCGGCGGGGGCGUGGCCGGGGCACCGGCGCCGGCAGCCCCGGGGAAACCUGCAUUGGCCACGUGCGUCCCGCACCGCCAGGGGGCCUGCCGGAAUUUGGGCCAAAACCUCGCGCCAGAACCGUGGCGCCGACUUUUUUUNNNNNNNNNNNNNNNNNNNNNNNNNNNNNNNNNNNNNNNNNNNNNNNNNNNNNNNNNNNNNNNNNNNNNNNNNNNNNNNNNNNNNNNNNNNNNNNNNNNNNNNNNNNNNNNNNNNNNNNNNNNNNNNNNNNNNNNNNNNNNNNNNNNNNNNNNNAAAAAAGGGCCAAUUGUAAAAUUUGGGGGAUUCGGCCCGUAUACUCCUAGCGGGUUCGAUAGGAUCCAAUUGGUUUCAGGUAUGUACGGAUUAUGUUGGUAUAUACGUGACUUCUUUUGAGGCAAGUAUAUACGUGUAUAUUAUUGUGAGACAGGUAUAUACGUGCAUGCUAAUAACUACAAUGGAAAAGGAUCUGGUUUAAAUUGUUUGAUUUUGACGUUGGGUUGGCAUGCAAUUGGGUAUCUAUCUUUUUAAAAUGUCUGUAUUUAAAUAGUAGUAUGUGUAUAUACGAAGUACGGUUGCAUACUUCAACAAGGACGAUGAGUAUUUAUUAAUAUUAAUUUGUAUUGUUUUACGUGAACAAGUAUUGACACAUAGUUUAGUAAAAAAAUAACUAUAUUUAUAUACUUGUUGUAUUUGGGAGUAUAUUUAUAUACUUAAAGGAUUAUUUUAAUGUUUAUAUUUAGGGUAUGUACUUUUCGUCUGCGUUUUUUUAGGACUGUAGUAUGAGCACAUACUUUUUUAGAGUAUGUGUACAUACAUAUUAUUUCUAAUUGCAAACAAAACCACAUGCAAAAACUAUAUUCGAACAGAGUAUACGAAGUAAAAACUAGUCCAAAAUGCUGUAGUAGUAUGUACUAUUAUUUGCACCAAAAUAGUAUGAAUAGAUACAAGGAUGCUUGCAAAAAAAAAGAUACAAGGACAAAAUGUCGAACAAUGUAAUAAAUUGCCGCUACUAUAAUAUGAAAAAGUAUCUAGUGGUACAAACAUUUCCUAGAAAGUAUGAAGUGAUACCUCGAUGUAAAAAAGAAAGUAUCCGAGGAUAGUCAAACUAUGAUGUAUAAGAUUGAAAAGGAUGCUAGAUUGCUAGUUGUGUCAGUGUUCAUUUAGAGAACUAGUGGAGGGCGCGCGCCUUCGCGCGCGAUGGCAGAAGAGUAGAAGACCUUAGUUUGGUUCAUGGUAUGGUAGCAUUGCUAUGAAAAAUAAGUAUGAAACAUAUAAUAGUUGUGAUGAUACUGGAUGCGAGGGUUUUGAGAGAGCGAUGUCCAAUGUAGUGAGAAUAAUAUACAUAUAGAAUACUGCAUCUAAUUUAGAGUUUAAGUCUGCCAGCAGCAUAGAUAUGUAGGCCAAACAUAUAGGUGCCGAAAAUAGUUAAAAUUUGCUACAUGAUAAAGUACAGUGCCUAUACAAAAGCAUUAUAGAGUGUUGGUCAGAGAUAUUAUACAGGGUCAUUAGUAAGUGCACUGCGACCUUUGACGGUCUUGGAGCUUCCAGCAUCUAUACAAAAGCACUAAGUGUGGGGCAGAGAAGUAUGUCCUAAAGCUGGCCUUACAAUAUGCUUGGAAUGGCAAAGACAGUUCAAGUUCAAUGCUAUAUAAAUUAAUACCGUCAGAGAAAAGAAUAUGACCCUAAACACAACUAUGUUAAACAGAAUGAAUCUGCAUAAAAAACAAAUAAGAAUCUAUAUGUAUCAACCUUUGUCCCUUCUUUUGUUGACUCAGAGGCCCCAUGUCCAGUGCUUUCAGCAUGUGGUUUGGGUUCUUCAGUUUUUGAUCUGCAGUUUAUAUCACAUAUAUAAAGAUUUGUUUGAAUAUGGGUCAUGGAAAAACCUUGUUAUAAUGUGUUUUUUUGGAAAUAGUAGUGUCAUAAAAAAGACCUGAAUGGUGCACAUACAAUGGGAACAAGCUACCUUGUUGGAGAAGAGUCCAAAGGUGGCCAAGGAUGUUACUUUCUUGCGUUUUUUUGUCUUCUGUCUGCACGAUGGCUGUGCAUCCUUGUUGCUUAUGUUAUAUCAUGUGUGCAUCUAGAUGCUUUAAGCAAGAGCUGAAAAGAAAUCCCUAAAGCAAUGUUAAAGUUGUUGCUCCACUUUUAAGAAACGAGGUCCUUCUUCAGAUCCAAGAAAAAGAAUUAAGUAGCAUUCACAACGUUAACAUAUAUAUUUUGAAAGAGAUUAUUUUCUUGGCAUGGAUGUUUAAUUGGUGAGAAUAAAAUUCAGUCAAAAACCAAAUAUUGAAUAAAACUGGUAUGUAUAAUUUUUUAUUUAAUUAUGGGUAUUGGACAAGCUUAUUUUAGUUGACGCACUGUGAUACACUGGUAUCUAAUUGCAGGACCUGUUAUUGGUUUAUCACUAAAACAUAUUAAAAAUUGCAGGCAUGGGCAAGGCCAUAUAUUUCCCUUUAAUGUCAAUUGAUGCAAUCACCUAACACAAGCAUGAAAGCACACUGUCUAAUCUGAUUCUGCUGAACAUUUCUGGUGUGCAGUCAGAUAUUCUUAUCAAAUGACAAUCUAGAGAAUAAUUACCUUUACUUAUCUCCACUUUGUUGACAACAGAACUGAGUUCUUUAGGUGACUCAUGAGUUCCUUGUUGAUCAAUCAUCAUGACCGUCAAUGACUAAGUUUGAUAUCUGUCAAAUAAAAAGGAGCAGAGGGGAAGGCAACAUUUUUACAGAAAAAAUUUCAUUUGUACACUGCAGUAUUCCUUAUAAAAAAUUGCCAAUUGUUGAAGCUUAACCUGACAAGAAAAUAUAAAACUUUUAGACUCGAUUUGUAAUCACAGCAUAGAAAUAAGAGGUUGUAGCAUUCGUUAUAACUGUUGGCAUUCAUUACUAUAGCAAAGAAAAUGGAAGUGCAUAUAACAGGCGUGAGACCCUAUGUCCUUAGAAAAUAAUGGCAACUUAACCUUAUCAGUUAUUGCAAUUUGAAUAUUUCAAGUUACCAGAUAGUUUAAGUCAAAUAAGUUCCCAAGAUUUUAGGUCUCUAACUGGUAGCCUUAAAAUCAGUUCAAAUGCAUUGAGACCUAUGGGUCCUUCUUCUUUCUUCUCUGUAACAUGGUCAUCCUGAAUCAGGGUAAAUAAGUAUUCGGAAAAGUAGCAUGUAAUUUAUAUCUAUGACAUUUUGCAUGAGAGAAAGCGGAAAUGCAACAUCGACUGACUUCUGAAUUAUUUUGAAUUAUAGAAGACAACAUCCACAUCAUCCAAUGGUGUGUCAUGUUUCUAGUCAAACUCCAGGCGCCUGUAGUCCUUUUUGAACCACCCAUUGUGUAGUCCUUUAGGGAUUGCCAUUAUCUGCUAUUUUUUCAGGCAAAAUAGAAAAAUAAUACCAAUGAAUUAGCCAUGUUGAAUUAGACCAAACUAUAUGCAUGGAACCAUUUAGAAAAAAAAGGCGGACAAUGUUCAGGAGGAGGAGAGUGAAGUAAGUUUAAAUGAGAAGUGGUAUGUAAGGUCAUAGUGGACAUCAUGUUGGAGAAAAUCCCAUGAGUCGAGUGUAAGUAAUCUAAAAAAAUACCACUCUUGGAUAUGAAAUUAGGGGUGCAGACAGUAACCUCUACAACUAAAUUCAGCUAUUAUAACUCAAAUGAAUAUGCAUGAUUUUGCAGGUUUGCCAUUUUCAUUAGCAUGGAUGUUCAUGUAACAUGGAGGGACAGUAUGCAUCAGCCUGGUGUAUGCUUUUGACCUAUAGAAACUAACAGGUGCACAAAUGCUUUGUCUUUUCAGCAUGUGCCACAAAGGCAACUGAAAUAGGAGCAUAAAACAGUAUGAGUAAGCAACAAUAUAUAUAUCAGCAAUGGAGCUUCAAUCGAGCAAAGAAAACUGCAAGAAUAUACUUCCCCUUAGGUAUUCAUAUUAGUAUUCUCUAAAUUACCUGAUGGUAACCCAUUUGUUUGCCUCCACUUCAUGUAGUUGUAUAGAUAUUUUCACAUGUACAAACUAUUUUCAAUGAAUCUAGAGAUUACAUGAUUCUUCAUAUCACAUUUUUCUUGAAAAUUUCAAUGGCUCCAUCUAUAUUGCCCUUGCCAUUCUAUACCUAUAAAUCACUUCUAAAAAUUAGCUACUUACCAAUUAGGGAACUCUUAGGUAACUACAGUUGUCCAACAGUGAAACUAAAAGUAUUCAGGCUAUUAUCUUAUUGAAUUGGAGCCAACCUUGAAAUUGACAUGAGAGUGUUCUGGUAUCUUUUUUAGCAGGCAUGCUAUGAUCAUGCACCUGAUAAACAAUGGAUUUUGAAGGACCCAAAUAAAUUUGGGAAGCUACUUCCCUUCAUCUCACACAGUAACACUUUUAAGUUUAGCUAGCAGACUAUAGUCACCAAUCCACUCUGCAGGCCAGCUUUCAGUUACCAGCAAUCACAGUUGAAUUGGUUCUCAUCUACUAAAUAGCAUACUCUCAUCUGGAGCAUCAUAAAUUGCUUUUUGAUGCGCUCAAAUUUCAAUUCGAGUAUUGUACCCUGCAUUUAGCAAACAGAAAUAGCAAACAAAAGGAUCAAGGAAAUUUAAGCAAAAAUAAAGGAAAAUGUAGCAUAAAAGGGUCAACGCACAUUUGUAUAACCCUCAACAUGGAUAUGUAUAGAAUAAAACUCAGCAAAGGACAAGAGCAUGAAAAAAAAUGAUGCAAUUAUUUCAGGAUAUAAAUUCCACAAUUAUUUUUGGCUAUUUUAUUUAAGUAGAAAUUGCAUAGGCAUCGACAAAAUCAUAACUACAAAAUCCAAGUAGCUGAGAACAUGGAACUGCUACCCAAGCCCAACCAAAACAUGUUAAGGAACCUGUUGUGGUUACAAAGCACUCAAAUGAUGCAAUGCCUCUCUUCACAGUUAAAACUGGAAAAACAGUUUUGUUUAGUUUAUUUACCGAGGAAGAAGAUGUGCGAACAACAAAUUACAAUCUCAUACAUACUUUUGGAAGGGGGCAGCCGCGCCGUCAACCACCGGUAGGGCUCGGUUGGGCGCGUUGUGCCCGGGGAGGGCGGCCAUCAGGGCCCCCGCGGCGGGGGCGGCCACCCGCGCCACCGGCACAGCACCCAACGGGGAGCGCCGAGGGCUAGCACCGCCUCCGGUGAGGAAGAGGCGACUAGGGUUCGUCAAGCGUCCGCGGAUCAACUCAUACAUACUUACAGAAGGGGGCAGCCGCGCCGUCAACCACCGGCAGGGCUCGGUUGGGCGCGUCGUGCCCAGGGAGGGCGGCCAUCAGGCCCCCGCGGCGGGGGCGGCCACCCGCGCCACCGGCACAGCACCCAACGGGGAGCGCCGAGGGCUGGCACCGCCUCUGGCGAGGAAGAGGCGACUAGGGUUCGUCAAGCGUCCGCGGAUCAACACCCGCAGAUCGAUGGGAGGAUGCAGCGCAAGAGAAGCCGCGAUGGCGGCCACCGGCGAGGCCCAGCCGUGCACUCCGUGGCCGGGGAUGGCCACCGGUGGGGCACAUGCGCGGCGCUGCGCCGUAUGCUGUGGGCACCGCCGUUCCGGCCCCGGUGUUGUUGGAGCACGCUUGCAUGUCAGGAGAGAGGGAGAGGGCAGGGAGAUGGAGGAAGGAGGACGGCCGCGGCCACGGCCGCUCCGAGGACCGGCUGUCGCCGCCGCCGUCGCUGUCGCCCGCGUGAGGAGAGAGGGAGGGAAAGAGAGCGGAGAGUAGGGAGAGAGAGGAGAUGAUAUAUUUUUUGAGAAGCGUUUAGAAGGUGAAGGAGCCGAGUUUAUAUUUGUUUCUUCCAAAUUCUGAUGAUAAGCUAGAGAAAACCGGUUAUUACAUAGGGAAGCUGUGAAAGACAAACAGUAAAAGUAGAAGCUAAUUCAGUAGAAUCUUACAAGAGGAACCUAAGCCGUUGAUUAUGCAGAUCCAACGAGCAAAAAGAAUUACGGUGACAAGGAUGCUGGUUCUGGCUUAGGAACCCACCAGGUUUGUAGAGUUAAAACGUGCUGAAGACUUCGACAAAAACAUGGUGCGAUAAGGCAUACGACCGGAGGCCUGGCGUCUGGCUUGCGGCAUUUGGUAUGGUGACCCAUGACCAAAAGAGCGAUCUUCCUUGACACCGUCUCCAACGUGGAUCUGCCACCAAGCCCUUGCAAAUCCACAAACAGACCUGGAUCACCUCUUGCUAAUCAACAACCAACUCACCUGCGAAGGGAUGACACCACCGUCAAUCAGGAAGGUAGUGCAACCAUCAGAUCCGAUCGGCCCCACCAUAGCGCCGGCUGGUGCCCCCCUUAGGGUUCUGGUGCCCGCCUUCCGGAAGCUUCCUCCACCGCCUUUGAGGAGUCAUCUUGGCCCUUGGUUAAGUCGGUUUGAUCCGACGGCGCGCGUGACUCCCAGUGGCGGAGGCAGGAUUUAGAUCUUGGGUAUUCCCUUGCUGAUGUCUGGUGGGCCACCACUUAGCUAUGGCCUCUAACCUCAUGAGCGACGUGCGCCCUCACCAGUCGCCAUGUAGGCGUAGCAUAGAGACAGAGGCCGCGCCUGCGCUGCACGCCCCGCGCCGCUAGGAGCUUAGAACAAUGGAAACCAGUAGUGCCGCCACUACGUCAUGCCUGGUCGGCUAGGGUUAGAGAUUUAGGAAUAAGGAUUAUGGAAUUGCCUCCCACUCGUGCCUUGUUCACUCACACGAAAAGAAUAGUUUGUUAUACAUGUUGUCAUGCGCAUAUUCCGAUUUGUCUUGGAAAUGAGUUUGGAAAUAAGAUAUGAUUUGUACUAAUAUUUGGUGGCAUGUGCAUGUGGUGUGGAGAUAAAUAAUUAGGUUUUCAUUUGUAGAAACAAUAAAUAGAAUAAUUUUGGCAAUCGAGCUAACAUAGAACCUAUAUGAAAAAAGGAAUACAAAGAUACACUAAAAAUGAGAGAAAAAAUUUAUUUGCUAAAUAUAGGAAUGCUAAUGUAUUAUAUAUAUAGAGUGUAUAAAAAAGUUGGGUAUUUCUAGGAAUACCAGGAAUACCCACUGUAUCCGCCAGUGGUGACUCCCAUCAAACUAUAAAUACGUGGGCAGACCCCCCUGAGAUAUCACCAACCUGAUUAUUCAUCAAGGCCUCAAGCCAUCAAGCAUCAAGCGCCUUCAAGUUCAUCUAGAGCCUUCUAGUUCAUAGUUCUAGUUAGUUAGAUUAGAAGUAGAGGAGAUCUAGUUCUUCAUCGAGAUCUGGAGUCCCUGGCGUUGGUCUGGAGCACAAGAGUUCGGUAAUAGUUCUAGUUCUACUUUAUAGUAUUUCAUUGUAUAUUAGGGAGACUUUAUUCUUAAUAGAUUCAUAUGUUCUUAAUUACAUUAGUCAUUGUCUACUUUGAUUAUUGUGGGGGUAUAAACCCCUAUACCCUUACGGCUAGACUUGGGCCAGGAGGGCUUGGCCCAUUACGAGACAAGCUCAAGGCUUGAUCUGACAGCUUGGAGUUUCGCGCAAGGAAACAAGACGUGUAGAUCAAGCAGGAUUCUGGUCGGUUAGAAUAGUAAUUGAUAUCGUACUAUCUAUGGCAAUUGUAACCGACUAGGAUUAGUUUCUAGAUCUGUAACCCUGCCCUCCGGACUAUAUAAGGAGGGGCAAGGGAUCCCCCUAGGACAGAUUAUUCUCUCAACACAAAUCAAUACAAUCAGACGCAGGACGUAGGUAUUACGCCAACUCGACGGCCGAACCUGGAUAAAAAGCUUGUCCGUGUCUUGCGUCACCAUCGAGUUCGUAGUUUGCGCAUCGUCUGCCGAUAAACUACUACCGUGGGUAUACCCCAAGGUAGACUGCCGACCAGCUUUCGUCGACAGUGGCACGCCAGGUAGGGGGUGUGCGUACAACUCCUCUGACGAACAAGAUGGUCAUCCUCCCAGCUUCCGCGGCCGUGCCCGAAGGCCUCACGUUCACCGUCGGCCAGAUCACGUGGACGACGCACGGCGGCGGUCUCACGACCACGGUUUCGGAGGGAACCCAGAUCCAAUCUGGGAUGACGGCGGCAUCGGCUCCGACCACACGGAUGCUGGUACCGAGCACCCGACCACUACUCCCACGCUACAAGGGAAAGAAGAUUGACGGCUCGGAUCUUCUCCAGGCACUUGAUCGCGCCGAUUCCAAGCUACUUGAAGCUUCCCAACUAGUAGAUGGAAUCUUGCACCAGCCUGAUCAAGCCGCUCCAACAGAUUUUUUCAAAUCCCACCGGCCAACUCGUGUCAUUACACACGAACGGCUGGGAACGUCUCUGACGAUAACCUCAACUCCCUCAGGACGAUCCGUCAAGCUCAAGGUUAACCCGAAAGAAGAUUAUCCUUGCGGUCUGAACAACUCGACCUCUCUCUACUCACGGCACAUCCAAUCCCUUUUCAACAAAGCGGGUUGGCUGCCAAAGUGGAACGGUCGACCUGCUCGUCACUACGUCAACAUGGUGACGAUCCAAGAACCAUAGGACGGCCAGGCUUCCAGCACAAAUUCGAGCACUGGUUCCGUCCCCACCGAAGUCAUAAACUCCGAAGACGAGGACUACGACCUGGAUUUGCCUUCACAUCCUCCGGGCUUCUCUCGUUUCCUGGUCUUCCCCCCCGGCGAGGAGACAUUGUUUUCAAUGUCAGCGCCGACGAGCCAGUCGUUGAUGGAGAAACAGAGGGAGCAGAGGCAGCUCCGCGAACAGCGUAACGCCGAUCGCGCCCGACGACGCGCGGACGAGGAACGCCAAAUCCCGCCGCAUAAUCUCAGCGACGCUUUCGACAUGGUCGGGGAUCAACCAGUUUAUAAAACGCCAAGCGCCAAUGUGGCUGUUGCCAUGGCCAAUUUAGAUCGGCUUCCUGAUACUCCCGAGUGCCAGGGCGUCCGAACCAGCGUUCGGGCACAUCUGAUCGCCGCAAUGGGACAGACAGCCACUCUGCUCAAAAGAGUCCAAGACGUCUCCUAUACGGAGGCCACCUCCAACCAGACUCACCGCAGCCGGACCUCACCGCAGCCCAGCAGGCACCACCGCAGCCGUUCCCCCGACAAUCAUCGAAAAGAUUCACGGCGCGACGACGGCGGUCGGGAUAUUGGCGGUCACCACGAGGAGAAUCGCAGGCGUGGUCAAGAAGUAAACCAGUACAGGGAUCUUCGAUACAACAUCCCUCCCAAAGACGCCCGGGACCGUAUCAAUAGGCGCACCACGGAAAGAGCAGUUCACGAAAACUUGCGUCGUAUUGAGUACGAUGCAACGCACGGCCCCCCGAGCCUGAAGCAGUUCUCUUCACACCUCCGCCAGGUCGCGUGGCCGCGAAAUUUUAAGCUUGAGAAACUCAAAAAAUACGACGGCAAGGAAAACCCAGAGAACUGGAUCACUCUUUACGAGAUCGCCGUCUGAUCAGCAGCAGGAGAUGAGCACGUCAUGGCCAACUACUUUCCAGUAGUCCUCGACCAGGCUGGUCACCAGUGGCUCCUAGGCCUGCCCGAGGACUCUUUCGACUCCUGGGAAGAACUACGCCAAGCCUUCAUCGACAACUUCAUCGCCACCUGCGAGCAACCUGGGAACAAGUACGACCUCGAAAGGAUAAGAGAUAGGAAGAACGAACCUCUGUGCGACUACAUCCGACGAUUCUCGGAUAUGCGCCUUAAGAUCCCGAAGAUUUCCCACGACGAGGCUAUAUCUGCUUUCAUCAAGGGGCUGCGCUUCCACGAAGCACUGAGGAACAAGCUACUGCGCAAAAGGCCAACAACGAUGACAGAGCUCCUCGCCACGGCCAAAAAUUAUGCCGACGCCGAUGACGCAGAAAAACUCAUCCGAGAUGACACCAGAGGUCCUGACCAGCCUUCUCGGCGUGACGAUAGUCGCGGCCGCUUCGACAACAGGAACCAUCGCCGCCCCGAUAACCGGGACCACAGAGAGGGCUGGGACAGGCGCCGCGACAACCGCGACGAUUUCAGAGGCAAGCGCCCUCGCGAUCACGACCACGAGGUGAAUACGGUCAAGCGCCCCAAUGGACGGUGGGAUCACCAAGAAGACUACAACAAGACGUUGAAGGGACCAUGCCAACUGCAUCCAAAAUCCAACCACACCAUGGAAGAAUGCCACGUCCUCAAAAGCAUCUAUACGCGGCGGGCUGCUCAAGACGAUCCCUCCAAGAAAAACGGGAAACAAGAUGGGCGCGAUCACGAAGACGAGGACGAAGACCAGGAUAGGGACCCACGACACCAGUAUGUCAGUCCUACUGACGUGGUCCAUUCCAUCUUCGGAGGCAAGGUCUCCAUCGAGUCUAAACGAGAAAGAAAGCUCUUAAAGAGAGCCUGCCUCAACAUAGACAGCACUGAUGGUCUGAUCGCCGAUCCAAAAUUUCCUCCCUGGUCGCACAGGGAAAUCUCCUUCAGCAGGAAGGAUCAGUGGGCCGCUAUCUCGGAACCGGGUCGUUUCCCUCUAAUCUUGGACCCUUGCAUCAACAGCAUCAGAUUCGAGCGGGUGCUCGUGGACGGAGGAAGCUCCAUCGACAUCCUUUUCCGUAACAGCCUGCCUGCUCUCAAGAUAUCUCCUGCACAGCUCAAACCCUACGAUGCUCAAUUCUGGGGAGUCCUGCCAGGCCAGAGUUCAGUGCCACUCGGACAGAUAACACUGCCUGUCCAAUUCGGCACGUCCGACCACUUUCGAACAGAGUUUGUCAACUUUGUGGUCGUCGACUUUGAUGGGACUUACCACGCUAUACUGGGCCGACCAUCGCUAACAAAGUUCAUGGCAGUCCCAUAUUACUCAUACCUGGUCCUUAAAAUGCCCACGGAGAAAGGCGUCCUAACCAUCAGGGGCAAUGUCUACACUGCAUAUACCUGCGAGGAGGAGAACUUCAAGAUCACCGAAGCAAUCGAUCUCUCAAUCCGCAUGGCAGAGACAGCAACCCAAGCUGCACAGCUACCUCCCGACCAGCUUCGACUACCCGAGUAGGAGACCGCCAGGAAGAGCUCAAAAUCCAAGGAGCACAAAGAAGUGCAGCUGGUCGAAGGCAGCCCCGAGAAGACGGCCCUCAUCGGGGCCAACCUGGACCCUAAAUAGGAAGACGCGCUCGUCAGGUUUCUAAGGGACAACGUAAGCGUUUUCGCAUGGAAACCCGCAGACAUGCCCGGCGUCCCACGAAACCUGAUCGAGCACUCCUUAAAUGUCUCGAAGACCGCAAGACCCAUCAAGCAAAAGCUACGAUGGUUCGCUCGUGACAAAAAGAAGGCUAUUAGGACAGAAAUAACACGGCUUCUAGCAGCCGGAUUCAUAAAAGAAGUGUAUCAUCUCGAUUGGCUGGCCAAUCCGGUUCUUGUACGCAAAAAGAAUAAUGAAUGGAGAAUGUGCGUUGAUUACACUGAUCUCAAUAAACACUGUCCUAAAGAUCCUUUUGGUCUCCCUCGCAUCAACGAGGUGGUCGACUCAACGGCCAGAUGCGAACUCCUCUCUUUUCUAGAUUGCUACUCUGGUUAUCACCAGAUCUCGCUAAAGGAAGACGAUCAGAUCAAAACAUCUUUCAUUACUCCUUUCGGUGCAUAUUGCUACACGACCAUGUCCUUCGGACUCAAAAACGCCGGGGCAACCUAUCAAAGGGCCAUCCAGCAAUGCCUCCACGACGAGAUUCGUGACGACCUCGUCGAGGCUUAUGUAGAUGACGUCGUCGUCAAAACAAGGGAUGCCAACACCCUAAUCGACAACUUAGACCGAACCUUCAAAGCACUAAACAAGUAUAAGUGGAAGCUCAAUCCCAAAAAGUGCAUCUUUGGGGUCCCCUCCGGUCUACUACUCGGCAACGUCGUCAGCCGCGACGGCAUACGGCCGAAUCCCUCAAAAGUCAAAGCAGUGCUCGAUAUGCGACCACCCAAGAAUGUCAAAGACAUUCAAAAUCUUACCGGAUGCAUGGCCGCCCUCAGCCGCUUCAUCUCCCGACUAGGAGAAAAAGGCCUACCCUUCUUCAAACUCUUAAAGGCGUCGGAAAAAUUUUCCUGGACAGAGGAAGCUGACGCUGCGUUCACCCAGCUCAAGACUUUCCUCACCUCGCCGCCCGUUCUCACAGCGCCUCAGCCCAAUGAAGACCUACUUCUUUACGUUGCUGCAACCGACAGGGUUGUUUCCACGGCAAUAGUGGUCGAGCGAGACGAGCCAGGUCAUGUCUACAAGGUCCAGAGACCCGUUUACUUCAUAAGCGAAGUCCUAAACGAGUCCAAGGCCAGAUAUCCACAAAUACAAAAGCUCAUAUACGCUAUUCUAAUAACGUCGAGAAAGCUAAAGCACUACUUCGACGGCCAUCGAGUCUUGGUAACCACCAGUUUCCCUCUUGGGGACAUUCUACGCAACAAAGACGCCAACGGCAGAAUUGUAAAAUGGGCAAUGGAAUUACGCCCAUUCUCCCUUGAAUUCCAAAGUCGCACCACAGUCAAGUCUCAGGCCCUGGUCGAUUUCAUUGCAGAGUGGACGGAUCUCAACGAACCUCCCGUUCCCAACGUUUCCGACCACUGGUCGAUGUUCUUCGACGGGUCCUUAAACAUCAACGGUGCCGGCGCUGGGAUAUUUUUCGUGUCGCCUAACAAGGACAAACUGCGUUACGUCCUUAGGAUCCUUUUUCCGGCAUCAAACAACGUCGCCGAAUACGAAGCAUGCCCUCACGGCAUACGACUAGCCGUUGAGUUGGGAGUCAAACGCCUCUAUGUCUAUGGCGACUCCGCCUUGGUUAUCAACCAACUCAACAAGGAAUGGGACGCAACCCACGAGAAGAUGGAUCUCUACUGCAAAGAAAUUCGCAAGUGGGAAACCAACUUCUACGGCAUAGAAUACAUCCACGUGGUCCGGGAUAAGAACCAGGCAGCAGAUGCGUUGUCAAAGUUAGGGUCAUCUUGGGCCCAGAUCCCGCGAGGUGUUUUCGUCCAGGACAUCCAUGAGCCAAGCAUGGGCACAGGCCUGGUCGAAAAGCAACCUACAGAGGCAAUGCUCAUAGACGACACUACUUCGACAACCAGUGGCCGUGAUUGGCGCAUCCUGUUCAUCAACUAUAUAUCGGAUGGGUCAGGCUUUCAGGACAAAACAGAGAACGAGCGCCCAUUCGACGGUCAAAGAAUUACAUACUGGUGGACGGCAAACUUAUGCGAAAAAAAUGCAAGUUCUGAAGUGCUGCUCAAAUGCAUAUCCCAAGACGAUGGCAUCAAGCUCCUAGACGACAUACAUACCGGAUCCUGCGGCUAUCAUGCCGCCUCCAGAACGCUGGUCGGGAAAGCUUUCCGAGUAGGUUUUUUCUGGCCAACCGCGGUUAACGACGCAGAAAAACUGGUCCGACACUGUGAGGGAUGUCAGUUCUUCGCUAAAAGGACCCAUGUACCUGCUCAUGAGAUUCAAACUAUCCCGUCGUCCUGGCCUUUCGCCUGCUGGGGGCUCGACAUGAUCGGGCCAUUUAAACCGGCCCCGGGCAACUUCAAGUUCGUCUUCGUAUUAAUCGACAAAUUCUCAAAAUGGAUCGAGUACAUGCCAUUGGUCAAAGCAACCUCCGAAAAGGCCGUGGAGUUCCUCAAUCAAAUCAUACAUAGAUUCGGGAUCCCAAACAGUAUAAUCACCGACUUGGGCACUCAGUUCACUGGCACUACAUUUUGGGACUUCUGCGAUGACAGGGGCAUAGUCAUCAAAUACGUGUCAGUAGCUCACCCACGGGCAAAUGGCCAAGUCGAGCGCGCGAACGGAAUGAUCAUCGACGCCCUAAAGAAAAGGCUGUACACUGAGAACGACAGAGCACCUGGUCGAUGGAUGAAAGAGUUACCGGCUGUGGUCUGGGGCCUCCGAACUCAGACUAGUCGGAACACGGGGGUGUCACCCUACUUCAUGGUUUACGGCACCGAGGCAGUUUUGCUGUCUGACAUAACUUUUGGUUCUCCUAGAAUUGAAAACUUCGACCAGCCAACAGCCGACAAUGCUAGGGAGCUCGAAAUUAACUGCAUGGAGGAAAAGCGUCUAAAUUCAUGUCUUAGAACAACAAAGUAUCUCGCAGCAGUCAGACGAUACCACAAUAGGAACGUCAAGGAACGUUCUUUCGUGGUCGGCGACUUGGUACUCAGGUGGAAAAUGAACCAGGAGGGAAUGCACAAGCUUUCCACUCCCUGGGAAGGACCAUUUGUGGUCGUUCAAGUCACACGACCUACAUCUUACAGACUGGCGCAUCCAGACGGGACACGAGUGCCUAACUCUUGGCACAUAGACAAACUAUGCCGUUUUUAUCCAUAAGUUCCAGUAACUUUUGCUUGUAAGUUUCUAGUAUUUGGAAAUAAUAAAAGUUUUCCUUUUUGGCUAUACUUUGUUUUCACGCAGAGUUUGCGACAAGAAUAACAAUGUCCUCUACGAUGGAAAUUUUUCAACGACUACCAAUCAAACACAGUGAUACAUCACUCAGAUAACUUUACAGCGCUCAAAAUCAUGGUCAUGACAAAAUCAAACUUUAUUACAAACUUUACAUACAAAGUUUACAAUAAAACACCCUGACGGGCGGUCACUAGUCUACUCCUACAGACUAUCCUACUAGGCCUACUGCUCGGGCUAAUCACCCGCCUGGCCUUGCUGCCCGGACAAAGGGGUCGGGGCCACCGGCGCCUGGCUGGUCGAGACCGCAGGCGUCGACCGCCCAUCUCCGGCAAGGGACGCCCCCGACAACUCCCUGGCAGACCUGUCCGAACCCGGCUGGUCGGGGGGAGUGGCCAUCCCGCAUAGAUUGAUGUCGCCGAUCACCGUCGACGACAAGUCUAGUAGUCCAGCCCGAAGCUCGUCCGCCUCCUGCGGGCCGACUUCCUUGCGGUACCCCUUCUCCAGCCUGGACAAGUCGACUAGGGGGUAGUGGGCGCGCACCAUGCUGAGGAUAUGCGCGCCAGCAAACUCCCCGGCGUCCUUCACGAACUGCUGGAGCCAGUCCCACGCCCGUUGCGCCUUUUCAACUGGCGUCAGUCUCGGCGCGCGGGGCUGGCUCUCCGGAUGCUCGGGGCUGAUCAAAUCCAGGACCGGGGCUACUCCUUUCCAAAUCCUACAACAAUUAACCUUCCAGGAGUCCCGAUCCUUGACCAGCUCUUCUAGGUGCUUCUUGGUGUUCACCUUGAGCACUGCAAAUCAAGCAAGAUGUUAGUCUCAACAUAUCGAAAAGAGCGAUAAAUGGCAAAUAACGGGGGCGGCGCGUAUUACCAGACAACUCCCGGUCCCUCUGGCCCAGCUCCUGCCCUGCUCGGCUCCUGGCCUCCAGCGCCCCGGCAAGCUCUUGGCUGAGCUGCUCUUUCUCCUGCCGAAGGCGCGCGACCUCCUCCUCCAAGUCUACAUGAACAAUUAGCAGGUCAGUAAAGUCAACCAUACGGCUAUAUACAGCUGGCUCGAAGUAUGAGACUGACCUAUUCGCUGCCGAUACUGGUCGGCUAAACGACGAGCGAGCUCGAGAUGAUGCUCCUCCUGGGCGCUCAUCUCGGCCACUUUUUCUCCAACCUCCGACCGCAGCCGGUCGACCUCCGUGGUCAGGGCCUUGUUCUCGGCCACAAUACCUUCUAUUUGGUCGAAGCACCUCUUCCGGUACUUCGCCGUUUUCAUUGCGCCCUGCAAGACGAACAUAUGUUGACCCAGCAAGACAACACAAAAGUAUCGGGCAGUGCAAAGGAUCACUUACCUUGACUUCGUCCACGAGACGCUUGGCCGCGCGCUCUACUCUGGCGGCCUCUUCUGUCGCCGCGAGCUCCUCGUGCCCGAUGAAGUGGUCCCCGCGUUGGCGCCACACAUAUACGUGUUGGCGGCCAUCACGAGGACGACCUUCAAUCUCCUCCACCUCGUCGUCGGAGGCCGCCUGGGUUUCUUCGCCCGCUGCAUCGCCCCCGGUGGUGGUCGCAGGCAUCACCGGCCCCUGGACCAGGCCCGAGGAGCCUGCGGUCGAAGAGACUCCUGCCCGGGGCGGCGUUGGGACCUCCCUCCCUUCGACGGGGGGAGGGGUCGGGGCUCUGCCCUCCCCUUCCACGACGUUACUUGGGGGAGGCGUCCCCGUAGCCUCCUCGACCCUUGUCGGGCUGCUCGCCGCAAUCCUUGUCGAGGCCGGAAGCUCCUCGGCGCUCUCAGGCACGGCUGCCGCCGCAGGCUGCUCCGCGGUCUGCGGCGCCGCGUCCUCAGCGGCACAAGCAGGCUCGGCCACCCUCUGGCCGGUGACGUGGUCGGGGUUGAUGUCCGACGCCGCGCUAAAAAAACAAAGUAGCAUUUUCAACAAAAAAAAGAAAAAAUCGCCAAAGUACGUAAGUCGAACACUUACAGGUCUGAUCGAUGAUGGGCCGCGGUGGACCUCCUCCUAGCCCUGCCGGUUGGCACCUGCGCCCCCGUUUCCGUAAUGCGCGGCGCAGGAGGGUCGCUGGCCACCCGAUCAGUAGUGGCCGGUGCACUGUCCGGACGGCUACGAGGCCUUCGGACCAGCGACGGUGCGGCCUCCUCCUCCUCAUCGUCGUCGGUGAUCCGGACGAGCCGACGGCGCUUUGGCGCUUGGCUGCUCUCUGCCGGCAGCGUCGGCGCAGGCGAAGGAUCUGCUGCCAACGGCCUUUUCCCCGCCACUCUCUCCUCUGUGGUCGGGACGGGGUGGGCCUGGUCCUCCUCACUCCUGAUGUAACGAGUACACCGAGCAGCGUCUUCCUCCGGCGGAUCUUCCCCCGCAGGAUUCUCCAUCCCAGGUGCCAGUGACACAUACACUGCGCACCGAUCAACAUCUCCGAUCUGCAAAAGUAACAAAGACAAGUCAGCAGCAGACAAUAACAAAUGCUAAGGCGAAAUAAUCAGUAAGAUACCUUAGGUGCUGGUCGCCCCAACUUGAAGGCUUGCACCCGAUCACUACCACGGACGAAGCUCCCGUCUGCAAAGUUGAACAGCUCGUUCAACAGCUGCUGCACCUCUGCCUUCUCCAAGACCUCAGGCCGCAUCCUGGUCGGGUCAAGGCUUCCGGCGUACUCGUACGCCGAGUGCACCCUCUUCUGGCAGGGCAUCACUCGACGACACACAAAGUUGCCGACCACGCCUAGCCCGUCCAAGCGCGACCAGUCGAUCAGCUUCAUCAGGUCCGCCACUUGGCCGUCAAACUCUAGGCGGUCGGUCCAGCUUACCCUCUUCUCGGAGAUGUACCCCACGUCGCAGAACGUGGAGCUGCCCGGUUCUUCCCUGAUGUAGAACCACUUCCUGUACCAUUCGGUUAGGGAAGUGUUCCAUGGACAGUGCAGAUAACGGUUCUUCAUCCCGUCGCGAAGAUUGAGGUAUACUCCACCUGCAAUCUUGGAGCCUCCAACCGCUCCCUUCUUUCUUAAACAAAAAAGAUAAUGAAAGAGAUCGAAGUGCGGCUCUAUGCCAACAUAGACCUCGCACAGAUGGAUAAAAGUGGAGAUGAGAAGGAUUGAGUUCGGGUGCAGAUUGCAAAUCCCGAUCUCAUAAUACAAAAGAAGACCCUGAAGAAAAGGAUGAACAGGAACCCCAAAACCCCUCUUAAGGAAAUCCUCGAACACUACGAUCUCACCGGCGCGGGGGUCGGGGUAGCUCUCCACCUCCGGCGCCCUCCAGCCGCCGAGCUCCGGGCUGUGCAGUAGCCCCAUAUCGACGAGGUCACCGAGGGACUUUGUGGUGCUGCGGGAUUUCUUCCAUUCCUUGGCCAUCAGCUCGGCCCUCUUCUUAGAGUCGCUCUUUGCCAUUGGAGAUGCGGGAGUGGUUUCGAGCUAGGAGGGUGCAGGUGGUUGAAGAAGGCGAGAGCGGAAAGCUUGAAGGCAAUGGCAGGGUAAGCAAUGCGGGGUUAAUGUCUGGAUUUUAUAAACCACAACUCCACCCCUCCCACUUCCCGCAUUCUUGGGAAGUGGGCGGGCCAUACGGCGGACGCGGCGCUUCGGUUUUCAAUGAUUAUCGACAAUUAAUGCGGCGGAGUUUUCGUACAAAUUGAUGGUUUCCUUUUCUCAAACCGCGCAAAGGGCGGCUGCACAGUUGCCAGGCGCAACUUUUCAUGCAGCCAUCUGACAUCCCGUCAGGAGGUCUCGUCACGUCAACUUUUAUGUGGUAAAAUUUUUCAAAACAAGCAGACAAAAAAUGGUAGAGAGUCAACAAUCCGAGGACUGCACCGACCACCGAGCACUUGAUGCUCGGGGACUGGUCGCUCAGUCUAUCAACUCGGAACUUCAAGGACUGCACCGACCACCGAGCACUUGAUGCUCGGGGACGGGUCGCCCAGUCUAUCAACUCGGAACUUCAAGGAAUGCACCGACCACCGAGCACUUGAUGCUCGGGGACUGGUCGUCAAAUUUGUUGGGACUGCACCGACCACCGAGCGCUUGAUGCUCGGGGACUGGUCGCCUAGUCUAUUAGUUUGGGAAUCAGCGGGCUGUAUUGAUCUUCGAGCAUUGUACACCCGGGGACUGGUUGACCAGCUCGUCAAAUUGAUAAGUCUAUUUGAUGGUAAACGAGCAUGAGAUGCUUGGGGACUGGAUAAUUUUAUUUUUUUAGACCUUGCUACAAGGCUCAUACUUCGCUUUCCAGCAAGCUCGGGGACUACAUCGGUAUGAUGCAUCUGGCGAUGCAUCUCAGUUUCAAAACUACUUUGGGGAAUUUUCUUUUGACCCUGGCACCACGUGCCUACGUCACCUACUACCAGGCUCGGGGACUAAGUGGGCACACUUCACCUUGCGGUGAAUAUGCUUGCUUUUUUUUGAGGAUCCGUACUUUUUAGAAAAGUAAAGUGGGCACACUUCACCGGAAAAGAAAUAUUUUUUCUCAAGAGCACCAUGCAUUCUUCGAACAAUUGGCUUCUUCUACGAUGAUGUUGAUCAAGUAUGUUUAGAUUUGGUCAAAAUACCGUCGCAAUUGUCUGGGCAAUUUUCAUGCUGAUUGAAGAUGUCAAAGUUUCAUUGGUCGAAGAAGCUCAAGAUGGCGUGUUACUUCACAAUACAUGGUGCUCGGGGACUAGCUGUGGGGGUAUAAACCCCUAUCCCCUUACGGCUAGACUUGGGCCAGGAGGCUUGGCCCAUUACGAGACAAGUUCAAGGCUUGAUCUGACAGCUUGGAGUUUCGCACAAGGAAACAAGACGUGGAGAUCAAGCAGGAUUCUGGUCGGUUAGAAUAGGAAUUGAUAUCGAACUAUCUAUGGCAAUUGUAACCGACUAGUAUUAGUUUCCAGAUCUGUAACCCUGCCCUCCGGACUAUAUAAGGAGGGGCAAGGGACCCCCCUAGGACAGAUUAUUCUCUCAACACAAAUUAAUACAAUCAGACGCAGGAUGUAGGUAUUACGCCAACUCGGCGGCCGAACCUGGAUAAAAAGCUUGUCCGUGUCUUGCGUCACCAUCGAGUUCGUAGUUUGCGCAUCGUCUGCCGAUAAACUACUACCGUGGGUAUACCCCAAGGUAGACUGCCGACUAGCUUUCGUUGACAAUUAUAUGUCUAGGAUAGUUGGUUUGAUCUUAUUGAAUUCAUAUAAUUGCUCGUAUAGCGUUUACCUAAUCGAUCGUUGGGUAGAUGAUAGACAAUAUGUAGACAGGUCGUGUAGUCCGCGUAGGUGACAGCUGUGUUGGUUCCUCUGUAGUCCACCCUCCGUACGUAGGGCUAGCAUGGGCGCGAUCGCGAAGGAGGUGACCAUUGCGUCUUAAAACCCUCACUAGUUGAUGCCUCUUUACAUGUAAUUAUGAUAUAGGGUUAAGUUAACGAUGAUUUCUACAUGUAAUUGCACUAAUUAGAGUUAUUCCUUGACGUAGUUAUAACAUUACCUUAGAUUCAACUCCCUAGUUUAUCCAUUGGCUAACUAUUAUUAUGACUAGUAGAUGCUCUGAUGAUUAUCCUUAUUUAUGAUAUUUGAUGAUUAUGCUAUCACUUUUAUUUAUCAUUAUUUAUCUUGUGACCUCUGCAUGUAAUGAGUAGAUUAUAGCACUUAGGUAAUAUGAUUUAUUCAUUCUUAUCAAUAUAAUAGAUAUAGUUUAACCCUUAGCCUUCCCAGUGGUAUAAAUAUAAAUCGACAAUCUGGAUACUUCCCUAGGUAAAAUGCUACAACGGUAUAAUUAUCUGUCUGCUUGCAGAACCCAUUUAGUUUACAAUUAUAUUCAUAUCUUUUAUUUCUGCCUAGUCACAACAGUACAUAUGAAUCUAUAAAUUCCUAGCAAUAUAAUUAGGGAUGACAACCUACUUCAUGUUUACGAAUAUUAAUAAUUAAGGAAGUGGCUACUUGCUAAUUGACAAGUUAAUUAUAUACUGUGCAUUUCUGGUGUUGUUACUAGGAGUAGGGUUUAUAUCUGUUUUUAGUGAUGACGGUAGUAAAUGUCAACAAACCGCGUCGUGAAAGCUCCUGUAGCCCUGAAGCAGUUUUACCAACAAGGAAGGCAAGAACUACAAUUAGUAUUAAAGAAGAAGAACAAUAGAAGAUGGAGGAAGACGAAGCAUGCAGAGACAGCUCAAUUGAUCACCGCUCUCAACACUGAGAAUGAUCAUAUGCUACCCAAGCCAUGUCAAAUCAAGAGAGGUGAUCCAGGAGUUCCAAUCAUUGAAUGCACAAUCAACAACACCACCUUCCCUUACACCGUCUGCGACACUGGAUUAAGCUACAAUGUAAUGUCAAAAUAGGCAUAAUAUGAAUUAUUUGAUUUACCUUUAUACCCAACACAUAUUCAAUUGAAGAUGGUAGAUCAAUCAUUAAGAUUCCUGGAAGGAAUGGUCAAGGAUAUAAUGGUAAGAAUUCAAGAAUAUUAUAUACCAGCCAACAUCUACAUCGGAUCAGGGCAUAUCCACUUCAACCUACCCACCGGAAAAGUACGCUGUCAAUUUAGAACAUUAGUUAACCGUGAGCAGAUCAGGAAGGAACACAACAGGAGAAGACGCCAAGCCCGCCGUCAGGCUACCCAGCCUCAGUGAGGAUGGGAAGACUUUCAUGGCAAGAUUGUAAAGUAUGAAGAUCACCUCAUGGAAGAAGAAGAGAACAUACAAGGACCUCGAUGGAGUGUGAAAGGAUCAAGAUGCCCAAGAGGGGGGGGGUGAAUUGGGCUUCUCUAAAAAUUUAAGCAACCUAUAAGCUCCAAUUCAACCCUUGUGCCUAAUGUGACCUAGAGAGCUACCGGAUAAAAGUUUUGCAACCUAGUUUCAAUCCUAUUCUAGCAUGGCAAUUCUAAGAAAGUAAAAGCACAAAGUAAAUGCUAGAAUGUAAAGGAGUAGUGGAAGAAAGUGCUCGGUGAUGUUUUGUCGAGGUAUCAGAGAGUCGCCACUCUCCACUAGUCCUCGUUGGAGCACCCGCGCAAGGGUCUUGCUCCCCCUUGGUCCGCGCAAGGACCAAGUGCUCUCUACGGGCUGAUUCUUCGACACUCCGUCGCGAUGAAUCGCCCAAAACCGCUCACAAGGUUGACACGAGCCACCCACAAGAACUCCGGGCGGUCUUCGUGCCUCCAAUCACCACCAAACCGUCUAGGUGAUGGCGAUCACCAAGAGUAACAAGCAAGGAACUCUCACUUGACCCAAAAAAGGCUCUAGAGAGUGGUGGAUGCACACUUGACUCUUGGAAUUCACUAGAGAAGGAUUCUCUCAAGAAAUCACUCAAAUCUCAAUCCUCUCUAGGCUCUUGCUACUCUCUUGCUCCACAACAAGUUUCUCAGAUGUUCAAAUGGUCAAGAGCCCUCUCAUGGACGAGGUGGAGGAGUAUAAAUACUCCCCACGAAGUCCAAAGGUCAGCCAACCGUUUUCCACUGAAAACGGGGUCACCGGACGCUCUUUAUGUUGCACCGGACACUCUGCACCGAGUGUCCGGUGCUCCAUAACGGCUAACUGUACCUGCGUCUGACAGGUCACCGGACGCUAACUCUCAGCGUCCGUUGGCACCGUCCGAUGCUCGGUGGAGUUUUACAAACUCCCUGAGUAUGGGACCGGACGCUACCCGGUGCGUCCGGUGCUAGCGUUCGGUGCUCAGGGGAAGUUUACAACCUCCCUAGGUGUGGGACCGGACGCUGCCCAGUGAGUCCGGUGCUAGCGUCCGGUGCUUAACCCUAAGCACCAAACUAUUCCAACGGCUAAGGACCUCACCGGACGCAAGCGUCCAAUGCAGCGUCCGGUGCCCCCUUGGGCACCCUAACUUCAUCGAAACGCGAUCGCUCCAAAACGAAGUUGGUUCCUCUCAAUCUAAGGACUAUCUCUGAGCUGCCUAGUGCUAGGUUUACCAAGUGUGCACCACACCUAAACCUAAAGCCUUGCCUAAGUCAAGCUACUAGAUCAAAGCCCCUCUUAAUAGUACGAUCAAAGGAAAACAAAGUCCUAAACUACUCUAAGUGCCCUUCUUCACCAUAUGGCACUUAGACCUAGUCUAGUCUUGACGAUGUCCAUCCAUCCUUUAAAAACCGAAACGAUUUCCACUAUUAAGUAGGCAUGUACGUCCCUGUCCAUCGAGUACCUAUUACCAUGACCUCAUAAAUGACUUUGCCUCUGCAAAAUACAUGUUAGUCAUAGUAAUCAACAUUGUCAUUAAUCACCAAAAUCACUAGGGGCCUAGAUGCUCUUUCAAUCUCUGCCUUUUUGGUGAUUGAUGACAAUAACCUCGAGUAUGAAAAGAGUUGAGGUUUUCAAAUGACUUGGUUUCAAUAAGCAUGAUACAAUAAGAACAAAGUGAUUAGGCAUGCUUAUAUCAACCAAGUCUAACAUCCUGCAUCCAAAUAUGUGAGUGGUACAACAAGAUAUAAACACACAUAGCUCAUAAGUACAUCGGAGUAAAACGCGGAAGCAAAGGUAUUAUGAGCCAAACACAUGACAUAAAGAUAGCACAAAAAAGCAAACGUCAUGUCUCACAACCAGUAUAUCUCACACAAGUGCAUGCAUGAAAGUAAACGUGAUGCAUGAUAGAGUAGCACACAAAAGAGUGUAUCAAAAUAAGACUAAAGCGUGUAUCAAAAUAAGACUAAAUAAGACUAACACAACCUCUCUCUAGCCUCUUGCUCCCCCUAACUCUCAUACUCACUACUCUCUCCCCCUUUGGCAUCAAACACCAAAAACCUAAGAAGACGGAGGUGGGGGUGGAGCAGUGGAGUCCCUCGGCACGGCCUCAAAGCGAGCUGCAUUGUCUGAACCAUCGGCCGUCGAGGCGGAGGAGGUGGAGUGACCCUCUGAAGCUGCACGUGCUGGCGAAGCGGUCUGGGUCUGCUCUGGAGGCGCUGAAGCUGUCACGGGCUGUGCGGGCUGCUCAAGUCCUGCGGACGAAGCUGGCACGGACUCGGUCGCUGUAGCUAACGUCUCUGGCAUGGUAGAGGAAGGUGCUAGUUGCUCAGACGAAGCUACGGACGACGACAGACGCUCUGUAGUGGUGAAUGGAGCUGUAAAAGCUGCAGGAGCCUGUAGGGGGAGGCGUAGGGUCACCAGUCAGAGCACUAUAGGAGAAGCUGAGGUGCUGGUCAGUCAACUAGUCUAACACAAGCUGUGACGCUGUCGCUGACUGAGGAGUGAAACCUGAGCGGAGGGGUGUGAACUGAGGUACCUGCUCAAAACCAGAGGAGAUAGCACCCUAGGAGACCUGGUGCUGAGGCGUCGAAAAUGGAUGACUCUGAGCAGGAAGCUGUAGCGGCUGCUGAGACUGACUCUGGGUCUGAGGUGCUGGAGUGGGAGGUCUGAUAGAUGAAGUGCCUGGAAGCUGUAUCUGAGGAAUCUGAAUCCCUGAGGCGGUCAUAAGAGCGGCCAUCAUCGCUGUCUGCUGAGCCUGGAACGCAAGCUGCUGCUCCUGGAAGGUCAGAAACUAUCGCUGGAGCUCAUCUUGCCUAGCCUGCAUGGCUGCAUUGAUGGCAGCCUGGUCCCUGUCUCUCCUCACCUGAUCGGCUCUCAUCCCCUCUAGUAUGGCAAGCAGAGCGGGGUCUGAAGCACUCGAGGAGCCUCCUGCCUCAUGGUCAUGUGCCCUCGGGGGAAGAUCUGACACUGGGGGACGAUAAUCAUCGUCCGAGUUGUCCGAAGCAAAGUCAAACUCCCCCUCAGCCUCGGCAUCUGCAAAAGCCCCAAUGGCUAUGUCCUGCUGCUCAUCAGUCUCUGGUACCGCUCCUGUACUACGAGUGCCCCUAGGAGAAGGUGGGGGCACCAGGCCACGUGGUGCACGAGGAGGUGGAGUAGCUCUGAGGUCGUGGUGUGCUCUAAACAUCUGCCUGGGGUUGUAGUGGGGGAAGACUGUGUCUGAGUUUGUCAACUCUCUCUGCAGGUGAGCUAGAAGGGGUACUGGCCUGGCACGGAGAAUAAGCAGGGUAAUCCAAUGUGCAUAUGGUAACUGACGCCGUCCCCUCAAGCUCUCUGAAAUAGUAUCCUCGAUCUCUGAGACUAUCAGAUCCCACAAGUCAAACAGAGUCUGAGAGAUGAGGUGAGCUACCAGCCACUGCUGAAUCCUGGUGAAACCAUCUCUGUAGCCUGUCCUGGGAAGGAGUGUCUUCCUCAACACAAAGUUGAGGAUCCGAGCUGGGCGAGUCAAGUCUCCCACUGUCCUGCUGGAGCCCUCUCCAAAAGGCAGACGGAAACAGGGAGCCACAAAGUCAACCGGUGGUAUCUCACCACCAUGAGGACGACGAGGGGGCUCGAAGUUUCUGUAGCACAGCUGGUGAAUCCUGGUGGGGUAGGCUCUCAAGCCAAGUACCUCUCGGGCAUGCUGUGCUGUCACCCUGUAGUCAGUCCCUGCCAAAGCGUAGUGGAUAUAGCUAUGAUCUGGUGAAACCCACACUAAAGCAUAGAACUCUCUGACCCACUGCUCACAAUAAGUACCAGGGAGAGCCAGUAACUCUGGGAGGCCGUGGAGGUAAGUGAAGUACUGUCAGAUGUCUGCCCCAACCACGUUCCCUAGAAUCUCAAGGUUGAUCACUCUGUGCUCCUUGAACUGAGACUGUGAACGAACCAGAGCCUCGUAAAUGUCCUCCUGGACCAUUGUGUAAAACCUGGCAGCGGCUCGUGGAUCCCUAGCAGCUGGAAACCAGGUAGAAAAAGGAACGAACCACAGCUGCUGGAUCUCUCGAGCUGAGACCUGAGUGUAGUCCCUGUGAAUCCUGACCGGUCCCUGACGAGGAGCUAGAGUGCCUCUAGCUGGUGUAGUGCGAGCAGUGGAGGUAGACUGGCCCUAUGUACCAGUCCUGGGAACGGCCUGAGUACGGGCACGAGUCGACCUCCUGAGAGGCUGCUCCUGCUGCUGUGCCUCUACCGGACCCUCUGCCUGGGCUUCUGUCUCUGUAUCCGGGUCCUCCUGAGCUGGAUCUCUGACCACAAUCCUGACCCGCUGACCCCCUAUCAUAACGGUGCCUGGAGGGGAUCCAUGGAGUGCCUCUGCCUGAAGAACUACACGCCACUGCUGUGGCGUGAGAUCAUCCCCAAUCCUCAGAGCACCUGAGCGUCCACCCCUCUUAGCUGCCUCAGCUGCUGCUACAAUUGCCUCUGCCACCUCUGCCUCUCUGUCGCUGGCCUUCCUCUUCUUGGUGGCCAACUUCUUGCCCUUGCCCUUCUUUGCCGCUGACAUGCGACGGGGAGGAUCACCUCCACCAUCACCUCCUGGAGAACCUUCUGAGCCAGCUGCCGGACCACUGACGUUCUUGCAGCGAGCCAUCGCAAGAACAAACUGCCUGAACAACUACUGACAACUGACAAACUGGCAUGAGAGAGCAACGUACUGCAAGAGAUAGAAUAGAUAGGGCAUAUAUAAGCAAACAUAAUAGCUAGAGGUGAGGAAAACCUAUAGAUCGCAAGAAUAGAUAAGGAACGGGCGCGAACGGCUUACGAUCGGGCGUCGAGAUGCGUUCCGAAUGAAGUAACACGAUCGGAAUCCGCCGGAGAACGCGAGUCAACUCCUCAAGAUGCUAUGAAUGGUAAACGAAAGGGAAUAUUGUCAAUAACAACAUCCAAAUCCGUUUAGGCAUUAAACCAAACACCUUGAGGGCAUGGAAACUAGAACUUACCCAAACCCUAAUCUCCACGGGAGAAGAACACUUCAACGCGAGGGGAACAAGGAGAAGACUCCUGGGGAGAGAUCUGGCGCGUGGGGAGAGGCUUGAGGUUGCCGAAUUUUGAGAAGAAUGACGGCGGCGGCGAUUUCGGCGGGCUAGGGCACGGGCAGAGUUGGCGGCACGUGGGGAAAAAAAGAAUCUGCCCCGAAGACAACCCCCGGGCGCGGGUUAAAAGCGCCCGCCGUGGGGUCACCGGACGCACUUAAAGUGGCACCGGACGCGUCCGGUGACCACCGCACUCAUGCGCAGAGAGGUUUGCAAAAUUGCUGACCACCUGACGAUGGCCACCAGACGCUGGCCUUAGCGUCCGGUGCCCUAGGGCACGCCUGGUGAGCACCGGACGCACAUCACCGGACGCUGCAGGGACACUGUUCCUGCGUCCGGUCAGUGCAGUCUGGCAAACUCACCGCACCGGACGCACCGAGACAGUGUCCGGUGCAUCGUCCGGUGCACCUCUGAGUCCUUUUUCAACUUAGCACUACAUCCGACUUUGACCCAACCAAGUUCCAACUUCAAAGACACACAAUUAAACACCAAGUGGAACUUGGUAUGAGUGACCUCUCUCAAACCCUCAAAUUUUCACAAAUAUUUAGCCAUAGGCUUAGUAGUUUUUAUGAAAAUAGUUCGAGAAAUCACCAAGGAGCAUCAUAUGGCCAUAAAGCUAGGGGUUUGAAUCACAAUGAGCUUUGAAUGCUCCCCCUAUCUAUGGACGAACACAGCGGAUGCUCAAGGAAUAACCGAAAAGAAACGGUCAACUAACAAGCAUGCAUAUGAUAUGAGGUGAAAUGCAAUACUUGAAAAUAAACUAAUGCUUGUCAAGUUUGAUCCAAGGUUAAGCUUUUUCACACACACAAGGGGGUUAUCUUAACCAUGUUAGACAAGCCCUACACACAAAUUUUUGAAUUUUAGUUUUAGUAUGCAUGAUAUGCAAAACAAAAGCUAUUUACAAAUUUCAACACACAACUUUAUCUUUUAGUGAAGUUAGAGAGAUCAAGCACAUUAAGUUCAUUUCUCAACAUACAAAACCUAGCUUCAUCUAGGGGUUUUGUGAAGAUAUCCGCUAAUUGAUUUUCUGUUCCCACAUUCUCUAGAGAUAUGUCACCUUUAGCAACAUGAUCCCUAAGGAAGUGGUGGCGGAUGUCAAUAUGUUUUGUGCGGGUGUGUUGAACUGGGUUGUUUGCAAGUUUUACGGCACUUUUGUUGUCACACAACAAAGGUACUUUGUCUAGUACUACUUCAUAGUCUAGCAAAGUUUGUUUCAUGUAGAGUAUUUGUGCACAACAAGCACCGGCGGCAAUGUAUUCCGCCUCGGCCAUUGACAAGGCAACACUAUUUUGUUUCUUUGACAUCCAAGAGACAAGUGAUCUACCUAGGAAGUAGCACCCUCCGGAUGUGCUUUUUCUAUCAAUCCGGCACCCGACAUAAUCCGAAUCGGAAUAGCCUACAAGUUGGAAUCUUGCACCUUUGGGAUACCACAAACCUAGGCAAGGUGUGUAUUUUAGAUACCUAAGAAUUCUCUUGACGGCAAUCAAGUGAGAUUCCAUAGGCAUUGCUUGAAAUCUUGCACACAUACACACACUAAACAUGAUAUCGGGCCUACAUGCGGUGAGGUCGAGUAGACUUCCUAUCAUAGAGCGAUAGAGAGUCUUGUCAAUUGGGUUACCUCCCUCAUCCAAGUCGAGAUGCCCAUUUGAUGCCCUAGGAGUCUUGAUUGGCUUGCAAUCCAUCAUCUUGAACCUCUUGAGAAGAUCUUGUGUGUACUUCUUUUGAGAGAUGAACACUCCUUCCUUCAUUUGCUUGACUUGAAAUCCUAGGAAAAAGGAUAGCUCGCCAAUCAUGGACAUCUCAAACUCCUUGGACAUCAAAUCACCAAAUUCCUUGCAAAAAUCUUCAUUAGUAGAGCCAAAAAUAAUAUCAUCAACAUAAACUUGGUAAAUGAUGAUUUCCCCAUGUUGGGUAUUCUUAACAUCAUUACCAAAAGUAGACUAAGUUCUCUAAAUCUAGUAACGGUGCCAAAAAUGCCAAACCUAUCCCUCACACCACUUAAGCCAAGUUGUCAUCCCCAGCAUGACAUGAGAGACGCGGUAUUGAAAUAUGCAAUUGCUCUUCUAAAUAAAUAAUGAAUGGGAUCUGCAAGCGCACAGAUUAAUACCGAUGCAGCAUUUUAAUCGGGAAGUAUUCCAGGUAUCGUUAUUUAUAUUUUUACCACUGGGAAGGGAUUAGCAAUCAUCACUAUUGAUUACAGAAUAGAAUAUGAGAUUGAGCAUCUAUCAUUGCAUAUGUAAUUGAGAACAUUUAUCUAACUCUUCAUAUAGGGAUAAGUGUCACAUAAAAGAUAUAUGAAAUAAUAAUAGUGACAAGGAUAACUAAUCUGAUCUAGCCACAUAAUAAAUAUGAUAAGCACCUCAAUUAGAUACUCUAGAAAGUCAUUAGCAUGGUAUUAGAACGAACUACAAGAAUAUUCCCUAAGUUAUUCUCAACUAUAUAGUCUAGCAUUAUCAUAGUUAGUGCAAGCAUACUUAGCAAUCAUUGCGAGACAAGACUACGCCCAUGCAUAGUGAUAUUAGCAAGGAAUAUGAGAAACAUAGCAAUCACUCCCCUGUAAUAAUAUUGCUCUGCCAGCCCAAUACACGAGAGGGGGGACUAUAUAAGAAUCAAUGAAGCUGUCACUAUCAUGAACCACCCCACGAUCUGGCAUAUUGGGUACAAUCACAGAUAAAUACGGUAUAAGCACCACGCCUACACAAUAUCUAUCAUUUACCCAUGGAUCCGAUGGAUAAACGCUAUACGAUCCUAAGCAUGUAUAUAGAUCCAAUCUAACUAAACCAAGUACAUAACUAUGAUAAACUAAGAACAAUAUAAUCUUGAAUAUAAGCAAGUAGAGCAAAGUCAUAAGCAAUAUAUUGAAAUAGAACAAAGUCAUAUUCAUAAUAUUGAAGAACAAAGAUAAUUAGAAAGUGAUUAGAAGCACAAUUAGAGAAUUACCAAGAAUCCUCUUGACAGAUCCGGAAACCAAUCGAAGAUUGACUCCUUCUAGUUCUAAUCCUAUGUAGCUAUGCUAAUCUAGAUAUCUAAUUGAUGUGGUGGCUCUAAUCUUGAUCAGAGGCUUCUUCUCCCUUGAGGAACAACGAAUUAGGGUUGAGAGGCUCUCUCCUCCAGGGGCCAGGGGGUCUGGUUUUAUAGUCCCUUCAAGUGAAUAUGGGCCGUUGGAUCAAACCGACAUAGAUUGUAUGGUUUAGAUUCAUCCUUUAGGUCGGUGGAGAUCUCCCACGAAGCAGAGUCCUGAUUGGACUCAGGGAGAGGGCGGGCUCCCAGGGCAGGAGGGCGGGCGCCCUGCCUCUGGCCCCGUUUCGCCUCCGCUUCGGUCUCGUGGCUUCUGGAGUCUUCUAGAUGUAAGAUAAUUGCGCGGCACAUUAAUAUCUCUAUGUAAUCCCGACGUGUGGGCCUUUCUUCCGUAUUUCCUGAUAACCCCCUGCAGAAAUAGACAAACACCAAAACUCGUGGAAUUCUGUCAGAUAAAACCCUAAGUCUAGAUGUUGAUUUCAUUUGGAUCCUUUUCUUUAUUUAUUUGAUAUUUAAAUUUGAUACUUAAGGACCGUCAACAAACUCCCCCAAGCUUACCUCUUGCUCGUCCCUGAGCAAGGAUAGACUCAGCUAUGGAUCAUAAGUUGUUGCAAUAUCUUUAAAAAUUGACGGUACACAUGCUUUUUAAAUAAGAUCUUAUCUCUGAGUUAGAGUAAACUAUCAAGACUUAAAACUUACUUACUUUACCUUCACCAUGGGACUUGUAACCGUCACUUCUGUCUUGAGUAGUUAGAAGAUAGAACAGUCUAGUCAAGUGCCAUGUCUCUUAUUCUUGAUCAGCUAUAGCUCUGGGGUUUUUGCAGAUUUUCAAAUAAAACUCAGAGAUUCCUUGUAUGAUUCUUUCAUAUCUCUCUUUUGUGGUAUUUCUGGAUCCUUACCAAGGCAGUGAUGGUAGAUGCCUUCUCUCAAGAUAUGUGGUAUUUGUGGUAUAAAGCAUAGUGACAUUAUCUUAUCUCUCACCCUACUCUAAUAAGGCUUUAAUAUCUGGAGCUCAUAGGUGGGAGAUAAAGUAUACAUACUUACAAGACAUGUAUUGCAUAGUCAAACCAUGGAUCCAAAGAAACAAAUCAAUAAGUUUAAUCAAGAUGUGCAUGUGUGGCGAAUGAAUGGUGUAUGGUGAUGAUGGUGAUAACAAUGGUGAAAGUCUAAUUCUACUUUGCUCUUUUGAGGGGAUACAUACCUUCCUUGCUUUUUGAAAUUUUAUGAGGAGAAUGAGAUGCUCUUCUUUUUCUUUUCUCUCAGGUGGGUAUCUUGUACCCCUAAUUCUACUGUCGGACACUUGUCCAUUUUUACCUCUCGUCUCACUUUUUUUCCUUUUCUUUCGAGGUUCCGAGCACUUGCUCCUUUUUAUUUCCUCAUAUUUAUUUAUUUAUUUUUUUAGAGCACUCAUCUCUUGAGAUAAUAUAGCAAGUGGUAGUAACAAGAUAACUUGAGCAUUUAUUUCACAAGGGAAAACAGAAAUAUUUUUGGUUAUUCUCUCUCGGAUUAGGAGUAGAAUAUUUUUGGGUGAUUCUGUAGAUGGAAAUGGAUGGAUAUAUGUGGAUGGUACUUCCGGAGUAGAAGUAGCAUAUAUGAGUGAAUGUGCAAGUGAAAUCUUGAUUUAACCACAUGACAAGCUCCUAAGGGUCUACACAGCUUGACUACACUCAAUGCUCAUAAGCAGUAAAAAGUAAAUGUGUGGCUCAAAGUCUAGCAAGCAUGUAUAUAUGGCUGUGGUAGAAAUUUAAACUCUCAUCAUACAGGAACUCAUCAUGCAACAUUUUAAAGAUUUUCAAAGAUAAAAUUCUCUAGAAUUGUAGCAUCUCUAGGAAUAGAUAAACAACAGCUCAACCUUCCCAUAUCGUAUCCGUUAACAACUUAGACUUCAGAUCAAGUUUUCAUCCCACAAGUUUAGGUCUAGAGCAAGCUUUAAAUUAUAACAGUUAUAUCUAAACUUGAGAGAGAACUUAAAAUGUGCAAACUAGGCAGAGCAACAGGGCUCAGUACUCCCGAGUCGGCGAGAGGCUAAGGGACACCCUCCACAUUGGGGUGAAGUGGGCCCUGGUCGUGGUGAGCUCUCACUACCUCGGCAUCGAUCUGCCAGCGGUCAGUGAAGGCUACGUCGUCGGCGACGAUGAGGACGAGGCCCGGGAGGAGGUCCAAAAGCUUACCAACACUACAGAAGCCCCCAAAGAUGCCUUGGCCAGCUUCUUUGAUGCUGAAGUCACGCUCCCCCUCUUAAUCUGUUAGGGCCUGAAGAAACUGGACCGUAGAGGCCCUAUAACGACUUAGUUUGUUUUUUGUAAACUUUGGCGGCCAGUAAGGCCUUCUUUUGCAGACUUCAUACAUAUGGUAUGUUUAUACGUAUUUUUUGAGUCUUUUGCGUUUGUUUUUCCCCUUAGAAUCGUCCUAGCCUCAACAAUGCGAGGCAAGGUGGAUUACCAAGGCUCAGAUCUUUGGUCGGAGAGUUUCGAACCCGAGUCUUUUUCUCGUUCCUUAGCAUUUCAGACCCUUUGCAGGUCUUGCCUAAAGAUCGAACAAAACCAUUCCCUUGGUCUAUGGGGAAGAGUAGGAAAGGUCUUAGCCCAUAGGCGUGGACAGUUUCAGGCUCGUCCGACCUUAAAUCUAGUGGGAUAGUUUGUGAUCUUUAGUUUUUUAGGAACAGGAAAGAGAGCUUGGACCGAAAGACUCUUAACCUAAGAAAAUUUUGAAAAAGUAUGGCGAGAACCCCCCAUGUAGCCCCCGAGGGAGGUGUUGACGGUUCUUAAGUAUCAAUUUUAAUUAUCAAAUAAACAAGAGAAAAGACCAAUAUGCAAACAACACCUAGAAUUAGGGUUUGAUCUAACAGAAUUCCACAAGUUUUGUUGUUUAUCUGUUUCUGCAGGGGGUUAUAAGGAAAUAAGGAAGAAAGGCCCACAUGUCGGGAUUACAUAGAGAUAUCAAUGCACCGCGCAAUUUUCUACCAUCUAGAAGACUCCAGAAGCCACGGGAACAAAGCAGAGGCCGAACGGGGCCUGGCCCAGGGCGCUCGCCCUGAGGACCAGGGCGCCCGCCCCCUCCUGGAUGCCAAUCAGAACUCUUUUCGCGGACGACGCUCCACCGACCUAAAGGAUCAAGGAUUACCGUCCAAUCAAUGUCGGUUUGAUCCAAUGGCUCACGUUCACUUGAGGGGACUAUAAAACCAGACCCCCUGGCCCCUGGAGGAGACAAGUUCAUCAUAGAGUUGAGAGGAGCCCACAAAGGAAUACCUCUCCUCUAAAUAAAAUUUCUUUUUAGGCUUAGCAUCCAAUGUGAGUAGAAAUAGAUCAUCUAGUUUCUACUAGAUUGAGAGAGAUAGAGUAGAGGUGUAGAUCGAAGGAAGCCCGGCCAGUCGGUGUCUACUCCAAGUUUGUACUUGUGGGAUCAAGUUCUCCUAACCCGAAGCUUGCUCCUAGGAUUCUUCAGUAUUUUGACUUCUAAAUUCUAGUAAGUUCUUAUUUUAUUGUUCUUUAGUUUAUGAGUUUACUUUAAUCUCUUCGCGUAGAGUUUAGAGUAAUCAUCUCUAGCGUAGACGUGGUGUUUAGGCUAGGAUACUCAUAGAUAUUCCCUGACUAGCUAGACCGUGGUAGUAGCGAGGAACGUGACAUUUCCAAGUUAUGUUUGCAAACCAUAUCUCGUUAGCAGGAAGGAUAGGGUUUAUAGGUGCGGGUUGAACAUCCUCUGUGGUGUCUAGAUUCCGUAAGCUUCCCCAAUAGAACAGUAGAUCAUCCUUACCAAGGUUAGAAGGAGAUUACAGUUGUAGUCUUCUCUAUUUGUCACACACAUCGAGAAACAUUCUUUGUAGCCUAAAGGUUAGUAGUAAUAGACCGGGUUAGUCAGAUGCACUCUUUCUCCUAGUGGUAAAAAAAUAAAUACGAUACUCUGGAUAACCUCCCGGGUGAAGUGCUCACCGAUAUCCGUGCGCUUGCGGAUCAAUUCCUUAUUGCGUUCCCAAAUAUCAACAAGCAUUUCUGGCGCCGUUGCCGGGGAGAAAGACGGUUUGCUGAGAUAACCUUGAGUAUUACUACUAGCUUGUAUCUAUACUUUUAUCUUUUCUUAUCUUUUAUAUUCUUUGCUUAUUUUCUUUAUUCUUACCUUAUGGAAAACCAAAAUUCUAAAUCGAUCCAUGAGUCUGCAACACCUUCAGUAACUGUCCUUUUACCAUGGGAGUCAUCACAGCCUAUCCAAACAUCCCAAUAUAAGUUAAGUUCUAGGUUGAUUGCCAUGAUUCAAAACCUAUCUUUUUCAGGAAAGGAAGACGAAAACCCUUACCAUCAUAUUAGAGAUUUUGAGCAAACAUGUGAUUGUCUUCGCAUUGAAGGCAUUUCUGAUAAAACUUUACGUUGGAAGCUUUUUCCUUUUUCUUUAAGGGGAGAAGCUAGACAAUGGUACAAUCAGAAGUUAAGUCAACAACGAGGUGAAUGAGAAUUUUUACGAGCCAACUUUUGUCUAGAUUUUUAUUCCCUCGACCGUAUCAGUGACCUUAGACUCGAAGUCCUAUCUUUUAAACAAAAAAAUAAUGAAACUUUGGGAAAAUCCUAGAAAUGUUUUUCUAAUCUUUUAGAAUAUGGUCCAAACCUUAAUCUUGAAGACCCUGUUCUUUUAUUUCAAUUUUUUCGAGGUCUUCAGAAAGAUCACAAACAAAUGCUACAUACAAUGUCUAGAGGUUCUUUCUUUCGCAUCCCUACUGAUGAAGCUAGAGUGAUCCUGGAUAGAAUCCUAGAAGCUGAGAUGGAUAAUACCCUUCAUGAUGAAACCCAUGAAGCCGAAGUCGACACUCUGCUAAAUUCUCCAUCUACUUUAGCUAUCCCAAGUUCUGAGCCACAAAAGGAAGAAAUUCCACCACCAGACUUCAUGCUGGAUAUAGAAUCUGAUCUUUUUGCCGAUUUUGGAAACAUUUCAAACUACCAUUCUACUAACAGACCCCAAAACGACCAUCUUAGCAUUUGUUUGCCAACUAAAUAUUAAUUGAGAGAGCUUAUCUCAGUCAUGAGUAGCGAGUGGUUGGAGGAAUCAGAGCUUUCCUCUGAUGUGAUCCGUUUGGACACACCCUCUAUAACUAUACGUUGUGCUUAUAAUUCUGAUCGAUUUGAUGCUCUCUAUAAUCCUGUUGUGGGGAUCAACAUAAUGUCUGAAUCUUUUGCACUUAAAUUGUUUAAAAAUCUUGUUUUAACCCCCACAACAAAGGUCAUAAAGGAAUCUUCGGGACGAUUAGUCCCCAGUCUUGGAAUUAUUAAUGUCCUACCUCUUACGGUAGAAGGCUCCAUGGUUCAUUUGAACUUCUAUAUCUUUAAUACAUGGGACUUCGACCUGGUGAUAGGACAACCUUUUAGAAGACUCCUUUAUGAAGGUCAUACUGGAAAGCUACACAUUUCUUUUGGGAAAACCUUUAAAAUUCCCAUAACAAUUUCACACUCCUUGAAUAAUAAGGCCGAGUCAUAUCUUUUGCUUGAUCCUAUGGAGGAGGUAAAGGCUGCAUCUCUAGAGCUUUUAGAUGAACCAGACUUAGAAGACGAAACUCCUUUCUUCACAGAAGAAGAAGCUGAACCUUCUGAACCUGAACCCUAAGAUGAGUUUGCAGAAACGCCUAGACCUCCCAUAGAGCUUAAAACUUUACCACCCGGUCUUAUCUAUGCUUUCCUAAACAAUAAUCUAGAGUUUCCUGUGAUCAUUAGUGAUAAACUCACUCAGGAGCAAACUCUGCGAUUAAUGACCAUUCUUGAGAAACAUCACUCAGUUUUCGGCUACUCACUCCAAGAUCUUAGAGGAAUCAGUCCUAUGAUUUGUACCCAUCGUAUUCCGACAGAUCCUUCUGUUACACCUUCUCGAGAGCCCCAACGUAGACUUAACAACACUAUGAGAGAGGUAGUUAAAAAGGAAGUUAUAAAGUUGCUGCAUGCAGGGAUUAUAUAUCCUGUGCCGCACAGUGAGUGGGUAAGCCCAGUUCAAGUUGUGCCUAAAAAGGGAGGCAUGACUGUUAUUAUGAAUGAAAAGAACGAGCUAAUUCCGCAACGCACCGUCACAGGAUGGCGGAUGUGCAUAGACUAUAGAAAACUAAACAAAGCCACGAGAAAGGAUCAUUUUCCUUUACCUUUCAUAGAUGAGAUGCUAGAGCGAUUAGCGAACCAUUCGUUCUUUUGUUUCUUAGAUGGAUAUUCCGGGUAUCAUCAGAUCCCGAUCCAUCCCGAUGAUCAAAGCAAAACCACUUUUACAUGCCCAUAUGGAACUUAUGCUUACCGUAGAAUGUCUUUUGGGUUAUGUAAUGCACCAGCUUCUUUUCAAAGAUGCAUGAUGUCUAUAUUUUCUGAUAUGAUUGAAGAUAUUAUGGAAGUUUUCAUGGAUGAUUUCUCUGUUUAUGGAAAAACUUUUGAUAGUUGUCUUGAAAACUUAGACAAGGUUUUGCAAAGAUGUGAAGAAAAGCACUUAGUCCUUAAUUGGGAAAAAUGUCAUUUUAUGGUUAGGAAAGGAAUAGUGCUGGGACACCUAUUGUCUGAAAGAGGUAUUGAGGUAGACAGAGCUAAAAUUGAAGUAAUUGAACAACUACCUCCACCUGUGAAUAUAAAAGGAAUUCGAAGCUUUCUUGGCCAUGCUGGUUUUUAUCGCAGAUUCAUAAAAGAUUUUUCAUUUAUUGCUAGACCACUUACUCUUUUGCUAGCCAAGGAUGCUAUGCAUGUUUAACAUCUUUCAAUUUAUUAAAGAAAGCACUCAUCUCUGCACCAAUCAUUCAACCCCCUGAUUGGUCGUUGCCUUUUGAAAUUAUGUGUGAUGCUAGUGAUUAUGCUGUGGGGGCAGUUUUGGGACAAACUAAAAAUAGGAAGCAUCAUGCAAUUGCUUAUGCGAGUAAAAUGUUGACAGGAGCUCAACUUAAUUAUGCAACCACUGAAAAAGAGCUUCUGGCUGUUGUCUUUGCCAUUGAUAAAUUUAGAUCUUAUUUAGUUGGAGCUAAAAUAAUUGUUUACACUGAUCAUGCUGCACUAAAAUAUUUGCUCACUAAAAAAGAUGCUAAACCUCGCCUAAUUAGAUGGAUCUUAUUACUUCAAGAAUUUGACUUAGAAAUAAAAGAUUAAGAAGGGAGUAGAAAAUUGUGUUGCUAGAUCACUUGUCUAGAAUGUAUUUUAAGAGUCCACAGGAAACCCCCAUCAAUGAUUCACUUCAGGACGACAUGCUCUACGGGAUUAACAGGUCUGACCCCUGGUAUGCAGAUAUUGUUAAUUUUAUGGUUUCAGGGUAUGUACCACCAGGAGCAAACAAAAAGAAGCUUAUUCAAGAAAGUCAUUCACAUAUAUGGGAUGAGCCAUACCUCUUCCGAGUAUGCUCUGAUGGCUUACUCAGGAGAUGUGUGACCACUGAGGAAGGAUGGAAGAUCAUCGACAGAUGUCAUUCAUCACCAUAUGGAGGCCAUUAUGGAGCAUUCUGUACACAUUCAAAGAUCUGGCAGUGUGGAUUCUACUGGCCUACAAUGUAUGAAGACACGAAGCAAUAUAUCAGAAGAUGUGGGCCAUGUCAAAGGCACGGAAACAUAAACACAAGAGAUGCCAUGCCACUCACCAACAACCUUCAGAUUGAGCUCUUUUAUGUCUGGGGAAUAGACUACAUGGGUCCAUUUCCUCCAUCAAAGAAGUGUGAGUACAUCUUGGUGGCAGUUGACUACGUCUCCAAGUGGGUAGAGGCAUUACCUUGCAAGCAUGCCGACAACAUCAGUUCAAAGAGGAUGUUCGAAGAAAUUAUAUUUCCAAGAUUUGGAGUCCCCAGAGUAGUGAUAAGUGAUGGAGGAGCACACUUCAUCGACAAACGCUUCAAGCAAUACCUAUCAAAACAUGGAAUCCGUCACAACGUCGCUACCCCCUAUCAUCCUCAGACAAGUGGCCAAGCAGAGACUUCCAACAAACAAAUCAAGAAUAUUCUUCAGAAGACAGUAAAUGAAAUGGGAACGGCAUGGAAAGACAAGUUACCCGAUGCACUCUAGGCAUACCGGACAGCAUACAAGACCCCAAUUGGAAUGUCCCUAUACCAAUUGGUGUACGGAAAGACUUGCCACCUACCUGUUGAACUAGAAUUUAAAGCACACAAGGCCAUAAGGAGAUGGAAUAUGGACCUCGAUGUUGCUGGAAAUCAUAGAAGAAUGCAACUAUUAGAAUUGGAAGAAUGGCGAGAGAAAGCAUAUCACAAUUCGAAGAUCUACAAAGAAAGAGUCAAAAGGUGGCAUGACAAGAGGAUCAAGAAGAAGGAGUUCGCACCCGGAGAUAAGGUAUUACUUUUUAAUUCUAGGGUGAAGCUUUUCGGGCAUGGAAAACUCCAGAGUAAAUGGGAAGGACCAUUCAAGGUAAUCAAUUCAUCAUCCCACGGAGCUAUCACACUUCAAAAUGACGAAGGUACGUUAUUCAAGGUAAAUGGUCAACGUCUUAAAUUAUUUUUAGAGCCCAAUAAAGAAUUAGAAGAAAUAGACGUAAUCCAUUUUUACCUUCCCAUGGAGAACUAGAGCCCGACACUUUUAAUCUGACGUUUUUGGGUCAUACAUAUAUUUUCCUAAUUAAGUGUGCAUCUAGAAACACGCUCGAGGAAGCGGGCCCACAGAGGAGCUAGAGACAGGGUGGGCGCCCUGAUCAAGUGGGCGGGCGCUCAGCUCCUGACCCCUCUCGGUCCUGAUUUCCUCCAUUAUGGAAAACACACUUAUGGUAAUCCGAAUAAUCCCUUAGAUGGAAAGUUUCACACGUACAUCGACGGGAGCAACCCGAACAACCCCUAGAGGCACUUUUUGACCACUAUAUAAACAGACCCCUGACGUCAGUUUUCAAACACCAAUCCACCCAAGCCUUCUCUUCUUCUUCAAUUAGAGCUUGUUUAGUCCCUCGCUGCUCCAAUGGCCGAAAAGUUCCACGAUGAUUGGAAAGUCGUCCCCUUCAACCUCAACAUGGAGCCUAAGGAAGACCUCGACGCCCGUGCUCUCGUCCCGGCCAACACAGAGCGAUAGCUAGAAGUCAUGCCAUUACGCCAGCGUAGCUCUGCUCAAUCCUACCAUGCUCAACCAGUUCUCACCGCACCACCACAACCCCUACUCCUCAAGGGAUCAUUAUCCAAGAGACCACCAUCAAGGUGCCAACCGGCACAAGGAUCCUUCCACCUAGACCCAAUGAGGGGGUCGUUGGAAUUAAGACCAACCGAAGCGGCGAGAUUAGCAGCAUCCGCUACACUACAGAGGAGAGACCUUACUUCGAAGGGAUUAGAGCAGCCAAAGUCCGUUUCAUCCCUCCAAAGGCAGCCCCAAAGCACGCUCUCAAUGCUUUUGAGACACCUCCUAAGCGUCGUAAGACUAUAGUAGAUAUUGAUGAGGACGUUCGCAGGCUAGACAGAGUCAUCAUAGACCUCCAGUCCUCGGUUAACUCCAUCACUAGGCAGCUCUCUAACCACAACACCGUUAUACUAGGCUUUAGGCAUGAUCUUGCUAGUGCCAAUAAGAAGAUCAAGGAGUUAGAGCGCCGCUAAGUUAUCUAGAUUAGACCUUGAGGCAAUGCAUCUUAGUUAUCUAUCUUUAAAUUCGAUUUAGAUUUUACUAUUAUCAUCAGUUUGCUACUAUUAUCGUCAGUAAGAGGAUUAUUAUUAUUAUUAUUAUUAUUAUUAUUAUUAUUAUUAUUAUUAUUAUUAUUAUUAUUAUUAUUAUUAUUAUUAUUAUUAUUAUUAUUAUUAUUAUUAUUAUUAUUAUUAUUAUUAUUAUUAUUAUUAUUAUUAUUAUUAUUAUUAUUAUUAUUAUUAUUAUUAUUAUUAUUAUUAUUAUUAUGUCUUGUGUGUCUCUACUUUAUUUUUGUGCAAGAAAGCAGAAAACAAGUAUGGGGGAGAUCUCUCGACAUGCCAAACACACUUCGACUACACCACUCCACGAUUCAGGUACAUACUCUGCACACUUUACUUUACACAUACACAUAUAUAUCUUGGAUUAUGCAAAAUACUGUCUCCGACAUGAUAAAUUAAAAAGAUUAAAAUGUUUCUAAUCAUGAUUAAUCUCACUCUGUGAUAUUUCCUGAAAACCUGCAAUUAUUGAAAAAUCAUUUUAAAACCCUGUGUUACUUAAGUCAUUGUGGAAUGUGAGAUGGUAGAGUAUGAGUUUCUUAUUCUUGAUAUUAUUGUUGCUUGGAGAUUUAUUCAAAAAUUCUAGAUACCAUCCUCAGUGUUUUAUAUGGCUAAUAAAACUGAAAAUAUUAAUUAUGAUUAUAAAAGCUAUCUACUCUGUAUUGAGUUUGUUCAAAAUGAGUUAGACCCUUGUUGAGAGAUUUAUCAUGCUCCUAAAAUCAAGACAUUUAUUCAGAAAGAUUCACUCUUUUGAAGUAUUAUUGCAUUAGAGGCAUGGGCUAUGCAAAAAUAAAGAUAUUUCGAGGAAAUAAAAAGGAGCAAGUGCUCGAUAACCUCGUAGAAAAAAUGGACAAGUGUCCAGCAGUAGAAUUAGGGGUACCUCGGUAUCCACUUAAAAAAGAGAGAGAAGAAAAAGAAAAUGAUAGCCCAUGGUCCCUCUAAUAAGCAAUGUGCCAGCAAGAGUUGACAAGUUUUUAAUUUCCAAAGUCUUUGAUCUAAGAGUAUGGCAUUCUUCUCCUCGGAUCCCAUUUUGAUCAGACAAUAAAUGCAAAGUAAGUAUGCUGUAGAAUUUUUGCAAAUUAAAACAGCCUCAGUGAGAUAUAUAAAAGAUAAUGAGUGACCUAAGAACCUGUGAGGAUAAAGGUAUGCUAAAUCUCUUUUCAAAAAUAUACAAACUCCAAGUAACAGGAUUGAGAAGAAAGGACCUCUACUCUUGACCAUAUAUUUCCCUGGCUACGGUACACACUGAAUUUUUACAACACCCUGCAGGUAUGAAGAGAAUGUUUUACAAUGUUUUUACCCCAGAUAUUUUUCUUAACCAUCCUUUUCUCGAGGAUGAGUAAAAGCCUAAGUAUGGGGGUAUUUGUUGACGGUUCUUAAGUAUCAAUUUAAAUUAUCAAAUAAACAAGAGAAAGGACCAAUAUACAAACAACACCUAGAAUUAGGGUUUGAUCUGACAGAAUUCCACGAGUUUUGUUGUUUAUCGGUUUCUGCAGGGGGUUAUCAGGAAAUAAGGAAGAAAGGCCCACAUGUCAGGAUUACAUAGAGAUAUCAACGCACCACGCAAUUUUCUACCAUCUAGAAGACUCCAGAAGCCAUGGGAACAAAGCGGAGGCUGAACGGGGCCUGGCCCAGGGCGCCCGCCCUAAGGACCAGGGCGCCCGCCCCCUCCUAGACUCCAAUCGGGACUCUUUUCACAGACCAAGCUCCACCGACCUAAAGGAUCAAGGAUAACCGUCCAAUCAAUGUCAGUUUGAUCCGACGGCUCACGUUCACAUGAGGGGACUAUAAAACCAGACCCCCUGGCCCCUGGAGGAGACAAGUUCAUCACAGAGUUGAGAGGAGCCCUCGAAGGAAUACCUCUUCUCUAAAUAAAAUUUCUUUUUAGGCUUAGCAUCCAAUGUGAGUAGAAUUAGAUCUUCUAGUUUCUACUAGAUUAAGAGAGAUAGAGUGGAGGUGUAGAUCAGAGGAAGCCCGACCUGUCGGUGUCUACUCCGAGAUUGUACCUACGGGAUCAAGUUCUCCUAACCCGAAGCUUGCUCCUAGGAUUCUUCAAUAUUUCGACUUCUAAAUUCUAGUAAGUUCUUGUUUUAUUGUUCUUUGGUUUAUGAGUUUACUUUAAUCUCUUCGCGUAGAGUUUAGAGUAAUCAUCUCUAGCGUAGACGUGGUGUUUGGGCUAGGAUACUCAUAGAUAUUCCCUGACUAGCUAGAUCAUGGUAGUAGCGAGGAACGUGACAUUUCCGAGUUACCUUUGCAGACCAUAUCUCGUUAGCAGGAAGGAUAGGGUUUAUAGGUGCAGGUUGAACAUCCUCUGUGGUGUCUAGAUUCCGUAAGCUUCCCCAAUAGAACAGUAGAUCAUCCUUACCAAGGUUAGAAAGAUAUUACGGUUGUAGUCUUCUCUAUUUAUCACUCACAUCGAGAAACAUUCUUUGUAGCCUAAAUGUUAGUAGUAAUAGACCAGGUUAGUCAGAUGCACUCUUUCUCCUAGUGGUAAAAAAAUAAAUACAAUACUCUGGAUAACCUCCCGGGUGAAGUGCUCACCGAUAUCCGUGCGCUUGCGGAUCAAUUCCUUAUUGUGUUCCCAAAUAUCAACAGGCCCUACUCAACUCCACCAGGUACCAGCAGAAGCUUCGACGCUAUCAUGACAAGCACGUACGCAAAAGGGAUCUGAACGUGGGCGACCUCGUCCUACGGCGACAGCAAAGCAACCAAGGAUGCCACAAGCUGACUCCACCCUGGGAAGGCCCAUACGUGGUGGCCGAGGUCCUGAAGCCAGGGACGUACAAGCUCGCGGACGAACAGCUACGUCGAUUCUACCCCUAGAGCUUCGAAGUUUGACGUUCUCAUGAACAUCCUGUACCAAGAUCCUAUGAAUGAAUGCAUGAGUAAACGAGAUCUUUUCCUCGAGUAGUUUGCUUUUUCGCCUAUCAACGUCUCGACAUGAGAAGGGAGUGCCAACUAUGACCCAUCAUAGUCGAUACUCCCUCGGGGGCUAGCAGGGGGACCCCCCCAAAGUACCGAAAAACCAAACGAUCCUUUCUUUCCUAUAAUUAAACCUAGCAUGGUCAAGUAGUGGAGGCACCUCGAGCCCCUUAAGGGCUAAGAGACGACGAGUAUGAGAACCCCUACGCCAACGCUAUGGUAACUCUACUCACUCCCUCACCCUCGAGGCAAUCAAGGUCGUCUUAAACAAAAGACCGAAUGAGGAAUACAGACGUAGGCACAAAAGGAAACAAAGGAAUCUCGAGCAUAAAAAUAAGCAAAUAUUCACAAAUAUUACAAACCACUUAAAGACACAGUGUUUACUUAAGACAAGUACUUUACAAUGGGUCUUGACACCCAGCAUAGGCUCGCAGGCCUUAGUGCGCAUCUCCACCCUCACCACCAUCAUCCGCACCCAAGUUAGUCUCGGGAGGAAGUACUUCUGGCUCAAACAACCUCGCGAAUCUUUCUCCAGGAACCUCUGCGUCAUCGAUCAAGGCGUGGAGCCUCUCCUCGUUCUCUACGUCGGUCUUAGAAAUAUCGGUGACGAAGCCAUGGGACACCACCUCCAUAUCGUAGGAAAAGCGUGAGCAGACAACCACCAUUUCCCGCUUUACCCCGGUAUGAAGGGUGUCCCACACCUGCUCCCUCAGCGUGGCACCUAGGAAGCACAACUGAUCCACCAGCGCAUUGCCUUGAGCCGCCUCCCUCGACUCAUCCACAGGCUCGAGCUCCCAGGAGGCCGAGAGAUCGCUUAUCGCAGUCCGCAGCCGACCGUUCAAAGCAACCUCCCCCUCAAGUUGAGCCUUAGCGGAGCGGGCCUCAACUUGGGCAGCUAGAAGCUCAUCCUUAAGUCCUACAAAGACAGACAUGGGAAAAUUAGACGACAUAGAAAGCACCUUGCAAAAAGGAGCACGAAAGCGUAAAAAGGCUUACCGCGAGUCUUCUCCUCCAGAGUCGUAUUCUCGCCAACCAAAUCGGUGUUGGCCCUCUCGAUCUCCCUGUAAGAGCGGGCCAGGUCAGUGUUGGUGACCGGCAAGUCCUCGAUCACCUUGCCCGCCUGUGCGAUAGCUCCCUCUUUCUCCAGCAGCGCCCUCUUCAGACGAUCAACCUCGUCAGAGAGCCCGCGAGAGCGAGUUCGCUCAGCUUCGAGAUCUUCUUGGGCCUUCUUCCCGUCCUCUUCUAUGGCGCUCUGAGCGAUUUCGCUCUUCACGCACUCUUCCUUCAUCUCUCGAUAGGCCUCUCGGGCAGAGUCAAGGUCAACCUUGAUGAGGCCCUUCUCCUUGUCAAGAUCGGCGGCCGCAUCCUUGUAAAAUAUGGCCUCUUCUCGGGCCUUGGACACAGCCUCCUCAACCGUCAUGGUCCGCUCCCUCAGCUGCACAGCCUCUUCUACUGCCUUCCUCGAGGCCUCCCGAGCUUCAGCCAGGGCGGCCUCCCUCUUCUUUUUCUCCUCCUCGAGCACCAGAAGGUCCUUGUAGGCCUGGAGAAGCUUCUCCUACGAUUCUAGGAGUUGGUCCUUGAGAAGAGGGAGCUGCUCCCAGCCGCCCCUCGUCGCAUGAAUGAAACCAGACUUCAAGCGAGAUGUCUCUUUCAGAUCCUGCGAACUAGUAAUUGAAUAGUAAGAAUACAAGACCAAAUACCCAAAUAGCUAGGAUCCAGAGACACUUACAAAAUAGGCUUGACCAAGCCUGUUGUUCACAAUGUCAGACAUAAGUCCCACCACGUGCUUCAUCCAGAGAUGAAGCUCCUCGAGACGCUCCCAUUUCUCGGCCUCCUUCCGAUCAUCCAUAAAAAUAUUGCGCUCUAACGGAUCGGUGGAGGCCCGAAUAUGGAUUCGCCCGGAGCCCCAGUUCUCCAUCUCCUCCUCUGUGCGCGCCUUGGCGCCCCGGAUGAGCACCUGGACAGUCUUGAGCGACCCCCCGUGGCGCAAGAAUAGGUCAAUGAGAGAGGGGAAUCGCCCGUCGUCGUCCACCGUCCUCCAGGUCCCGGUCUCCCCGGUAUCGCCUCCGCCCGACUUCCCAGCUUCGUCCUCCCCAACGGUGCUGAGGUCCACCCAUGGCCGCCGGUCUCGAAGGAACCCGGGGGCGAUUCCCUCAAUACCAUAAACCGUGCCCUUGAUCUCUGACCGGGGGUCCAUGGGGGUGCGCAUGGCACAGGCAAGCGCCACCACACCGUCUACUCACCCUGGCUCGGCCUGGAUGGAAGCAGGUGCCCCUGGGCGGAGCCACGCAGGCGUCGGAGGGCCGUAAACUGGCAAACCCUCCUCCUUAUUGGGUAUUUUAAACGCAAACGGAAAAAUCCGCAAGCGCACGGAUACCGAUGUAGCCUUCACCCGGGAGUAUUCCAGAGUAUCGAUUUUCCACAGAGAACGUGAGUGUACUAAUUAAGAUCCAAGAUCGCCCAAGGAUAACUAUAUAAUUAUUUUUGGUGGGAAGAGAGGAAGUUUCCUGAGAGUUCUCUAGUUGAUCUAAGAAUCAAGAAUUACUUCAAGAUUAUCUAUUUCGGGACAUCAGAGCACUAACCACAGAAAGAGAUGAGAAGGGGGCUAGGAAGGUCUGACUACGGUCCUACAAACACCGAUCCGAACGAGGUGGAAUACGUCGACUGUUAGGGCUGUCACUACCCUAAGGCUACCACAACAAUCCGCAUGAUUGGGUGCAAUUCCAGGUAAUUGCAAGACUAAACACCACGUCUAAUCUAUUAAUUACUACUCUAGCGUUAUAAAGACUAGAGCACUUGAUGCAAGCAGGAAUCCAAUAAAUAACUUGAAUGUAAAUAAAAGUAAUUAAAUAACUCAGGAAUUAUGAAUUGAAGAACCUGGAGAACGAUGAAGAACGAACCAGAUGCUACAAAAGUAUAAUGUUGAGGAAGAUCCGACAGAUCCGGCUCCUCCUCCGCUCUCCUCUUCUCUCUCCCUAUUUUCUAGAUUACAACUAGAACUAACUAGAACUAGAACUAGAGGAACUAGAACUAGAACUAGAUGAACUAGAACUAGAUCUAGAUGAACUAGAGGUAGAACUAGAAGAACUAGAGGGAUCCUCUCUACUUGGAUGAAGAAUUGAAACCCUAACUUUGAUUCUGUAGAAGAGGUAUGCUCUCCAGGGGCCAGGGGCCUUGCCUAUAUAGUCUUUUCAGAUGAAUCUGGGCCAUCGGAUCAAACCAACAUUAAUCGCACGGUUUUCCUUAGUCCCUUAGGUCGGUGGAGCACGAUCCGUGAAGUCGAUGCUGAUUGGUUACUGUAGCUGAGCGGGCACCCAAGGGACUUGGGCGGGCGCCCUGCCCCCGGGCCCGAUCGGCCUCCCGUUCGUUCCCGUGGCUUCUAGAGUCUUCUAGAUGAUAGAAAAUUGCGUGGCACGUUAAUAUCUCUAUGUAAACCCGACGUGUGGGCCUUUCUUCCGUAUUUCCUGAUAACCCCCUGCAGAAAUAGACAAACACCAAAACUCGUGGAAUUCCGUCAGAUAAAACCCUAAGUCUAGGUGUUGGUUGCAUUUGGAUCCUUUUCCAUGAUUAGUUGAUGGUUAAAUGUGAGCAUUAAGGACCGUCAACAAGCUCCCCCAAGCUUAACCUUUGCUCGUCCCUGAGCAAAGAUGAACUCAAGAGCUUCUGCAGUGGUUUCAUGCCUUAAAGAUACACAUGCGUUCAAACAAGAUCUCAUCUCUAGGUUAGGGUAAACUGUUAAGAUUUAAACUUACUCAUUUUACCUUCCACCAUGGGGCUUGUAACCGUCACUUGUGUCUUGAGCAGUUAAAAGAUAGAACGGUCUAGUCAAGCGCCAUGUCUCAUGUUCUUCGAUUAACUAUAGCUCUGGAGUUUUUGCAGAUUUUCAAAUAAAACUCAGAGAUUCCUUGUAUGACUCUCUCUAGUCUCUCUUUUGUGGUAUUUCUGGAUCCUUACCAAGGCAGUAAUGGUGUAUACCUUCUCUCAAAGUAUGUGGUAUUUUUGGUAUGAGGCAUAGUGGCAUUGCCUUCUCUCUCACCCUACUCUAAUAAGGCUUUUGAUAUCUGGAGCUCAUAGGUGGGAGACAGCUAAUACAUACUUACAAGACAUUUAUUGCAUAGUCAAACCAUAGAUCCAGAAGAACAAGUCAAUAAGUCAAAUCAAGAUGUGCAUGUGUGGCGAAUGAAUGGUGCAUGGUAAUGAUGGUGAUAACAAUGGUUAAAGUCUAAUUCUACUUAUGCUCUUUUGAGGGGAUACAUACUUUUCUUGCUCUUUUGAAACUUUUUGAGGAGAAUGAGAUGCUCUAUAUUUUUUUUCUUUUCUCUCAGGUGGGUAUCUUGUACCUCUAAUUCUACUAUCGGACACUUGUCCAUUUUUACCUCUCGUCUCACUUUUUUUUUCUUUCGAGGUUCCGGGCACUUGCCCCUUUUUAUUUCCUCGCAUCUUCUCUUUUUUUCUUUUUUUAGAGCACUCAUCUCUUGAAAUAAUGUAGCAAGUGGUAGUAACCAAGAUAACUUGAGCAUUUAUUUCACAGGGGAAAACAGAAAUGUUUUUUGGCUAUUCUCUCCCGGAUUAGGAGUAGAAUAUUUUUGGGUGGUUCUGGAGAUGGAAAUGGGUGGAUAUAUGUGGAUGCGUACUUCCGGAGUAGCAGCAGCAUGUAUGAGUGAACAUGCAAGCAAAUCUUGAUUUAACCACAUGAAAAGCUCCUAAGGGUCUACAUAGCUUGACUACACUCAAUGCUCAUAAGCAGUAAAAAGUAAAUGUGUGGCUCAAAGUCUAGCAAGCAUGUAUAUAUGGCUGUGGUAGGAAUUUAAACUCUCAUCAUACAGGAACUCAUCAUGCAACAUUUUAAAGAUUUUCAAAAAUAAAAUUCUCUAGAAUUCUAGCAUUUUUAGGAACAGAUAAACAGUAGCUCAACCUUCCCAUAUCGUAUCCGUUAACGACUUAGACUUUAGAUCAAGUACUCUCUCCACAAGUUCAGGUUUAGAGCAAAUCUCAAUAAAUACCAGUCAUGCCUAAACUUGAGAGAGAUUUCAAUUUUGAGAACUAGUCAUGGUAGAGCAACUAUUCAUCAUUUCCAUAUGAGAGCUUAUCACGAGGGUUUAUAGCGAAUUUUAUUUAUUUAUUUAUUUAGCAAACUAAGCAAAGAUAUAUAUAUAUAAGCACAAAAUUUUUAUUUGGGCUUAUAUGAUUAUGCAUCUUUUUAUUAUUUGAGUAAAGUAUAAACAUGAGUAGAACACUUAGCUGGAUAAAUAGGGGUGCUCUCCCCCAAGCUGGAUUUUGACGUAAUUCCUUCUCAUAUAGCUAGCAGGUGGCGGAGGUGUAUUGAAUGUCGGCAGCACCCUGACAACGAUUAGAAUGUCCUCCGUCUGCUAGUCUUCUUUGAUCCUUGAAUUCUGUGGAGCUCAAAUAGACAACAAAGCUUUGUGGAACUGGUUAAGUGUUAGCAUAAAUAUCUAGCCUUUAUCAUGUUGAGCCUCCUCAAUAAAUGUUACUCUCUUUAGUAGGAUCAUAAAUUUAUUUUUAUAAUUUUAUUUUUAUAGGAUAGGAAUAUAUUUAUUUUAUUUUUAUGCCACCACAGUGAAUGUACUUAUGGGUUUUAUGCCAUGAGCAUACUCACAUAGGGCUUACUAUUUUUAACAUUUUUAUUUUCUUUUCAAGAUGGUAUGAACCUGAUUAACUACGCAAACUAUUUUAAAUAAUUGAAAGGAAAAAGAUAACUACCAAGUUUACCUCUUGGCAAGGCGUUCGGUGUUUUUAAGUCCUCCGAACGGGACUCUCCGUUUUCUCAGUCGUCCUGGGAUUCGCUGGAUGGCGUAGUCGGUGGUUCCGGCGGCGCCUGCUCUUCAUGUAUAACUAUCUUCUCUCUCCACACCUGACUUGGUGCUACGGUUUCCUCAGGACAGUUUUAUUCAAGUUGUAUGUCUUCAGACCUUACAACUUCUCCUUCAUAGUCUGUCCAUCCGUCCUUGAUGAUUUGCCUCCUCUGGUUGCGGUUGCGUCGUCUUCUUCUUAUCCUGACCUGCUUAGAGUCUUCAACUAUAUAGUUAGGGUCAGUAAAACAGCGGCAUACCUUCUCAGAGGUGAAGUGCAUGUGGACUUCUCCGGUUUCAAUGUAGAUGAUUGCUUUUAACGGUGCUGAGGAACGGUCUUCCAAGGAUGAUGGGUGGAUCGUGCUCCUCUUCUCCCAUGUCAAUAACUUUUCGGAAUGUCUGAUCUGCCAUCAGGAGCUGAAUGUAUGUCGGUUUUAGGGGCAUAGUUCCGAAUAGGAGCUGAUAGGUGACUGGGUCGUCCUUUUUGGUCAGGAACGGUGACUUAAUUCGACGAUCUUGACCUCCUUGAACUGUAGUGACCAUCUUAGCUGACUUAGUCCACAAUUGCUUGUUCUUAUUCCUCCUGUUGGUCCUUUCCUUGGUUCAUGUUAGGAUUGCUCUAAGAUUUGUGUAGUUUUGUUCUUGAAGUAAAACGUCUCCUUCGUCCCCUUGAUGUAGAAACUGAUCUUGGCAGCACUAGCGUGGAUGACUGCUCCCGAGGUGUUCAGGAAUGGCAUCCCUAGAAUGAUGGGUGCCCUCUCAUCAGUACCAGUCUCUAUCACCACGAAGUCUGCUGGGGCAAACAAGGUACCAACUCGGACGCAGAGGUUCUUCAAUAUUCCUUUUGGGAAACUUAGUGUCUGAUCUGCAGGCAUGCCGAUGGAGAUCGGGAUGACGGUUCGUCCUGGAUUGCCUCUCUUGACCGGCAGAAGGUCAGUAAUUACUUCCACAACGAGGUUACUCCAGUAGUUACGUCCUCAAGCAUCUCAGGGCAAUGAUUGCCUGAGUGUCCAGUAUCUCUAGUGUGUUUGUGCUCGUAGAUGUAGGUUCUUCACUUGAUGGAGUCUGGGAGUUGUAAAACUCCGUCAUAUUUUGCUCGAAGUGUACCUGCUCAUAGAGACAAGGCAGAGAUCAAGUGCAUGGGCCCUGUUGGUGGAAAACACCAACAGAACCAAAAGUGUAUUUGUUCUUCUCUAACCUUAAGCAUAGUGAGCAAGACAAAGUUGACGGAUAAUAAGAUCAUUAGUAUAACAUUUAAAACAUUUGUCAGAUCAAAUCGCUCAACCUAAUGGAAAGAUAAUAUAUCUAUAUUUAUGUUGUUUUUUUUAUAAAAUAUGUCUUCCAAAGAUUGAGUGUGCAACAUUUUAGUUCAUAAGAUUAGGAGUGUGGGAUCACAAAGGUGGAAGGACUAAACAUAUUGAAUCGAUUGGGUUGGUUAAUCUAGAAUUGUAAAUCAUACAUGUUUGUCUCUUUUAUUCAUGUGAAUGCCAGAACCAAGGAGAAGCUUAUAGAAGUGAUAGUCAAGUACCUUAAGAUGUUACCUUACUUGAAGAGUGAUGGUACAGUAUCACCUUGUGGAAGCUUUCCUCUCUUAGCGGUUGUGCAUCGUGUUUGUGGCACCCUACAUGGAUCAUCUCUUGUGAGCUAUGCCUUCCUUGUGUAAAUUGUUAAACUUCAUGUAUCUCUCUCUUUGUCUCCAAUGUGAGUUUAUCUCAGGACUUUCCAGGUCGAUAUUGAAAGUUUUCCUACAGGGGUUAGUCCAACAAAAUAUCCAAUAUCUACUAUAGCAUACUAUCGGCUCAAAAAUCAACCUAGACACCAUGUCUAAUUUGAUUGAGAAGGGCAUUUUAACCUAAGCACCAUGCUUAAUUUAAACUCCCUUGGAAGCAAGAUCAUCAGCCCUAAACAAAGCACCAUGCUUAAUUAAGAGAUAGAUGAAACUACUCCAAACCUAGACAUAUACUAAAGUAAAUAAAGGUAGCAUGAGAGAAUUUAUAGAGAUCUACUCAAGUGGAGAUGAAGUAGUGUGAUUACUAUUUAACAAAUUGAGCAUGUCUCAAAGGUAGGGACAACCAACAUAGCAACAUGGCAAAUGAUGUUUUUAUAUAAAGUACUCCCCCAAGCUUGAAUUUUGCAAAAUUCAAGUUUGGAUGAAUUUAAUUGAAUGUUGUAUGAUAAUUGGUUGGACAUACCUUGUGCUUGUCAUUCAUCCGAUCUUCUUGCUCCAAUCCUGGAAAGGUUAGUGACAAGAAUACCCGAAGGAAUUUUUUACAAUUAUCCUUAUAUGCUCAAAACACAAGGUAAUGAUGCAAAUAAUUCAAAGCUCAUGUUAUGAUCUGAUCAGUGCUUGGGAAACCAUCAAUUUAUGUCGGCGAAGUGGUUUCCCCUCCAAUGCUGACCUAUAUCAAGAUCAACUCAACGAGAUCUGCAAAAUUUAUUAUAGACAUAUGCAUCGACAACCGCCCUUUUAAAGUUUUUAUGAAUAGAAAGGAAGAGGGGGUUGGAGAUCUCGAAUGUGGUGAUGUUGGAGAGACCAAUGGAUUGUGAAGAUGUUGCAUAUGAGCAUGGAGUAAGUGAAGUGGCUAUGAAAUAAAUUCCAUGCUCAUUACUGCUUAGAGUGAAAUCCAUGUGGUAUGGUGAAAGUGAUAAGGUGAGUGUGGUAAAAAAGGAAAAGAAAAAGGAUACACGGAUGACUUGGUUCGAAACUAGCACAGCUACCGUUCCCUGGCAAGAGCGCCAGAAAGGCUUGUUGGGUAUUUUAAACGCAAACAGAAAAAUCCGCAAGCGCACGGAUACCGAUGUAGCUUUCACCCGGGAGUAUUCCAGAGUAUCGAUUUUCCACAGAGAACGUGAGUGUACUAAUUAAGAUCCAAGAUCGCCCAAGGAUAACUAUAUAAUUAUUUUUGGUGGGAAGAGAGGAAGUUUCCUGAGAGUUCUCUAGUUGAUCUAAGAAUCAAGAAUUACUUCAAGAUUAUCUAUUUCGGGACAUCAGAGCACUAACCACAAAAAGAGAUGAGAAGGGGGCUAGGAAGGUCUGACUAUGGUCCUACAAACACCGAUCCGAACGAGGUGGAAUACGUCGACCGUUAGGGCUGUCACUACCCUAAGGCUACCACAACAAUCCGCAGGAUUGGGUGCAAUUCCAGGCAAUUGCAAGACUAAACACCACGUCUAAUCUAUUAAUUACUACUCUAGCGAUAUAAAGACUAGAGCACUUGAUGCAAGCGGGAAUCCAAUAAAUAACUUGAAUGUAAAUAAAAGUAAUUAAAGAACUCAGGAAUUAUGAAUUGAAGAACCUGGAGAACGAUGAAGAACGAACCAGAUGCUGCAAAAGUAUAAUGUUGAGGAAGAUCCGACAGAUCCGGCUCCUCCUCCACUCUCCUCUUCUCUCUCCCUAUUUUCUAGAUUACAACUAGAACUAACUAGAACUAGAACUAGAGGAACUAGAACUAGAACUAGAUGAACUAGAACUAGAUCUAGAUGAACUAGAGGUAGAACUAGAAGAACUAGAGGGAUCCUCUCUACUUGGAUGAAGAAUUGAAACCCUAGUUUUGAUUCUGUAGAAGAGGUAUGAUCUCCAGGGGCCAGGGGGUCUGGUUUUAUAGUCCCUUCAAGUGAAUCUGGGCCGUCGGAUCAAACCGACAUUGAUCGCACGGUUUUCCUUGAUCCUUUAAGUCGGUGGAGCAUAAUCCGCGAAACGUGUCCUGAUUGGGCACUGUAGCUGGGCGAGCGCCCUGCCUCCGAGCCCGAUUUCCUUCCCGUGGCUUCUGGAGUCUUCUAGAUGAUAGAAAAUUGCGCGGCACGUUAAUAUCUCUAUGUAAACCCGACGUGUGGGCCUUUCUUCGGUAUUUCCUGAUAACCCCCUGCAGAAAUAGACAAACAACAAAACUCGUGGAAUUCCGUCAGAUAAAACCCUAAGUCUAGGUGUUGGUUGGAUUUGGAUCCUUUUUUCAUGAUUAGUUGAUGGUUAAAUGUGAGCAUUAAGGACCGUCAACACUCCCCGGCAUCGGGCCCUUGCGGCAGUGACGAUUCAGGCUGGCGCGGGCUAUGCGGUGGCAGUUCGAGCUGCUCUUCCAACUGCUGGCUCCGCUGCUGCUGCUGCCGUUGGAGUUCCAGCAACUCCUGCUGCCAAAACUGCUCCAACUCGUCCUUGAGUGAUUCUCCCCGCUGCAGCUGUUGCUGCGGCUCAUGCUCACGCUCUUCUUCUUCCUUCUUCCUCCUCUCCUCAACAGAGUCUCAUGCUCACGCUCUUCUUCUUCCUUCUUCCUCCUCUCCUCAACAGAGUGAAGCCCGAUAGGCCAAGGCGUCCGUUUCGCGACGGGAGAGGCCUCAACCUCUUCAUCCAUAGGAUGGGCGUCCUUUGAGAGCCGAUCGCCGCCGGACCCAUCGCUAAUGGUGAUAGGAUCCCCCACGCCCCCAGACUGGGGAGGCUCGAGGGCUCCCUGCUGCUCCUGAGGACGAGGCGUCUCGUCCCGCCUCGGUGACGGCGGAGCGGUCUCUCCCAACAAUGGACGAGGCGGGGUACUCUCGACACCCGUCGAUGGCCGAGGAUCAGAGGAGCCUGUGAGCGCUCAAAAACAAAAGGUCAGUCGCUAAGAAGCUCGACGUAAGGAUCACACAACCCCAACACUAUUGAAUGGAAAGUAAACCACUUACCUGAGUCUUUGGGAAGCGCCGCCACCUUCAACUUCUUGGCCAUCGAGGGCUGGGCUAGUUCUAGCGGCCGCUUCAACCUAGAGAAACGGGAAUGACGUAAGGAAAGCUGUAGCUCGAGAACACGCAAGACAUCGGAAAACAAGAACCGCAACGUUUAAAUCUUACCCCACGGGAAGAACAACCCGCCUGUCAGCGCCUCGACCAGCUUGUCUCGAACCGCCCCACGUAGAGACCCCAGGAUUCUCGAGACCAGGCGCGGGCUGCGGCUCGACAUCUCCCGAUUGACGAGUACCGGGGGCAGAGCUCCCACGACCUAUUUCCCCCUGACUCGAGGCCUCGGCGCGGCCACGGGUUGGCGGCCCCGUCGCCAUAGACUUGACCCGGUGGCCCGCUCUAGAUGUGGGAGGUGGUUGGGGCUUGGAAAUGGCCCGACCCGGCGCGGUCACAUGGGGGGUGUCGCCGCAAGAGCGGCUCGGUGAAGACUCCCUCCGUUGACCUUCACGGGAUCCGCCUGACGCCCUCUUAGGAGCUCCCCUCUACGGGACGUCGACGUCGGCUUGUGGUAGACCCUCGAGGAUUUUGUCAAGGCGAGCUGCCAUCCCCUCGGAGUCGUCGCUAUCGCCAUCACCGUCAUUGCCGUCAUCUUCGUCGGGGGAUUCUUCCUCGGGCUCCCCCCUCUGCCUCGACUUUGCAUGGCGUUUCUCGAGCGCUUGCUGCUCGAGGUUCUUCUUCUUCUUCUCUUUCUUCUUUUUUAAGUCCUUCGCGGAUUUUUGUUUCUCCGCGGACUCACGCCUCCUAUCUCGAUCGAUGUCGUCCUCCUUCACCGGAGGCCUCGAGGACCGAGCAUCAAUCGAGCCCAGUGAAAAUGAAAGUAAGUCCCGGAAAAAGAUGGAAGAAUCAAGCAACGGUAGAGAAAGACUUACCGAGUCGAUCUACCCCUCAUCGGGCCUCAUGGGGAAGCCGUUGAUGUGCUCAGGCUGAAAAUUGCCUGCGACAGCCGCCCUAACCUUGGCGGCGACCUCGUCGUCCGCGGGCGCCUCGUUGGACAUCCGGCAUGCCUCGAGGUCAUGAGAUAAAACGCCAGGGCCCAUUUCAUCCAUCCUCAGCGGCCGAGACAUCAACGGGAGUACCCGUCGAAGGUGGACGGCCGAAAGGACAAGCGCAGCAGUCAAGCCUUCCAUAUGAAGUUUCUUUAGGGCGUCGAGGAUGGGACGGAGCCGGGACUGGAGGGUCUUGACGACUCCAUAAUUCCAGUGAUCCGGGCACUCCAAGAUCAAGCGCCCGGUGUAGUCGGGGAAGAGGUCGUCGUCGUUCCACAAGUAGAACCACUGGGAGUCCCACCCGGCGUGGUUCGACGUCAGCCCCACCGGGAUGUACUCUCGAGGCUCCUCCACCUUGCCGGUCUUCAGCACCAGGUUGAGGCAGCCGGCCCGUACCGGCUUCCUCACCCCUAUGGCUCCACCCGGGGCAUUGAAGAGUUCGCCCCGGUACAAGUGGAGCCACAGGUCCCAGUGCGGCAUCAUCCCUAGGUAGCCCUCACACACCGCAGCGAAAAUCGCCGCGGCGGUGAUGGCGUUCGGCGAAAAAUGCUGGAGCUCCACGCCGUAAUGAUGGUAGAGCGCCCGCAUAAAGCGGCUCGGAGGGGAACCCAGACCGUGGCAGUGGAAUUUGGCGAAGGAGACCACGUACCCCUUGGGUGGUCUCAGCUCCCGGUGGUCCGCCGCCGGUGCGAUCCACUCCGACCGCGAUGAGGAAACGCGAGGACGCAGGAGCCCCUCCUUCUCAAGCUCUAGCAGUCGGCGCUCCGUCAUCGACGAUGGGCACCAGUCAUCGGCGGCGAUGAGUCUCACCGGCAUCUUGAGGAAGAAAGAAAGUGACUCUACUACUACGUGCUCGAGGGUGCACGAGCGCGUGGACAUGGCAAGGAGGUAGAGGUGAGAACAAAGGCAGAAGGCGGAAGGGGCAAUGCCUGAAAGACCCAAGGAUACUUAAAGACGGCUAGCCAUCGACAGACGGAUCCGGCAGAUACGGUAACUUCGCUAGUAAAUGCGCCGCCUAACGGUCGUUGUUUCUCUCACUGGCAGGGCGCUACGGAUUCCACGACGGUACAGUGCCGCAACGGCUCCCACCUGAAAAGGUGCGCCCAACGGGCAAAAAGGCGAACCGACGCGGCCUUUCCUUCCCCCGUAAGAUAAGGCAUGUGUCUGCCACGAUAAAAAUCUCGAGAGAUCGCAGGCUGGCCCACCGAAUGGGUUCGACAGUCGAUCUCGAGUACCAGAGUCAGGGAUGCCCAGCGAAUGGUCGAAAAACAAGGCCUGCCUCGAGAACUCGCUGGGGAUAUCCAAGGCGAGGGCGAGAGGGUCGAGAGGAAUCCCCACGAGGGGAGGCAACGAGCCGCUGGACUCUAUCGAACGAGACCAGUAUCCCCGAUCACAUCGACCUCGCUUUAUGAGAAUGCCUCCAGGCCACAGCUGACCCCCUCGAACGGGGCACAUGUUCUCACUUGGAUUACCUGAUAGGAGCUCAACCUGGGGUAGGUGACGCUCGCUCCACAGGGAGUACGUCACAACCCCGACACGAAACCAACCGAUCGAAGCCUCUUCCAUGACGAACAUCAAGAGCACUUCCGUCAGAUAAGGCGACAUAACCCUCGAAGGAGUCAAAGACUCCUCCAAGGGCUCGGGGGCUACCCCUGCGGGGGUCGCUCGCGCGAACCCACGGAAACUCGACCAACAAAAAGAGCCCCUACUCGAGCGCAAGCGCUCGAAUAGAGACUCGGGGGUACCGUAACCGACGCACAUAACGAGAGCACCCGUACGUAAACCGAGGCCCCUGACUUGACGCCCCCUGAUCGCAUGUACAAUUGUCAAGACAAGACGACGACCAUAGCCUUGAACACGAAAAGAGCGUCAUGCGAAUCGACUGGGGCUCGACCGAGUAGCGACCAUCGAAUACGGAAACUGGCUCGUAUGAAUCGACGGGUCUCAAGCGUAAGGACGCCACCCGCCGCCUAACGUGGGUACGGGAACUAGGGCAUUUAAUGCGCCUGCCGCGUUCUCACCUAACCCAACAGUCACGGGAAGUGUGACAGGGAGCAAGCACCCGUCCAAUUGCCCCUUUUUGCAGCCUUGUCCAUCGGAUGAACCGGAGCAUGGCAGGGCGCAGCGAGACGAACGGGACGUCUUGUCACAACCCCCCUUGAGACGCCCAAAGUCAGCGCUCCUAUCAGCAAGGCCUUGCACGGUAUCGGACCCUCGAGCAAACAUGUUCCUUCCCUAAGAAGAGUCAGGCGGUGAAAGACAGCACCUCAACCACCCUGCCAUGACUACAGCCACGACGUAUAGGCAAGCCCACAGAAGGCCAAUCCAGGACGACGCACAGAAGCCGGAUUCAGGGGCACGCGUAAUCAUCAUUCAAGUACUGAGUAACAAGACGGCUCGAGGCCACACCGGUACGGAAGCCUCGAGUAGGUCAGCGCGCCACGCCCCUAUCGACCCCUACUCUGUCACCUACACAUGCAACCUAGGUCUCCCCUUGGAACUAUAAAAGGGGAAGUCCGGGAACGGAUAGAAAAACACAAGAUAUACGUAGAAGAGCAACCAUACUUUGUCUCCUUCCAUCCACAAUACCGACUUGUAUUCACCCCUGUACAAGCACUUAGGUGCAAGAUAAUAGAAACAUCUAAGGGGAGAACUUUGACCUUUUACCUUUUUGAAAAGUUUGUCAUCUCUUACUAGCAUAUUGCUUAUUAGAGGAACCAUGGGCUAUCAUUUUUUUCUUUCUUCUUUUUUUCAGUCUCUCUCUCUCUCUUUUUUUCUUCUCUUUUUUUUCAAGUGGGCACCAAGUACCCUUAAUUCUACUCUCGGACACGUGUCCAUUUUUACCUCACAUCUCACUCUUUUUUUUAAUCAAAUUUUUGCAUAGUCCCAUGCCUCUAACACAAUAAUACUUCGGAAGAGUGAAUCUUUUAUAUUUUUAAAACAAAAGAUCUUGAUCUUUGGAGCAUGAUAAUUCUCUCAACCAAAACUACAAGAAUUAACAAUGGCUUGAACAAAGUAAGUGCCCACAGUUUUAAUAUUUAUAUCUUAUAAGACUCUAGGUAUUAUGUCAAACAGGAUCUCAUUUUUUAGAUUUUCAAAAUAUAAAAUCUCCAGAACUCUAGCGAAACUUGGAACAAGUUAAAUAGUAGCUCAGACCUUCUCAUAUCAUGUUUGUCAAUUACCUAGACUUGGAUCAAACUUUCUUUUUAUUUUAUUUAAAACUUAGGAUUACACAAAACUAUUGUAUAUUACUCAAAAGAAAAACUUUGUUUGGUUUCAUGGUUAUGUAUUAUUUUUUUUAUUUUUUUCGAAUACUAGUAAAUAAAACCAAGAAAGAAAAGUAAUACUUAUCUAGAUACACGUGGGGGUGCCUCCCCCAAGCUGGAUGUUGACAUAGUCGUUCACUCUUGUGGCCUGCAUGUUCGGUCUCACUCUUCUUAAGCCUUAAAAUCCGGCACAACCCAAAUAGACAACAAAACUCGUGGAGCAUGUUAAGGGUUAGGUAAUUGUCUAGAGCUUAUGAGAGCUUAAUGUGAAAAUUCUAUGAACUCAAUCACAUCAAGUUCCUCUACCAGGUUAUUUUGUGGCACCAGAUAGAUUUUCAAGCGUUGACCAUUUACCUUAAAAGUGUUACCUAUGUCAUCUUGGAUAGUAAUGGCUCCAUGAGUUGAAAUGUCAAUAACCUUGUAUGGUCCAUCCCACUUACUUCAUCGCUUACCAUGCCCAAAGAGCUUAACUCUUGAAUUGAAUAGUAGAACCUUAUCUCCAGGCUUAAACUCCUUGUGCUUGAUUCUCUUAUCAUGCCAUCUCUCUUUAUAGAUCCUUGAAUUGUGGUAGGCUUUCUCUCUCCAUUCUUCUAGCUCAGAUAGUUGCAUCAGACGAUUCUCGCUAGCGAGGUGGAGAUCCAUGUUCCAUUUCUUGAGUGCCCAAUGGGCCUUAAACUCUACUUCCAUAGGCAAAUGACAAGUUUUUCCAUAUACAAGUUGAUAACGUGACAUGCCUAUGGGUGUUUUGAAUGCAGUUCUAUAUGCCCAAAGUGCAUCAGGAAGUUUGUCCUUCCACCCCUUACCCAUCUCAUCUACGGUCUUUUGUAAAAUAUUUUUGUUUAGUUUGUUAGAUGUUUCAGCUUGACCGCUAGUCUGAGGAUGGUAUGGUGUUGCGACGUUGUGUCGAACUCCAUGAUCGGCUAGGUACUUUCGGAAGAUUUUGUCGAUGAAGUGGGAACCUCCAUCGCUUAUAACUAUCCGGGGUAUACCAAAGCGAGGAAAGAUUACUUCAUGGAACAUUCUCUUAGCAUGUUUUGAAUCAGCUGAUCGACAAGGUAGGGCUUCUACCCAUUUGGACACGUAGUCCACAGCUACUAAGAUAUACUCGCAAUUCCCGAACAUAGGGAAUGGCCCCAUGAAAUCAAUGCCCCAUACAUCAAAAAGUUCUACUUGAAGAUUAUUUGUGAGAGGCAUUUCAUUUCGUGAGUUGAUAUUCCCAUGUUUUUGACAUCGGUGGCAUCUCCUGACAAAGUCCUUUGUAUCUUCAUACAUCGUUGGCCAGAAAAAGCCACUUUGCAAAAUUUUAGCAUGUGUUCGGAAUGCUCCAUAAUGUCCUCCAUAUGGCAAGGCAUGACAUCUUUCCACAAUUUGAGUAGCCUCAGCCAUAGGAACACACCUUCUCAAGAGUCCAUCAGUGCAGACUCGGAAAAGAUAUGGCUCAUCCCAAAGGUGGAAACGACUAUCAUGAAGCAACUUCCUUUUGUUUGUACCAGGUGGGACAUAGCCUUUUACUAUAAAGUUUAUGAUGUCUGCGUACCAUGGAUCUGCAUGUGUUAUCUCAAGCAGGGUGUCAUCCCUUAGGUAGUCAUUUAUGGGAAGCUCAUCAUGUGUUUCCUUAUAUUGAAGCCUAGACAAGUGGUCAGCUACGGAAUUCUCUACUCCCUUCCUAUCUUGGAUUUCUAUGUCAAAGUCUUGGAGUAGAAGAAUCCAUCAAAUUAGACGAGGCUUAGCAUCUUUCUUAGUGAGGAGGACUUGAGAGUAGCAUGGUCUGAAUAGAUGAUUAUCUUUGCCCCCACUAAGUAAGAUCUAAACUUGACUAUAGCAAAGACAACAACCAAAAGCUCUUUUUCAGUUGUAGUGUAAUUGAGCUGUGGUCCAGACAAGGUUUUGCUAGCGUAGGAUAUGGCAUAAUGCUUUUUAUCCUUGGUUUGUCCUAAAACGGCACCAACCGCAAAAUCGCUAGCAUCAGACAUGAUCUAAAAAGGAAGAUUCCAAUCAGGUGGUUGGAUAAUUGGGGCUGAGAUGAGUGCUUUCUUAAGAGUUUGAAAAGAUUCAUGACACUCAUCACUAAAGAUUAAAGGUGCAUCCUUAGCUAGGAGACUAGUUAGGGGUCUAGCAAUUUGAGAGAAGUUCUUGAUAAAGCAUCUAUAGAACCCUACAUGUCCCAAAAAGCUACGGAUUCCUUUCACAUUUGUGGGAGGUGGAAGUUUUUCAAUAACUUCAAUCUUUGCUUUGUCCACCUCUAUACCAUGUUCGGAUAAUUUAUGUCCUAGCACUAUUCCUUCCUGAACCAUAAAAUGGCAUUUCUCCCAGUUCAGGAUUAAGUGCUUUUCUUCACAUCGCUGCAAGACUCUAUCUAAAUUCUCCAAACAAUGAUCAAAGGUUUUGCCAUAGACGGUAAAAUCAUCCAUGAAAACCUCCAUGAUCUUCUCAAUCAUGUUCGAGAAAAUAGACAUUAUGCACCAUUGGAAACAAGCUGGAGCAUUGCACAGUCCGAACGACAUUCGUCGGUAUGCAUAAGUUCCAUACGGGCAUGUAAAGGUAGUCUUUUCUUGGUCAUCUGGGUGGAUUGGGAUUUGGUGAUAUCUAGAAUAACCAUCAAGGAAACAAAAGAAAGAGUGGUUUGCAAGCCGUUCCAACAUUUCAUCAAUGAAGGGUAACGGAAAGUGAUCUUUCUUUGUAGCCUUGUUGAGUUUUCGAUAGUCAAUACACAUAUGCCACCCAGUGACAAUUCGUUGAGGGAUGAGUUCAUUCUUCUCAUUCCUAACGACCGUCAUUCCUCCUUUCUUUGGCACUACUUGGACAGGGCUAACCCACUCACUAUGUGGCAUAGGAUAAAUAAUCCCAGCAUUAUAGAGUUUCAGGACCUCUUUCUUAACAACCUCUCGCAUAGCAUUGUUAAGUCUCCGUUGUGGUUCCCUUGAAGGUGUAAAAUUAGGAUCAAUAGGGAUACGAUGAGUGUAGUGAAUGGGAUUAAUGCCCGUGACAUCUUCGAGAGAGUAGCCAAAUGCUGAUCUAUGCCUUUCAAGAACAGUGACAAGUUGUUGUGUUUCAUAAUCGGAAAGCUUGUCACUGAUAAUUACUGGAGUUUUUGGGUUGUUGUGCAAAAAGACAUAUCUAAGGCCAAAAGGAAGAGGUUUUAAUUCUAUCAAAGGAGGUGAAGGUUGUUCAUUUUUGUCUAGCUCAACGGGUUCUACCAACUCUUCUUCUUCUUGAACAAGGCGUUCAUGAUUAAAGAAUGGUUGGGCCAUCUCCUCUUGAGUCAGCAUUAAGAUCUCCUCAAUAGGAUCUGGUUCAAGUUUGGGUUCCACUAUCGUGUUAAUUGAUCUAGCAAGAGGAACAACAAUAGUGGAAUUCCCAACCUUGAAGUCUAAAAGACCUCGUUGUGGUUGUUCUUGUAGAAGUUUCAUGAUUGGUCUGCCAAUCAAGAGAGGAAUCUCUAGUAUGUCAAAAAUGUGAAAAUCUAGACAUAUUCUAGAGUCCUUGAUUCUAACAGGAACUGCCCUUAAUACCCCAUGGCUUUCUAGAAUUAAUCCAGAUGGACUUUGUAAAAGUUUUUGAGAUGGGGUUAUGGACUCGUUGGGAUAAAGAGUGUCAGCUAACUCCUUGGAAAUAACAUUUAUCCCAACAUAUGGAUUGUAGUGGACCUUCCUAGCGGACCCUCUAAUUGGGCACAGAAGAAUGGUUGAAGGAGUGAUGAUUCGAGCUACCUCAGGAGACAGCUCAGCUUCUGUUAGCCAUUCAUAACUCAGAAUAGCCGAAAGGCUUUUGAUGUGUUCUAUGUCAACAGAUGCUACCCUUAGAACGGAUUGAGUGGUCCCUGCUAGAGGUCGUGUUUGGAUAGGAAAAUUCGAGGUGUUUCCAUAAUCUUCAAAAAGAUCUUCCUCGAAUUCAAAGGGAUGCUCUAAAGGUGGUGGUUCAUCAUCCCUUAGUUGGUUUUGCAUUCCCUUAUCAGGAGGUUUCUCUACAACCAAAUUAAUAGAUGGGUCAGGUGGAAUUUCUAACUCGGUUGCAAGUUUCUCAUCUUUUGGUUUAGGAUCAGGCUCGACUUCUUUUUCUUCUUCAGGAAACUCAUCAUAAAUGCCUGUGUAAGGGGUAUUUUCAAGAAUUCUCUCUAGGAUAGCUCUCCCCUCAUCUGUGAGUUUGUGUGUGAAUGAGCCUCCUGAAGCAAUGUCGAGGUGAAGAGCAGCUUCCUUGUUUAGACCACGAUAAAAGUGCUAGUACAGUACAUGGUCAGGCAGGUAAAGGUUUGGACCGGAAUUGGUAAGGCUUGUGAACCUAGCCCAAGCUACUCCUAAAGUUUCCUUCUCUCUUUGUUUGAAUGUAAGAAUUUCGAUUCUAAGGUUAGCGAUUCGAAAAAGUGGGAAGAAAGCGAGACAAAAGUUGUCUCGAAGUUCAAACCAAUUUCCAUUAACGCCUCCUACAGAAUGAGCAUACCACUUUUUUGCUCUUCCCAAAAGGGAGAACGAAAAUAAUUUCCAUUUAAGGGUUUCUUGUGUCAUGCCGAAAAUAGAUCGGCAAGAGCACAACUGCUCGAAUUCUCUAAGGUGGGUGUAUGGAUAUUCAUCUACUUACCUAGAGAAGGGUUGCUCCUGAAUCAUGGCUAUUAAAUCAAGGCCGAGGUCGUAGCCAUCUGUAAGAAUUGGAUGUGAUGAUGGUGGUGGCUCUAAUAACUCGCCCUUUGGAGCAAAGAAUUUAUAGAUAGGAGUGAAAUCCAUGUGGUAUGGUGAAAAUGGUAAGGUGAGUGUAGUAAAAAAGGAAAACAAAAAGGAUACACAGACGACUUGGUUCGAAACUAGUGUUGACGGUCCUUAAAUAUCAAAUUUAAUCAUCAAAUAAACAAAGAAAAGGAUCCAAAUGCAACCGACAUCCAGACUUAGGGUUUUAUCUGACAGAAUUCCACGAGUUUUGGUGUUUGUCUAUUUCUGCAGGGGGUUAUCGGGAAAUACGGAAGAAAGGCCCACAUGUCGGGUUUACAUAGAGAUAUUAACGUGCCGCGCAAUUAUCUUACAUCUAGAAGAGUCCAGAAGCCACGGGAACGAACAGGAGACCGGACGGGCUCGGGGUAGGGCGCCCGCCCUCCCCACUAGGGCGCCCGCCCUGGCCUGUCCACCAAUCACGGCCAAUCUCGCGGAUCAUGCUCCACCGACCUAAAGGAUCAAGGAUAACCGUUCAAUCAAUGUCGGUUUGAUCCGACGGCCCACAUUCACUUGGAAGGACUAUAUAACCAGACCCCAUGGCCCCAGGAGGAGAGCACCUCUCAACCCUAAUUCAUUAUUCAUCAGGGAGAACAAGCCUCUCAUCAAGCCCUAGAGCCACCACAUCAAUUAGAUCUCUAGAUUAGCAUAGCUACAUAGGAUUAGAACUAGAAGGAGUCAAUCUUCGAUUGGUUUCCGGAUCUAUCAAGAGGAUUCUUGGUAAUUCUAUAUUGUUCUUCAAUUGUUCAUCUUUGUUCUUCGAUAUUAUGAAUAUGACUUUGUUCUACUUCAAUAUAUCGAUUAUGACUUUGCUCUACUUAUUUAUAUUCGCAAUUAUAUUGUUCUUAGUUUAUCAUAGUUAUAUACUUGGCUUAGUUAGAUUGGAACUUUAUACAUGUUUAGGAUCGUAUAGCAUUUAUCCAUCGGAUCCAUGGGUAAAUGAUAGAUAUUGUGUAGGCAUGGUGCUUAUACUGUAUUUAUCAGCGAUUGUACCCUAUAUGCCAGAUCACGGGGUCGUUCGUGGUAGUGACAGCUCCAUUGAUUCUUAUAUAGUCCCCCUCUCGUGUAUAGGGUUGGCAGAGCAACAUUAUUACAGGGGAGUGAUUACGAUGUUUCUCAUAUUCCUUGAUAAUAUCACUAUGCAUGGGUGUAGUCCUGUCUCACAAUGAUUGCUAAGUAUAAUUGCACUAACUAUGAUAUGCUAGACUGUAUAGUUAAGAAUAAUUUAGGAAAUAUUCUUGUAGUUCGUCCUAAUUCCAUGCUAAUGACUUGCUAGAAUAUCUAAUUGAGGUGCUUAUCAUAUUUAUAUGUGGCUAAGUUAUGCUGAUCAAAUUAAUUAUCUUUGUCACCAUUCAUUACUUUAUAUAUCAUUUAUGUGACACUUAUUCCUGUAUGAAAGAGAUAGAUAGAUGCUCUCAAUUAUACAUGCAAUGAUAGAUACUCAAUUAUAUAUUCCAUUCUAUAAUCAAUAUUGAUGAUUACUAAUCCCUUCCUAGUGGUAAAAAUAUAAAUAACGAUAUGUGGAAUACUUCCCGGUUAAAAUACUACAUCGGUAUUAAUCUGUGCGCUUGCAGAUCUCAUUUAUUAUUUAUUUAGAAGAGCAAUUGCAUAUUUCAAUACCGCAUCUCUCAUGUCAUGCUGGGGAUGACAACUUGGCUUAAGUGGUAUGAGGGAUAGGUUUGGCAUUUUUGGCGUCAUUAUCAGAAUUAGCAAACUAAGUCUACUUUUGGUAGUGACGUUAAGAAUGCCCGACAAGCAUUUUUGGCGCCGUUGCCGGGGAAGGUUGAUUACUAAUCAGGAAUGAAUAUGGAAUUUUGAGUCAUCAUUUGCAUCACUAAUAUGAUUGAGAUUAUCAAUUCUCUCAUACAGUUUCACCCUGAUAUUUUUUCUAUUUUAUCUUAUGCAGGGUAAUGUAUGAAUAGAAGACAUCUUCUAGGAAAUUUUGUUGACAAUCCCGAAGCGUUAUUCAGAAAAACAAGAGCCAAGCUCAAGAAGAGAUCAUCAACACUUUAGCACGAAGCUUCAUCCAAUCAAGAAGAUCACCAAAGUUUCACCCGGAACUUGUCUUCAGAAUUCGAAGUCAUGGCGAACAAAUCGAUCCGUGAGUUCUCAGCUCCCACUUCGGACAACAUCCGCACUCGACCUGCUGUAGAGAUCGACGGCAACUUUGAGCUCAAGCCUGGACUUAUCAACAUGGUGCAAUCCAACCAGUUCUGUGGGAAGGCACACGAAGAUGCUAGUGCUCAUCUCCAACACUUCCUGGAGAUUUGCAACACAUUCACCAUAUCAGGAGUCCCCAAAGAUGCUAUACUACUUUGCCUCUUCCCAUUCUCACUGUUAGGGAGAGCGAAGCAGUGGUUCUACGCUACAAAGGAGAAGAAUACUACGUGGGCACUCUGCUCCAUGAACUUUCUGGCUAAGUUCUUUCUAAUGGGCAAGACCAAUGCUCUCCGUGGAAAAAUUACAAGUUUUCAGCAACAACAUGAUGAAUUUGUUCCAGAAGCAUGGGAGCGCUUCCAAGACUACAUCCUAGAGUGUCCCCAUCAUGAAAUAGAGAGCUGGCUACUAAUACAGACGUUUUAUCAUGGACUCGGCAACAGUGCCCGAGAAACCAUGGAUGCUGCAGCUGGAGGAGCAUUCCUAUCACUCACCAUACCACAAGCCACAGCUCUUGUGGAGAAGAUGACGUCCAACCAAGGCUGGAAUGAAGAGAGGACCCAGACACGCAAGAAAGGUGGAGGUAUGCAUCAGCCCAAGGAGGUAGACAUGCCGUCUGUAAAGCUAGACCUGCUCAUGAAGAAGCUCGAUGAUAGAGCCGGAGAUAAGAAAGAAGUUAUGCACAUCUACGACUCUCACAUGACUUGUGAGGAGUGUGGAGAUACUGGACACUCAGGCAAUCACUGCCCUGAGAUGCUUGAGGAUGUAAACUACAUCAACAACAACAACAACAACUACUACUACCGUCUUCAACAAAAUCAAGGUUGGAAUCAACAAAGGCCUAACUACUCAGAUAAUUAUCAAGGUAACAAUUCUUACAACAAUAAUAAUAAUUUUCCACCUCUGAGAGAGUUAGAGUCUAAUCAAGGAAAGCUAAUGGAUAACCUAUCUAAGAAAUUGGCAUCUAAUAAUAAAAUGCUAGAAAAUAUAAAUAAUAGAAUGGAUAAUUUCUCUACUGCCAUCAAGAAUCAAAUUAGCUUCAAUAAAAUGAUUGAAUCUCAGUUAAAUCAAAUAGCUACUGCUGUUCCUGCUACUAACCCCGGUAUCCCAUCACAACCGAAAGGAUUAGAAUCUGCAAAUCUUGUAGACAUGUUUGAUGCAGGUAACUACUCGAGUAACCCCGUCACUGAAGUUAUUACUGACCUUCUGCCGGUCAAGAGAGGCGAUCCAGGACGCCCCGUCAUCCCGAUCUCCAUCGGCAUGGUGGACUUCCCAGAAGCACUCUGCGACUUUGGCUCCAGCGUCAACAUUAUACCCAGGGUACUCUAUGAAAAAUUCUUUACAUAUCCUUUAUUAGAAACAACCAUGUGUUUGCAGUUUGCAGAUCAGGCGUUAAGUUUCCCAAAGGGAAUAUUGAAGAACCUCUGCGUCCGAGUUGGUACCUUGUAUGCCCCAUCAGACUUCGUGGUGAUAGAGACCGGUAAUGAUGAGAGGGCACCCAUCAUCUUAGGGAGGCCAUUCUUAAACACCUCGGGAGCUGUCAUCUACCCUAGUGCUACCAAGAUCAGUUUCUAUAUCAAAGGGAAAAAGGAGACGUAAUGCGACACGUUGUCCCGAUCUUCACGACGUAGGAAGAACACCGAUAAUUGGCUGAAGAACAGCCGGAUAACUUGCUGCGGGCAGCGAUAACUAGUGCAACCUGGCAAAUAAAACUCGAAGCCAACCACCGUCUUUAACCGGCAACCUGAAUCGAGGAUUCGCCCAACCACAAUCUCAAGGAACCAACCAACACAACCUACAAUCAAUCAAGGAAUACCUUGAAGGGAGUAGGAGCACCAAUUGGGAGCAGAUGAAGCCGCCGCCUAUGUAAUCCCGCGAGGAAAUCACAAGAGCAAAGGGGUAGAGAUCACUCUCUGAAUUUGUUAGCACGCAGCUGAACAAAGGGGUUCUGUAUUUCAAUUAUCAAAGUCUUAGAUUACAAUGAGUCUUAGUGGGUAUUUAUACUAGCAACAGCCCUCCUAGAUAGGUAUGAAAACAAAAUAGAGUUUCUGAGGGAAGGCAAUGUGAAAGUCCCCUCGAAAUGGAUUCCCAAAGUGGCUUCGCGUGACUGUUGGCAUCCAGAGUGGUUUCCAAUAAACUGACCAUAACUUUUUAUUGGGAAGUCCAAAUGAUGAACCGUUUCUUGGGUGUGAAACUAGACUCAAAGGGCUUUCCAACAAUGUAAGCCAACCAGCACGAAACAUUGUAGAUUGGUAUAGUUUUACUUAGCAAGUUGUACCAACAUUCUGUCACGACAGACUGUUGACCUUCUGAGCAGUCUGUACUAAUUCUGGUCUGUAGGAAAUAUGGUGUAUCCAAACUAGUCGCCACUAGAUUCAUUUGAAAGUAGACUCGUCAACCUUUCCAACAAGUGCUCAUGGACCUUCUUAGCUUUUGUGAGUAAAACGUUAUGAAGAUUCCUUUGCACUAGUCCGUUUUUGACUUCCACUGGUCCGUUUUUUACUUCUUCUAGAACUUGCACUGGUCCGUUGUUCAGGGUCCGAUUCAUCCUUCUCUUCUUCUAUAUACCUGAGUACAAUCAAGGUACAACACUUAGGUAGUAUAUAAUUCUCAUUAAUGUAAAAAUGAAUUUCACAAAGUAGUGUGUGGACCUCUUGUUGUAGCUUCUUUGCAUGACUACGUGUAAUCGGUCCAUCGAUGACUUGGGCUGGUGUCGGUGUAGGUGAAACUUGAGUGGGUGUAGCUUGACUUGGAGCUUUUGACAUCUUGCUUGGUAGCGUGGUCAUAUCAUCCUCUCCCUGGAAAAUGAGUCGUCCUCGACUCUAAAGUGUCUUCACUUGUGAAUGGUGAGAGAUCAGCAACAUUGAAGGAGUUGCUCACGCCAUAACUUGAAGGAAGAUCAAUCUUGUAUGCAUUGUCAUUGAUCUUCUCAAGAACACGAAAUGGACCAUCUCCUCGUGGUAGCAAUUUUGAUUUGUGCUGCUGAGGAAAGCGAUCCUUGCGCAAGUGUAUCCACACCAAGUCCCCGGGUUCAAAUAACACCCUCUUCCUAUGUUUGUUCAUAUUUUCAGCCUUGCGUCAUGCCUUGAGUUCAAUUGCUUCCUUGGUGUUCUCUUGUAUCUUCUUGAUGUAUGCAGCACGCUUGGAGGCUUCCAUAUUGGUUCUUUCCUACAAUGGAAGGGGCAUCAAAUCUAUCGGAGCAAUAGGUUUGAACCCAUAUACAAUUUCAAAAGGACACAUAUUAGUGGUAGAGUGUACUGCCCUGUUAUAUGCAAACUCCACAUGUGGCAAGCAUUCCUCCCAAACCUUCAUGUUCUUUUUCACCAUUGUUCGCAGCAACAUUGACAAUGUGCAAUUCACCACUUUCUUAUAUUUCACAAUGUAUGGAAAUGUUUCGAUGAACUCAACCCAUUUGACAUGACGACAGUUCAGUUUUGCUUGUCCUUUCAAGUACUUCAAAGCUUCAUAGUCAGAGUGAAUAACAAAUUCUUUUGGCCAUAAGUAGUGCUACCAUGUUUCAAGCACACACACCAAAGCAUACAAUUCUUUGUCAUACACAAAAUAAUUCAAUUGAGCACCUCCUAGUUUUUCACUAAAAUAUGCUACAGGUUUUCCUUGUUGCAUUAAAACUCCUAUCCCAAUUCCACUAGCAUCACAUUCUACUUCAAAAGUUUUAGUGAAAUCAGGAAGAACAAGUACAGGUGCUUCAGUCAAACGUUUCUUUAAUUCUUGAAAUGCAUUUUAUUGUGAUUUUCCCCAUUUAAAGUCAACACCUUUCUUUGUCAAUUCAUUCAAAGGAGCAGCGAUGGUACUGAAAUCUCUCACAAACCUCCUAUAAAAACCAGCAAGGACAUGAAAACUUCUUACUUGACUUACAUUCGUUGGAGUUGGCCAAUCCUUGAUGGCUUUCAUCUUGCUUUCAUCCACUUCUAUGCCUUUUCCUGAAACAACAAAGCCAAGAAACACAACAUGGUCUGUGCAAAAACUGCACUUCUCAAGAUUAGCAAAUAAUUUCUCCUUUCUAAGCUCUUCCAAUAGUUGCCAAAUAUGAUUCACAUGUUCCUCAAAAGACUUGCUGUAAAUUAAGAUAUCAUCAAAGUAAACAACAACAAAUUUUCCAAUGAAAGCUCUCAAGACAUGGUUCAUUAAUCUCAUGAAAGUACUAGGAGUAUUAGUCAAACCAAAAGGCAUAACUAACCAUUCAUACAGCCCAAAUUUUGUUUCAAAUGCAGUUUUCCAUUCGUCCCCUGUUUUUAUUCUUAUCUGAUGGUAUCCACUUCUCAAAUCAAUUUUAGUGAAUAUGGUGGAACCACUUAAUUCAUCAAGCAUGUCAUCUAAACGUGGGAUAGGAUGGCGAUAGGGAACAGUGAUGUUAUUUAUAGCUCUACAAUCAACUCACAUUCUCCAGGAACCAUCUUUCUUAGGUACUAAAAUUACAGGAACAACACAAGGACUUAAACUUUCACGAACAAAACCUUUAUCAAGAAGUUCUUGCACUUGCCUUUGUAUCUCCUUUGUUUCUUCUAGAUUGGUUCGAUAUGGUGGUCGAUUAGGUAGUGCAACCCCUGGAAUGAGAUCAAUUUGAUGCUCAAUCCCACGAAUUGGAGGUAGUCCUACCGGUGUUUCUUCUGGAAAGACAUCUCCAUAGUCCUGCAAAAGAUGAGACACAACACUAGGAAGAGAGGUCAUGUCGUUAGCUGAAAUUAAAAUGUCUUUGUACACAAGUAAAAAGAGCACUUGUUCGGGGUUGUUCCUCACUUCUCUCAUUUCAAAUUUUGUGGCUAGUAUGACUAAUUUCUCUCCCUCUCCUUUCUUUUUCUCCCUCAAAUUUAGCUUGUGGCACUCACUCACCGAAUUGUGGAUGGCACUCAAUUUCUUUUGCUCUCCUUCCUCUCUACUCACUGGAACAAUUUCAGAUUUCUUUUGUAAAUGUUCAGCCAUGAUUUGUUGAGGUGUCAUAGGCUUGAGAACAAACUUCUUCCCCGUUAGAUUGAUAGUAAACUGAUUUGUUCUCCCACAAUGUUGGCUAUAUCGAUCAUAUUGUCAUGGUCUUCCAAGCAGCAAGUGACACACCGACAUAGGUGCCACAUCACUCUCCACUGUGUCAACAUAUUCACCAAUCUUGAAUGGAACUUUCACUUUAUAUCCAAUCUUGAUAUCUUCCGAAUCAUUCAACCACUGUACAUUAUAUGGAUGAGGGUGUCGUAGCAGCUUCAAGCCAAGUUUAUCACCCAUCUCACGACUAGCAAGAUUAUGGCAGCUCCCUCCAUUAAUAAUCACACCUCUUUAUCAUGCACCUUUGCUCUAGUUUGAAAUAAUUUGUGUUGCUGCCCAUUUUCAGCUUCAUUUGCCUGAACACUCAAGAUUUGAGUCAUCUCAAGAGCAUCUCCUUGCUCAAACUCACAACAAGUAAGGUCCUCGUCUCCAUGGGCUUCCUCCUCAAUUCCCUCUUCACUAGUUGAUUCAUACUUUCCAUCAUCAUUCACAAUGAUCACCUGAGUAUUGGUGCACUCCUUACUUAUAUGUCCAUGGCCUCCACACUUGAAGCUCUGAAUUUCACUACUCCUGGAAGUAGAACCCACUGAAGUAGUGGUUGAUGCUGCUGGUUUUGAACUUGGGACAACAGUGUUCUUUCCACUAAAAGUACCCUGAAAAUUAGAUCGUGAGCCUCUACUUGAGUAUUUCACCGUAGAUGGUUCAGCAGCAAACUUUGUGUUUGAUUUGCUUCCUCCACAGAAAUUCCUCGUGGAUGGUUCAGCAACAAAUUUUAGCAUGGUAAAUUUCAGUUUGCCAAAUCUUUCUUCAUGGUUGCCUCUUCUAUGACAUCGACGACCAAAACUGAGUUGGAAGUGGUUGUCAUUAGCCUCAUCUUCAGAUUCAUCAUCAUUUCUUCCACUAUGUCUUCUUUCUUUAUCAUGUGCAGCCCUCUGGUUCCUCCGACCUCCUCUUCUUCCAUCACUAUCUUCUCUAUCUCCACUAUGGUUGCUUGCACCAUCAUGAGGUGGACGAUGCCUUCUGAUUUCAGUCAUAUGAAUUCCUCUGCUGCAGAUUACAAGGAAAACAAAUGUGUGGUGGCAACUGAAAGUGAUGGCGAGGCGAAUACAAGAACAGAGAGUACCGAUUACGAUAGUUUUUAUGUGGAGCUUGGUGGGGAGUAAUACACAAGGAAUGCAAUCUGAAUUCUAGUUGUUGUAAAGUUAUGUAACGAUCCAAACUAGAAGUUCUCUGCCUAGUGCUGAUCAAAAGAUUCGAACUGUAUAAAUAGAUCACACACACGCAAAGAAAUUUCAGAAUUGAUGCAAACAAGGAGUAUGAUUGGGAUGCAAGUGUUGCAAUCAGACCCAACCAAAGUUUUGCACCAAACAAAGAUAGCAAACUGGUUGCAGAACUUGAUAUGAAACUUUCAGCACUUCUGCACAUAAACCAACUAAUCUUUCAGACUCUCUCUGAACCUUUCUCAACUUUUUUUUUCACUUCACUUUUUUUGCACUUUCUUUUCUAUUUUUUUGACACACUUUUUUAUAUAUAGAACUAAAAAUAGGGAUCAGAUUAUGAUACUUGCACAACUAAAGAUAGAAAUAAAACAACAACCAGUAGCUAGAUAGGAUCAAAGUUAACACAAAGGAUGAUAUAGGCUAUAGAGAUUUUUUGUGGGGAUUUUAGAUAUAAAAGAGGCACAAAGAACACGCGAAGGAUAAAUGAUCAGCAACUAAAACAAAGACUCUAAUGGACUGCAACUUAACAAAACUCACUAAAAUAAUAGAUUGAAACAAAGGUCUAAGCAAUAUAUUUUUCUGGCUUUUUGGUGGAUAGGAUGAAGCAAAAAUAUAUAUGUAGCUAGGGAUAAAAUUCCUACCGUGGUAACAAAAGCUUUGAUACCAGAUGAUGCGACACGUUGUCCCGAUCUUCACGACGUAGGAAGAACACCGAUAACUAGCUGAAGAAUAGCCGGAUAACUUGCUGCAGGCAGCGAUAACUAGCAAAUAAAACUCGAAGCCAACCACCGUCUUUAACUGGCAACCUGAAUCGAGGAUUCUCCCAACCACACUCUCAAGGAACCAACCAACACAACCUACAAUCAAUCAAGGAAUACCUUGAAGGGAGUAGGAGAACCAAUUGGGAGCGGAUGAAGCUGCCGCCUAUGUAAUCCCGCGAGGAAAUCACAAGAGCAAAUGGGUAGAGAUCACUCUCUGAAUUUGUUAGCACGUAGCUGAACAAAGGGGUUCUGUAUUUCAAUUAUCAAAGUCUUAGAUUACAAUGAGUCUUAGUGGGUAUUUAUACUAGCAACAGCCCUGCUAGAUAGGUAUGAAAACGAAAUAGAGUUUCUGAGGGAAGGCAAUGUGAAAGUCCCCUCGAAAUGGAUUCCCGAAGUGGCUUCGCAUGACUGUUGGUCUCCAGAGCAGUUUCCAAUAAACUGACCAUAACUUUUUAUUGGGAAGUCCAAAUGAUGAACCAUUUCUUGGGUGUGAAACUAGACUCAAAGGGCUUUCCAGCAAUGUAUGCCAACUAGCACGAAACAUUGUAGAUUGGUACAGUUUUACUUGGCAAGUUGUACCAAUAUUCUGUCAUGACAGACUAUUGACCUUCUGAGCAGUCUGUACUAAUUCUGGUCUGUAGGCAAUAUGGUGUAUCCAAACUGGUCUCCACUAGAUUCAUUAGAAAGUAGACUCGUCAAGCUUUCCAACAAGUGCUCAUGGACCUUCAUAGCUUUUGUGAGUAAAAAGUUAUGAAGAUUCCUUUGCACUAGUCCGUUUUUUACUUCCACUGGUCCGUUUUUGACUUCUUCUGGAACUUGCAUUGGUCCGUUCUUGAGGGUCCGAUUCAUCCUUCUCUUCUUCUAUAUACCUGAGUACAAUCAAGGUACAACACUUAGGUAGUAUAUAAUUCUCAUUAAUGUUAAAAUGAAUUUCACAAAGUAGUGCGUGGACCUCUUGUUGUAGCUUCUUUGCACGACUACGUGUAAUCGGUCCAUCAAUGACUUGGGCUGGUGUCGAUGUAGGUGAAACUUGAGUGAGUGUAGCUUGACUUGGAGCUUAUGACAUCUUGCUUGGUGGCGUGGUCAUAUGAAGACGUUUUCCUUUAAGAACAAGACUACACCAAUCCCAGAGCAAUCCCGACAUGAACCAAGGAAGAGGACCAACAGGAGGAACAGGAACAAGCAAGUGUGGACCGAGUCAGCUAAGAUGGUCACUGCAGUUCAAGGAGGUCAAGAUCAUCGACUUAAGUCACCAUUUAAGGACGACCCAGGAAUGUCAAGCAUCUAUUGCUCCAUAAAUGGAUACAACUUCUACAUGACAUUUUGCGACACCGGAUCGGGCGUCAACAUAAUGGCCGCAGUCACCUAUCGGCUCCUGUUCGGAACCAUGCCCUUAAAACCAACAUACAUUCAGCUCCAGAUGGCAGAUCAGACAUUUCGAGAGGUUAAAGGUAUAGUAACUGAUGUCCCUGUCAAAAUAGACGAUCAUUUUGUCUACACAGACUUUCAGGUUAUUGACAUGGGAGAAGACGAAUACGAUCCACCCAUCAUCCUUGGAAGACCAUUCCUCAGCACCGUUAAAACAAUCAUCUACAUUAGAACUGGAGAAGUCCAUAUGCACUUCCCCUCAGAGAAGGUACGCCGCUAUUUUACUGACCCUAACUAUAUCGUUGAAGACUCUAAGCAGGUCAGGACAAGAAGAAGACGACGCAACUGUAACCAGAAGAGGCAAAUCAUCAAGGAAGGAUGAGCAGACUACGAAGGAGAAGUAGUAAGGUCUGAAGACAUACAACUUGAACAAGAUUAUCCUGAGGAGACCGUAGCACCGAGUCAGGUGUGGAAAGAGAAGAUAACUAUACACGAAGAGAAGGCGCCACUGGAAGCACCGACUGCGCCACCCAACGAACCCCAGGACAACUAAGAAAACGAAGAGUCCCGUUCGGAGGACUUAAAAACACCGAACGCCUUGCCAAGAGGUAAACUUGGUACUUAUCCUUUCCCUUUCAAAUAUUUAAAAUACUUUACUUAGUUAAUUAUGUUCAUACUAUCCUAAAAAGAAAAUAAAAAUGUUAAAAAAUAGUAAGCCCCAUGUGAGUAUGCGAGUGGCAUAAAACCCAUAAGUACAUUCACUGUGCUGGCAUAAAAAUAAAAUAAAUAUUUCUUUUCUGCUUUAUAAAACAAAAAUAUAAAAAUAGAGAGUAACAUUUAUUGAGGAGGCUCAACAUGAUAAAGGCUAGAUAUUUAUGCUAACACCUAAUCAGUUCCACAAAGCUUUGUUGUCUAUUUGAGCUCCACAAAAUUUAAGAAUCAAGAAGACUAGCAGACGGAGGACAUUCUAAUCGCUGUCAGGAUACUGCCGACUUUCAAAUACACCUCUGCCACCUGCUAGCUAUAUCAGAAGAAAUUACGUCAAAAUUCAGCUUGAGGGAGAGCACCCCCAUUUAUCCCGCUAAGUAUUUCUAUCCAUCUUUAUACUUAUACUAUAUUAAAAUAUAAAUAUACAUAACUACGAAAAACCAAAUAAAGAUUUUAUACUUAUAUAUAUAUAUCUUUUGCUUAGUAUGCUUAAUAAAUAAAUAAAGUGGCUAUGCUAAACCGAAUCUUAAUAAUAAAACUCUAGCAUAGAUAUGAUGAAUAGUUGUUCUGCCUAAUUUUCAAAUUUGAAGUUCUCUCUCAAGUUUAGACAUAACUAUUAUAAUUUAAAUCUUGCUCUAAAUCUGAACCUGUGGGAAGAAAACUUGAUCUAAAGUCUAAGUUGUUAACACAUAUGAUAUGAGAAGGUUGAGCUGCUGUUUAUCUGUUCCUAGAGAUGCUAGAAUUCUGGAGAAUUUUAUCUUUGAAAAUCUUUAAAAUAACACAUGAUGAGUUCCUGUAUGAUGAGAGUUUAAAUUCCUACCACAGCAAUAUAUACAUACUUGCUAGACUUUGAGCCACACAUUUACUUUUUACUGCUUAUAAGCAUUGAGUGUGGUCAAGCUGUGUAGACCCUUAGGAGCUUGUCAUGUGGUUAAAUCAAGAUUCACUUGCAUGUUCACUCACACAUGCUGCUUCUACUCCGGAAGUACGCAUCCACAUAUAUCCACCCAUUUCCAUCUCCAAAACUACCCAAAAAUAUUCUACUCCUAAUUCGGGAGAGAAUAGCCAAAAACAUUUCUGUAUUUCCCUAUGAAAUAAAUGCUCAAGUUAUCUUGGUUACUACCACUUGCUAUAUUAUUUCAGGAGAUGAGUGCUCUAAAAAAAGAGAGAAAAGAGAAAAAAAGAUACGAGGAAAUAAAAAGGGGCAAGUGCCUGGAACCUCGAAAGAAGAGAAAAAGUGAGACGAGAGGUAAAAAUGGACAAGUGUCCGACAGUAGAAUUAGGGAUACAGGAUACCCACCUGAGAGGAAAGAAAAAGAAAGUACAGAGCAUCUCAUUCUCCCCAAGUUUCAAAAGAGCAAGGAAGGUAUGUAUCCCCUCAGAAGAGCAAAAGUAGAAUUAGACUUUCACCAUUGUUAUCACCAUCAUCACCAUACACCAUUCAUUCGCCACACAUGCACAUCUUGAUUUGACUUAUUGGCUUGUUUCUUUAGAUCCAUGGUUUGACUAUGCAAUAAAUGUCUUGUAAGUAUGUAUACUUUAUCUCCCACCUAUGAGCUCCAGAUAUCAAAAGCCUUAUUAGAGUAGGGUGAGAGAGAAGGCAAUGUUACUACGCCUUAUACCACAAAUACUACAUAUUUUGAGAGAAGGCAUAUAUUAUCACUGCCUUGGUAAGGAUCCAGAAAUACCACAAAAGAGAGAUAUGAGAGAGUCAUACAAGGAAUCUGUGAGUUUUAUUUGAAAAUCUGCAAAAACUCCAGAACUAUAGCUGAUCAAGAAUAAGAGACAUGGCACUUAACUAGACCGUUCUAUCUUUUUACUACUCAAGACAGAAGUGACGGUUACAAGUCCCAUGGUAAAAGGUAAAAUGAAUAAGUUUUAUGUCUUGAUAGUUUACUCAAACUCAGAGAUGAGACCUCAUUUAGAAGCAUGUGUACCGUCAAUUUUCAAAGGUAUUUCAGCAACUUCUGAUCCAUCGCUGAGAUUAUCCUUGCUCAGGGACGAGCAAGAGGAAAGUUUGGGGGAGUUUGUUGACGGUCCUUAAGUAUCAAAUUUAAUCAUCAAAUAAACAAAGAAAAGGAUCCAAAUGCAACCGACAUCCAGACUUAGGGUUUUAUCUGACAGAAUUCCACGAGUUUUGGUGUUUGUCUAUUUCUGCAGGGGGUUAUCGGGAAAUACGGAAGAAAGGCCCACACGUCGGGUUUACAUAGAGAUAUUAACGUGCCACGCAAUUAUCUUACAUCUAGAAGAGUCCAUAAGCCACAGGAACGAACGGGAGACCGGACGGCCUCGGGGGCAGGGCGCCCACCCUCCCCACUAGGGCGCCCGCCCUGACCUGUCCACCAAUCACGGCCAAUCUCACGGAUCAUGCUCCACCGACCUAAAGGAUCAAGGAUAACCGUUCAAUCAAUGUCGGUUUGAUCAGACGACCCACAUUCACUUGGAAGGACUAUAUAGCCAGACCCCCUGGCCCCUGGAGGAGAGCACCUCUCAACCCUAAUUCAUUAUUUAUCAGGGAGAAGAAGCCUCAGGCCCUAGAGCCACCACAUCAAUUAGAUCUCUAGAUUAGCAUAGCUACAUAGGAUUAGAACUAGAAGGAGUCAAUCUUUGAUUGGUUUCCGGAUCUGUCAAGAGGAUUCUUGGUAAUUCUAUAUUGUUCUUCAAUUGUUCAUCUUUGUUCUUCGAUAUUAUGAAUAUGACUUUGUUCUACUUCAAUAUAUCGAUUAUGACUUUGCUCUACUUGUUUAUAUUCGCAAUUAUAUUGUUCUUAAUUUAUCAUAGUUAUAUACUUGGCUUAGUUAGAUUGGAAUUAUAUACAUGUUUAGGAUCGUAUAGCAUUUAUCCAUCGGAUCCAUGGGUAAAUGAUAGAUAUUGUGUAGGUGUGGUGGCGAUUGUACCCUAUAUGCGAGAUCGCAGGGUAGUUCGUGGUAGUGACAGCUCCAUUGAUUCUUAUAUAGUCCCCCUCUCGUGUAUAGGGCUGGCAGAGCAACAUUAUUACAGGGGAGUGAUUACGAUGUUUCUCAUAUUCCUUGAUAAUAUCACUAUGCAUGGGUGUAGUCCUGUCUCACAAUGAUUGCUAAGUAUAAUUGCACUAACUAUGAUAUGCUAGACUAUAUAGUUAAGAAUAACUUAGGAAAUAUUCUUGUAGUUCAUACUAAUUCCAUGCUAAUGACUUGCUAGAAUAUCUAAUUGAGGUGCUUAUCAUAUUUAUAUGUGGCUAAGUUAUACUGAUCAGAUUAAUUAUCUUUGUCACCAUUCAUUACUUUAUAUAUCCUUUAUGUGACACUUAUUCCUGUAUGAAAGAGAUAGAUAGAUGGUCUCAAUUAUACAUGCAAUGAUAGAUAUUUAAUUCUAUAUUCCAUUCUAUAAUCAACAUUGAUGAUUACUAAUCCCUUCCUAGUGGUAAAAAUAUAAAUUACGAUACUUGGAAUACUUCUUGGUUAAAAUGCUACAUCGGUAUUAAUCUAUGCGCUUGCAGAUCCCAUUUGUUAUUUAUUUAGAAGAAUAAUUGCAUAUUUCAAUACCGCGUCUCUCAUGUCAUGCUGGGGAUGAUAACUUGGCUUAAGUGGUAUGAGGGAUAGGUUUGGCAUUUUUAGCGCCGUUAUCAGAAUUAGCAAACUAAGUCUACUUUAGGUAGUGACGUUAAGAAUGCCCAACAACUAGCACAGCUAUCGUUCCCCGGCAACGGCGCCAGAAAGCUUGUUGGGUAUUUUAAACGCAAACAGAAAAAUCCGCAAGCGCACGGAUACCGAUGUAGCUUUCACCCGGAAGUAUUCCAGAGUAUCGAUUUUCCACAGGGAACGUGAGUAUACUAAUUAAGAUUCAAGAUCGCCCAAGGAUAACUAUAUAAUUAUUUUUGGUGGGAAGAGAGGAAGUUUCCUCAGAGUUCUCUAGUUGAUCUAACAAUCAAGAAUUACUUCAAACAUUAUUUAUUUUGGGACAUCAAAACACUAACCACAGAAAGAGACGAGAAUGAGGCUAGAAAGCUCUGACUAACACCGAUCCGAACGAGGUAGAGUACGUCGACCGUUAGGGCUGUCACUACUCUAGGGCUACCACAACAAUCCACAAGAUUGGGUGCAAUUCUAGGUAAUUGCAAGACUAAACACCACGUCUAAUCUAUUAAUUACUACUCUAGCGUUAUAAAGACUAGAGCACUUGAUGCAAGCGGAAAUCUAGUACAUAACUUGAAUGUAAACAAAAGUAAUUAAAGAACCCAGGAAUUAUGAAUUGAAGAACUCGGAGAACGAUGAAGAACGAACCAGUUGCAGCAAAAGUAUAAUGUUGAGGAAGAUCCGACAGAUCCGGCUCCUCCUACGCUCUUCUCUUCUCUCUCCCUAUUUUCUAGAUUAUAACUAGAACUAACUAGAACUAGAACUAGAUGAACUAGAGGGAUCCUCUCUACUUGGAUGAAUAAUUGAAACCCUAGCUUUGAUUCUGUAGAAAAGAUAUGUUCUCCAGGGGCCAGGGGGCCUGCUUAUAUAGCCCUUCCAAAUGAACGUGGGCCGUCGGAUCAAACCGACCUUAAUCGCAUGGUUUUCCUUAAUCCUUUAGGUCGGUGGAGCAUGAUCCGCGAGGUGGAGCCUGAUUGGCUGAGACAGCAGGGCGGGCGCCCAAGGGGGGAGGGCGGGCGCCCUGCCCCGUGCCCGCUCGGCCUCCUGUUCGUUCCCGUGGCUUCUGGAGUCUUCUAGAUGAUAGAAAAUUGGCGCACACGUUAAUAUCUCUAUGUAAACCCGACGUGUGGGCCUUUCCUCCGUAUUUCUUGAUAACUCCAUGCAGAAAUAGACAAACACCAAAACUAGUGGAAUUCUGUCAGAUAAAACCCUAAGUCUGGGUGUUGGUUGCAUUUGGAUCCUUUUCCAUGAUUAGUUGACGGUUAAAUGUGAGCAUUAAGGACCGUCAACAAGCACACAGGCAAACAUGGUUCCAUGAGGAUUACAUAGUUUGGAGUAAUCGGCAAGCUACAUAGAUGAAAAGGAGUUACUCCAUUUCUGUUUGUUUAACAAUCUCUAACUUCAUGACACUAAUCGAUAUUUUUUUCUGAAUUCCAUUUAUCUAAAACAGCAUAUCCUAACUGAAAACUGAGCAAAUUUUAUCUUGCAUGUUUCCUAUUGUAAUCAACGGUACGGAAACGAAUUAAACAGCAUGUGCCUGCUUGUAAAUAAACUGGAAUAUGCUACUUGUGUAGAUGUAGUGCUUGAUUAAGGGUCUCAGCUAAUAUAUGUUGACCGCAUGUAUUGUCACAAAACUUGGCUUGCAUUAUCAUGCCAACAAUUUGAAGAAUCAAAUAGUGCCAACAAAAAGUAGCAUACCUGCUGUGACGUCUGGCCGUCAGUGUCCACAUCUUGGAGCAGGGGCAGCGUGGACCUCGGGGCCGGCAACCCGUGCGGCAACGUCGAUGACGCGGAGGCAAGGGUGUGCACUGUUGUGUGAGUGGCGGCGGCGAUGGCUAUGCCAGAUCUAGGGAGCUCAGUUGUGGAUGUGGGCACAUCGUCGGUCUUCGGCUUCUUGGCGAUGGGGAUCUCGGAGGUCGGAACAGGGUGCGACAGCCCCUUCCCUUUCCUCUUGGUGACGGGAGCCUCGGCAGCCAGAGCAAGGUCUGGCGGACCCUUCCCCUUCCUCUUCUUCUCAUUGGAGGAAGACGACGGCUUCUUCUUGGCUGGUGCGGCAGCGGGGGCAUCGGCGGGCUUCUCCGGCACCGGCAUCGGAGAGCGGAGAGCGGCGUCCUCGACCAUGGAAGCGGGAGGAGCAACCAUUACGGAGGGAGAGCGGAGAACGGCGACCUAGGACUGCGAUACGAUAGGGAGCAGGUUCUACUAUGGCCAGUAGCAGGCCUUAGCAGUUUUUUGCGGGCUCUGCAAUUGGUCUGCACGCGCUAGCAGGCUGGACUGCCCUGUCCAGUAAUAGAAAAUUAAGUGGCCUGCAGUUGUCCAGUGGGCUUGUUUUGCGGGGCGGGCUAAGUGGGCUUGAAAACAGACCCACGCCACUUGCAUCUUGACUUUCGGCACCGGCACCGGCGAGAGAAGACAAGGGGCGACCUAGGCGGGGCAACGCGCACCAAGGGGUAGACGGCCCUCGAAGCGCACCCAUCCUCCUUCCCCGAACAACCGGGCGACCUAGGCAGGGCGCGGCGCGAGAUCCUUCCCCGCCCCAGUCCGCCGACUACUCGCCCUAGGUAAGGCUCGCCCGCUCGUUGUUCCCUCCGUGCCUGAUUCAUUUUUCGGUGAAGCGACCUCGAUCUGAAAAAUGGGGCUGUUCCGGGCGGCGUCCGGCCUGGCCCGUGUGGCGCUGCGGCGGAACCUCUCGCGCGCCGCGGCGAGCCCCUUCGCCGGCGGCGGUGGCGCCGUCCCUCGCGCCGCGCCGGCGCGCUACUUCCACUCCACCCGCCCGCGCCGGUUCGCUGCGCCUGAGCCCCGUGCGGUGCCGCUCUCGCGCCUCACCGACAGCUUCCUCGAUGGGACCAGCAGCAUCUACCUCGAGGAGCUGCAGCGGGCCUGGGAGGCCGACCCCAACUCCGUCGACGAGUCCUGGGACAACUUCUUCCGCAACUUCGUUGGCCAGGCUGCGGCCACCUCACCGGGCCUCUCCGGCCAGACCAUCCAGGAGAGCAUGAGGCUGCUGCUGCUCGUCAGGGCGUAUCAGGUGAGCGGCCACCUGAAGGCCAAGCUUGACCCGCUCGGGCUGGAGGAGCGCCCGGUCCCGGACGUGCUGGACCCAGCGUUUUAUGGGUUCUCUGAGGCGGACUUGGACCGCGAGUUCUUCCUUGGGGUGUGGAGGAUGGCUGGGUUCCUUGAGGAGAACCGGCCAGUGCAGACGCUGCGUUCCGUGCUGGAGCGGCUCGAGCAGGCCUACUGCGGCACCAUUGGGUACGAGUACAUGCACAUACCUGACAGGGAGAAGUGCAACUGGCUCAGGGAUAGGAUCGAGACAGUUAACCCAAGGGAGUACUCUUAUGAUCGUCGUCAGGUCAUGCUGGAUAGGCUUAUCUGGAGCACACAGUUUGAGAAUUUCUUGGCGACCAAGUGGACGACUGCAAAACGGUUCGGUCUUGAAGGCGCUGAGACUCUGAUCCCUGGCAUGAAGGAGAUGUUUGACAGGGCAGCUGAUCUUGGUGUAGAGAGUAUUGUCAUUGGGAUGCCACAUAGAGGCAGGUUAAAUGUCUUGGGAAACGUUGUGAGGAAGCCCUUGCGACAGAUAUUCAGCGAGUUUAGUGGUGGUACCAAGCCUGUCAAUGAAGGGGAGGGGUUGUAUACAGGGACUGGUGAUGUCAAGUACCAUCUUGGAACUUCAUAUGAUAGGCCUACCAGAGGUGGGAAACAAAUCCAUCUGUCACUGGUUGCAAACCCGAGUCAUUUGGAAGCAGUUGAUCCAGUUGUUGCUGGGAAGACAAGAGCGAAGCAGUACUAUUCUAAUGACCGCGACAGGACCAAGAAUUUGGGAGUGUUGCUGCAUGGUGAUGGUAGUUUCUCAGGGCAGGGAGUUGUGUAUGAGACACUGCAUCUCAGUGCCCUUGAAAAUUACACCACUGGUGGGACAAUACAUAUUGUGGUCAAUAAUCAGGUUGCUUUCACUACUGAUCCAGAGUCAGGGAGAUCCUCGCAGUAUUGCACAGAUGUAGCAAAAGCAUUGGAUGCUCCUAUUUUCCAUGUUAACGGUGAUGAUUUGGAGGCCGUUGUUCAUGUCUGUGAGCUCGCUGCAGAAUGGCGACAGACAUUUCAUUCAGAUGUAGUGGUGGACAUUGUAUGCUACCGGCGAUUUGGCCAUAAUGAAAUUGAUGAGCCGUCCUUCACCCAACCUAAGAUGUACAAGGUACAUACUCUUCUUUGUGUCAUUUUGUUGUUAAGAUUUGGCACAAAUUUGCAUACUUUUGUCUUCACAUAGUUAUUUCUAUCAUGAUUCUUGCUGUACCAUUUGAGUAGUGAUAUCUUCAGUACAACUUCUAGUUAAAUGCUGAAGGACAGAAAAAACAUGAGUCUAUUAUGUAUCUUUUGGUAUCAUAAUCAGAAGAAUUCUUAAACUCUGAAACCAACAUUGAUUGUGAAUAAUCAAAUUUGAUGCAGUUUCGGUACAAUCGGUAUUAUUUGUCACUGGCAAAUGUGUGAUUGUGCCCAUUCACAUUUGGAAAGUGUUUUCUGUUUGUGUCAGGUGAUUAGGAACCAUCCAAGUGCGCUUGAGAUUUAUCAAAGAAAGUUGUUGGAGUCUGGGAAGAUCUCAAAGGAAGAUAUUGAUAAGUUAAACAAGAAGGUCAGCACUAUACUUAACGAGGAAUUCCAGAAUAGCAAAGACUACGUUCCCAACAAGAGGGACUGGCUUUCAGCUUACUGGACUGGGUUCAAGUCACCAGAGCAGAUUUCGCGUAUCCGAAACACCGGGUAAAUAGAUCUUCCGCCUAGUUUGACUGUUUCUGUGUUUCUUCACAUUUUAAGUGAUCUUGAACUGACAAAAAACAAUUGUGCUUCCUUGAAUAUAUUUUCAACCAUGCAGUGUCAAGCCAGAGAUUCUAAAACGUGUUGGAGAAGCCAUGACUACUCUGCCAGAAAAUUUUAAGCCUCACAGGGCUGUGAAGAAGAUUUUUGAUCUGCGGCGUCAGAUGAUUGAGACUGGAGAAGGCAUUGAUUGGGCAGUUGGUGAAGCACUCGCUUUUGCUACUCUUAUAAUUGAGGGGAACCAUGUCAGGUUAAGUGGACAGGAUGUUGAGAGGGGUACAUUCAGCCACCGUCAUUCUGUCAUCCAUGACCAAGAAACUGGAGAGCAGUACUGCCCUCUGGAUCAUCUUGUUAUGAAUCAAGAUGAGGAGCUUUUUACUGUGAGCAACAGGUAUGAAAUAAAAUAUACUAAACUUGUUCCAGUUAGGGAUGUGCAUGUGUCAUGUGGGGAAAGGUCUACACCAGGAGGCGCCGGGCCAGGGACGUUAGGCGGGCUGCUGAACGCGCAGCCAAGGGCGCGGCGUCUGGGGACGCUGGGCGCGCGCAGGACCCUGGCCCAGGCGCGGCUGGUGGUUAGGAGGUUAGGAUAGAAGGAAAGAUAUUGUUAGUUUCCUUCCCUAUUAUCUGUCCCAUGAUUCUAGGAGUUUGUUACUCGUUUUAGUUGGGACUAUGGCUUUAUAAGCCUUGUAAUCAGAUUGCACAAGGCAAGCAAGAACAAUUAUCUCCUCUCUCUCUCUUUCACCUAAGCCUGCGGUAGAGGGGUAUAACCUCACCGGAGAAGACGGCCGACGGCUACGAACUACGUAGCCGCGGUCCAGCCAGUCAAGGGUUUGACGCCCUUGACAACCUGGUAUCAGGAUUCCGGCGAUCCUCCCCUGCCCAGUCCGCCCAGUCUUCCACUGCCGCCGGCCAGCCAAACCCUACCCCGCCCACAUCCCCCACCUCAGCUGCAUCUGUCCACCAGUCACCAGCCAUGGCCGAGCCCACCCUUGCCGACGUCCUGGCGUCCCUCAAGACCCUGUCCACCGAGAUGUCCACCAUGAAGGCCGAUCUGGCCGCGAUGAAGGAGAAGUCCGCGUCGUCUUCCGACAGCGCCGGCGGUCGCAAGCCGGAGGAGCCGCGCGACAACGACUUCCCCCCCAAGCCCAAGAAGUGGGACUUCCCCCGCUACGACGGCACGACUGACCCGCUGCUCUUCCUCAACAAGUGCGAAUCUUACUUUCGCCAUCACCGGACCAUGGCGGAGGAACGGGUCUGGAUGGCCUCGUACCAUCUGGACGAAGUGGCACAGCUGUGGUACACGCAGCUUCUGGAGGAUGAGGGCGCUCCUCCAUGGGGGCGCUUCAAGGAGCUCCUGCAUCUACGCUUCGGGCCUCCCCUCCGCUCGGCUCCACUGUUCGAACUCGCCGAAUGCCGGCGGACCGGGACGGUCGAGGACUACGCUAAUCGCUUCCAGGGCCUACUGCCGCGCGCAGGCCGCCUGGACGAAGCGCAGCGAGUCCAACUCUUCACGGGUGGUCUUCUUCCACCCCUCAGCCACGCCGUCCGCAUCCACAACCCGGAGACCCUAGCCGCUGCGAUGAGUUUGGCUCGCCAAGUCGAACUCAUGGAGGCCGAACGCCCCGUGCAGCCGCCGCCCCGGGCACCGCCCCGCGCAGCCCUCCCAGCGCCUCCACCGCUGCUGGCGCUGCCUGCACCCCCUGCAGCCGCCCAGCAGGGCCGCGGCGCGGGAAAUCAACGCCGUCUGACUCCGGAAGAGAUGGCUGAACGGCGUCGCCAGGGGCUGUGUUUUAAUUGCAAUGAAAAAUACUCUCGUGGCCACAAUAGAUUUUGCAGGCGCAUCUUCUUUAUCGACGGCGUCGAGAUCGACGACGCGGACGGUGCCGGGGCAGCGGCCGAGGCCGCGGAGACGGAGGCGCCCGUCUUCUCUCUCCACGCAGUGGCUGGCGUGGCCGUGGGCAAGACCAUGCAGCUCCGCGUGGGAGUGGGCGUGACGUCUCUGAUCGCGCUCCUCGACACCGGUUCCACCCACAACUUCAUCGGGGAAGAAGCUGCGCGACGUUCGGGGCUGCCUAUCUAGCCGCGCCCAAGGCUGAUAGCCACUGUCGCCAAUGGUGACAAGGUGCCCUGCCCCGGUGUGCUUUGUCAGGCCCCCCUCGUCAUCGGCGAUCUCUCUUUCACCGCGGACCUGUUCGUCAUGCCCCUUGCUGGGUACGACCUGGUGCUCGGGGGACAGUGGAUGGAAUCCCUGGGCCGCCUCACGUGGGACUUCCCCGCGGGCACAGUGACGUUCACGCACCAGGGCCAGCCGACCUGCUGGACCGGGGUGCCCCUGCAGGAGAUGGGGGAGCCCUGCGCGACCACCACAGCAGCGCCCCUCCUCGACGAGCUCCUCGCUGGCUUCGGGGAUGUGUUCACAGCACCCAGCGGACUGCCACCCCAGCGCUCCCGCGACCACGCCAUCGUCCUCAAGCCCGACGCACAGCCGGUAGCAGUUCGCCCCUACCGCUACCUGGCUGCCCACAAGGACGAGCUGGAGCGGCAGUGCACUGCUAUGAUCGAGCAGGGCAUCGUCCGUCGCAGCGACUCGGCGUUCUCCUCCCCGGUCCUCCUCGUCAAAAAGGCGGAUGGUGCGUGGCGUUUCUGCGUCGACUACCGGGCAUUGAACGCGCUCACCGUCAAGGACGCGUUCCCGAUUCCCGUCGUCGACGAGCUGCUCGACGAGCUCCACGGCGCGCGUUUCUUCACCAAGCUGGACCUCCGAUCAGGGUACCACCAAGUCCGCAUGCGCCCCGCCGACAUCCACAAGACGGCGUUCCGGACUCACGAUGGGCUCUACGAGUUCCCGGUGAUGCCGUUCGGGCUGUGCAACGCGCCGGCGACGUUCCAGGCGCUCAUGAACGACGUCUUGCGGCCCUUCCUGCGACGGUUCGUCCUGGUAUUUUUUGAUGACAUUCUUAUCUACAGCGGGUCGUGGGCGGAGCAUCUGCGUCAUCUCCGGGUCGUGCUCGCUGAACUUCGGCGCCAUCAGCUUUUCGUCAAGCGCAGCAAGUGCGCGUUCGGCGAAACGUCGGUCUCCUACCUCGGCCACAUUAUUUCUGCAUCCGGCGUCGCCAUGGACCCAAGGUGCAGGCCAUCCGCGACUGGCCUGCCCCACGGUCCGCUCGCGCUGUGCGGGGCUUCCUCGGCUUGGCGGGCUACUACCGCAAAUUCGUCCACAACUACGGCGCCAUCGCUGCCCCACUCACCGCUCUCCUCAAGAAGGAGGGGUUCUCCUGGAGCGAUGACGCCGCUGCGGCAUUUGACGCCCUCAAGUCCGCUGUAUCUUCAGCACCCGUCCUCGCCAUGCCGGACUUCGCCAAGCCCUUCACCGUCGAGUGUGAUGCAUCCUCCCACGGUUUCGGUGCUGUCCUCAUCCAGGAGGGUCACCCGAUUGCUUUUUUCAGCAGGCCGAUCGCCCCUCGACAUCGCGCGCUCGCUGCAUAUGAGCGCGAACUCAUCGGCCUGGUUCAAGCUGUACGGCACUGGCGGCCGUACCUUUGGGGCCGUCGCUUCCUGGUGAAGACGGACCACUACAGCCUGAAGUUCUUACUGGACCAGCGGCUCUCGACGAUUCCCCAGCACCAUUGGGUGGGGAAGCUGCUGGGCUUCGAUUUCACAGUGGAGUACAAGCCGGGCGCAGCAAACACGGUCGCCGACGCGCUCUCCCGCCGGGACACAGUCGACAGCGAGGGCAGCACCAUCCUCGCCCUCUCCGCCCCGAGGUUCGACUUCGUCACGCGCCUCCGGCACGCUCAUGGCACUGAUCCGGCGUUGGGGGCACUGCUCCAGGAGCUCGCCAGCGGCGCACGCGGUGCUCCCUGGUCCCUGGUGGACGGCCUGGUCCAGUACAAGGGCCGGCUCUACAUCCCGCCCGACUCAGCCCUGGUUCGGGAGAUCGUGCAGGCCGUGCACGAGGACGGACACGAGGGCGUGCAGCGGACGCUUCAUCGACUACGCCGCGACUUUCAUUUUCCUAAUAUGAAACAGUUCGUGCAGGAUUUCAUCAAAGUGUGUGGUGUCUGCCAACGUUAUAAGGCUGAGCACUUGCAUCCGGCAGGCCUGCUCAUGCCGCUGCCUGUUCCCCAAGGCGUUUGGACCGACAUCGCUUUGGACUUCGUUGAGGCGCUGCCCAAGGUGCGUGGCAAGUCCGUCAUCUUGACGGUCGUGGACAGGUUCAGCAAAUACUGUCAUUUCAUCCCCCUGGCGCACCCGUACUCCGCGGAGUCUGUAGCAGCAGCUUUCUUCGCCGACAUUGUUCGUCUACACGGCGUUCCCCAGUCCAUGGUGUCGGAUCGCGAUCCGGUCUUCACUUCCACGUUUUGGCGGGAGCUCAUGCGCUUGAUGGGCACAAAGCUGCACAUGACGACGGCGUUCCAUCCCCAGUCCGAUGGCCAGUCGGAGGCGGCUAAUCGGGUCAUUAUUAUGUACCUUCGCUGUUUGACAGGUGACAGACCGCGGCAAUGGCUUCGGUGGCUUCCUUGGGCAGAAUUCGUCUUUAACACUGCCUAUCAGACGUCGCUGCGGGACACCCCGUUCCGUGUCGUGUACGGCCGCGACCCGCCAUCACUUCGCUCCUACGAGCCCGGCGAGACGCGGGUGGCUGCUGUGGCCCGCAGCAUGGAGGAGCGUGAUGAGUUCCUGGCGGACAUUCGUGCUCGGCUGCAGCAAGCUCAGCAAGUCCAGAAGCACCACUAUGAUGCAGGCCACCGUCCAGUAACCUAUCAAGUGGGCGACUGGGCUCUCCUUCGACUGCGCCAACGCCCCGCUGCCUCCCUGCCCCAAGCGUCGACGGGCAAGCUCAAGCCCCGUUACUUCGGGCCGUACCGCGUCUCCGAGCUGAUCAACGACGUUGCCGUCCGCCUCGACUUGCCCGCGGGAGCACGACUGCAUGACGUGUUUCACGUCGGCCUGCUCAAGAAAUUCCAGGGGACUCCACCAGCUGCGCCUCCACCUCUGCCAGCGGUGCACCAUGGCGCGCUUGCUCCCGAACCAGCUCGGGCUGUGCGUUUUCGCCUGGCUCGGGGCGUCCGCCAGGUGUUGAUCCAGUGGAAAGGCGAGUCUGCGGCAUCCUCUACUUGGGAAGAUGUCGACGCGUUCCGCGGCAAGUACCCCUCUUUCCAGCUCGAGGACGAGCUGAGCUUCGAUGGAGGGGGAGAUGUCAUGUGGGGAAAGGUCUACACCAGGAGGCGCCGGGCCAGGGACGUUAGGCGGGCUGCUGAACGCGCAGCCAAGGGCGCGGCGUCUGGGGACGCUGGGCGCGCGCAGGACCCUGGCCCAGGCGCGGCUGGUGGUUAGGAGGUUAGGAUAGAAGGAAAGAUAUUGUUAGUUUCCUUCCCUAUUAUCUGUCCCAUGAUUCUAGGAGUUUGUUACUCGUUUUAGUUGGGACUAUGGCUUUAUAAGCCUUGUAAUCAGAUUGCACAAGGCAAGCAAGAACAAUUAUCUCCUCUCUCUCUCUUUCACCUAAGCCUGCGGUAGAGGGGUAUAACCUCACCGGAGAAGACGGCCGACGGCUACGAACUACGUAGCUGCGGUCCAGCCAGUCAAGGGUUUGACGCCCUUGACAGCAUGGGUUAGCAGCUUAAGUUCACCUUCUAUAGGAAACACGAAAUGUUAUUACAAUAACCAGAUAGAUCCAAAAUAGAACCAGUACUUAUGUCAACUGCACUAGUUGAUUUCUGUUCCCUAAUAAUGGGCAGCAAAAAAUAAAAAUAAAGAAAAUAAAAUAAGGCAUUGCAUAUCAAUAUGUCGAACUUCAGGUAAAAUAACAUUGUUCUUCUGUCAGUGGCCUGUCUUAAUGUUGUACUACCUACUUACUGUUGCUGUGUGGGUAUUGUGGUAUAUUGGUAUUAUUAAUUAUUUGAACUUCUGAUAUAAUGCUACAAGGUUUAUAUUGAUGAAUUGAGAAGCGUAAGGUACAGCAGAAAGCUAGAAACACAGGCGAGGAAUAGAAUUCCUGACUAAUUCCUGUUUCCAUGCAUUGUAGGCACUGAUCACUGAGAUGAUCUAGAUAAGGAACAAUCAUAACGAGUACUGAGAUUGAUUAGUAAUCAGAUUAAAAGAACCUAGAUACAGGACUGAAUGAUAAGAUGUUUCAACGGUUGUUGGAUUUUAUGGUUGAUUUCCACAUGCUUGUAUAUCAUCUUUUGCUGUACGAAUUUUCAGAUGCAAAAUAUAAGGAAAAAAAUGGCUGAGUAUGUGGGAUGUCUCGAGUCUGGUUAUUUUAACAACGCUCGUUGUAUCUUUCUUUCUUAGUGAAAUGCACAUAGCUCUCUCGGUAGUUCAACGGAAACAAAUUUGAACAUUUUGCACCCUCAACUGGCAAGUUAGUAAUUUUCAUUUCAGAUGAAAACAAGUUUUGGGGUUGUUCUUUAGGGAAUCAUAACCUUGAGGUUAAGGGCUGCUAUAUAUUGUAAUAUAAACAUAUGGAGAUACCAUCUUUUCAUACCUGAUUAUUUCCCCUUUUUAUAGUCGACUGGCUUUUUUUUUGGCCUGAUCUGAUGUAUGCAAUUUAUUUGACAGUUCCCUGUCAGAAUUUGCUGUUUUGGGCUUUGAAUUGGGUUACUCCAUGGAGAACCCGAACUCAUUGGUCAUAUGGGAAGCUCAGUUUGGUGAUUUUGCAAAUGGAGCUCAAGUGAUAUUUGAUCAGUUCCUGAGUAGUGGGGAGUCAAAAUGGCUCCGCCAGACUGGCCUUGUCGUUUGCCUUCCUCAUGGAUAUGAUGGUCAGGGGCCUGAACAUUCUAGUGCAAGAUUGGAGCGCUUUCUUCAGGUACUAUUUUGUAUUUUCAAUUGCAAAGAUGCAGGGACAUUAAUAACCCGUGUUUGAAAUAUUAUCCAUACACUUAAAAGGAACAGUUGCAAGAUCACUUACUGUAAAUUAGCUCUACAACAACCCUACAGUCUCUCUCUUUUUUUUCCCUUUGGAAUUGUUUAUGCCAUUUGCCAAUGAUGAUCAUUGUCAUUACCAGAAAAUUGACUUUGUUGCUUACAAUGUUUAAUAUUUUCCCUUUGUCAUGACUGAUAACUUGGCAGCCAAAUACCUACAUUUAAUGGAAAUGCAUCAAAAUUGUCCAUGGUAGCUCACUGGUCACAACAUUAACAUUACAUGAUUUUAGAGUUUUGAAUAGAGAAUGCAAUCAAAUCAUCACUUGCACUUUGUAUAUUGAUGGAUCUGCAGUUAGCCAGUUACUUCUAUAUUAUGCAGUUUAUCAGUUAUACGUGUAAUGACUCUGAAUGUUACAGAAAUAUGUUUAGUUUUAGUAUUUGGAAAUAUAUUCUUGGCUCUACGACAUUUAGAUGCUGAUAGUUUUUGGUUACCUACAUCCUUUUUAUAUUAACAUCAAUAACUGUAUUGCAGAUGAGUGAUGACAACCCUUAUGUUAUACCUGAGAUGGAUCCAACACUGCGGAAGCAAAUCCAGGAGUGCAAUUGGCAGGUCGUUAAUGUAACGACUCCUGCGAAUUAUUUCCAUGUUCUUCGUCGCCAGGUAAAAAUCUUUGCAAAAUUUCCCCUUCCUCCUGUAAAACCAUCUGAUGUGGUGCACUGAAAUGGCUUUCCUUUAUUUCUAGAUACACCGGGACUUCAGGAAGCCUUUGAUUGUGAUGUCCCCAAAGAACCUCCUUCGCCACAAGGACUGCAAGUCAAACCUAUCUGAAUUUGAUGAUCUUGCGGGCCACCCUGGAUUCGACAAGCAAGGGACACGCUUCAAGCGGCUCAUUAAGGACCAGAAUAAUCACAAGGACCUUGAGGAGGGAAUCAACCGUCUAGUUCUUUGCUCUGGGAAGGUAGGUUGUGUCCCUCUUGGAAGUUGUAUUUUGAAGAUCGUUAGGUUCCUCUUUGGCAGAUUGGCAAGCCCUUUUUUUUACUAUGAUUUCAGGUGUAUUAUGAACUGGAUGAAGAAAGAAGGAAGGCAGAGCGCACUGAUGUUGCUAUAUGUAGAGUUGAGCAGCUCUGCCCGUUCCCCUAUGACCUCAUUCAGCGCGAGUUGAAGAGAUAUCCAAGUAUGUGUUUAGAAAAGUUUGGUUGCUCGUUUUUACUCUGCUGCCUGAUUUCUAAUUUGUCAACUGUAUACUAGAAUAUGUUUUGGUAGCUGGAAGGAUAGUUGACAUAUAUAUACAGAUAUAUAUUCAUUCUUUUUUGCGAGCAGAUAUAUACACAUUCUAAUGGAUGAGUCCUAGUAAACAACAAACAAGCUGAUACACGCGUUUAUGUUGUGCAGAUGCUGAGAUCGUGUGGUGCCAGGAGGAGCCGAUGAACAUGGGAGCGUACAGCUACAUCAACCCGCGGCUGCUGACGGCGAUGAAGGCUCUUGGCCGUGGUGGCAUCGAGGACAUCAAGUACGUCGGCAGGGCCCCUUCGGCUGCUACCGCGACGGGCUUCUACUCUGUGCACGUGCAGGAGCAGACGGAGCUGGUGCAGAAGGCGCUGCAGCGCGACCCCAUCAACUACCCGUUCUGAAAGAAACGAGACCCCCUGUAGAUUCUUGGAAUUGGGGACCUUUUGAUUUUGAUAUACCUCUAUAGAGAGAGCAGGCCUUAAGUUAUACAGUACCUGUGCAGCCAUUUGGUGAAAUAAUCAUUUCGGACUCUACAGUGCUGCAUUUGAAAGGAACGGUUGUAAGUUUGGAAAAACUCCAUCUCGCAGCUUCAUUUUUGUGUUCGUGU